rnacentral:lncRNA from 1 species
GAGGGUAUAGCUUGAGAAUCAAAGAUAAACUUAGUGUGGCUUGAAGUUGACAUGGUAUUAUGACACUAGUGAAGAGUGAAGUGAGAAUCCAAAAAAGAAGAAGAGUGAUAGAGGUGGGUAUAGCUUGAGAAUCAAAGAUAAACUUAGUGUAGGUUGAAGUUGACAUGGUAUUAUGACACUAGUGAAGAGUGAAGUGAGAAUCCAAAAAAAAAGAAGAGUGAUAGAGGAGGGUAUAGCUUGAGAAUCAAAGAUAAACUUAGUGUAGGUUGAAGUUGACAUGGUAUUAUGACACUAGUGAAGAGUGAAGAGUGAAGAGAAAUGGUAUGUCAUCAUGGUAAAGGAUGGCAUUGGAUACAUGUGUGGAAUCUCAAAUAUCCAUUGAUUAAUGGGGUGGAAAGAAAAAGAGCACACAUUUUAUGGGAAGGACUUGCAUUUAUGGCAGGCGUUGAAUUGAAAGACUCAGAUGAAACAUAAAAGCUCCUAUGCCUUGAAAAGUAGGGUUGGAAACAAAGAAAAAGAAAAUGUGAAAAUGGUUUAACCCCAACCACCCACCAAAAGGUCGAAAAGAGAAAGCAUUAUUACUAGUGGGCCCAAGACCUCCCCAGGGUGAUCUCCAAUAGCCUCACUCUUCUGUGGGCAUCAAAGUAACUGCCCAUUCAUAAUCACACUCUCCACCGAAAGUCUCUCCUUGUGUAAAACACAUUCUUGGGGCUAAACUUGAGCAUUAACAAAAAGGUAAGUGAGACAAAGGCUUCUCCAAUUUCUCUUUCACACUGGUUAAAAGAAAAUUCCCUGAUGGGGAAAAGUGAAAACUACCAACUGGGUUGGGUUCUGUAGAGAGGGAUUUUGAAGUUUAAAGCUCAAAGGCACCAAAACCUACCAAUAGGGUUUGUAUGCAAUCAAACAUUUGAUGUCUUUUCUUCCUGUUGGUUGAAGAGGUUUUGAAAUUAUAGUGAUGGAGUGGAGUGAGAGUUGAUGGAGGGUGUGAACUACUUUGAAGUGGGUUUAUUGAAGGCAAUGAUAGAGGCAUGCCCAUAUGCCAUGUUGAAAUUUCAAACCUACCUGCCAUCCAUCAAGUAUCCUCCAUUAAUCAUGGGGCAGCAGUCAACAGUGGGAAAUGAAAAAGCUAGAGCACAGCCAAGAAAAAAAACACAAACAUCAACCACCACCCACCAUUACUCCUUUUUUAACAUACACAAGUUUACAAAAGGAAAGGGAAAGACUGAAAUUUUCUUUGCCCCCCAAACAAUCAUGAGAUCAUCAACAUUUUCUAAAGAGAACACUUGGAAUUUGAGGACCCCCAGGGACCCCAAACCCUGUGUACUAAAGAUUUAAAAAACAAAAAUGAAAUUGGUCUUUUCUUGGAAAAGGGUCCCACCCAGACUCUUAAUGUUGGCUCAUCCAUCAAUCCCAUUUCUAGGAGGAGCUGUGGUCGGUUGAUUAAAAAAGAUACCCACCCUCAAAUCUCUUCACCAGCACAUCUAUAUUGAAGAAAAUAAAAUAAAAACAAAAAAGAAUACCAAAGGUCAGACAUUCAACUUUGGCUAUAUUUAUGGGGAUGCUUCACAAGGUAGGCCCACCACCCAAAUUCAAGUUUGCUGAGGCUGAUUAAGGAAGAAAGAGGCUGAAACCAAAAGUAAAUAAAGGCGGAGCCGAGGAAAUCAGGAACAGUUCUUCCCCACAGCAACUUCUUUCAAAUUAAAAGGUUCCAAUCGAAUUCAUAUUGUUUGACCCGCCACAGGACAAAGCUCAAAGCUCAAUGCCUUCAAACUCAAUUUGCUUUUCUCUAAUGGUUUCUUGACAUAGUAGAGAAUUGGAGUGGACAACCACAUGCCUGUCCUGUGGCAGGCAAAGAAUCCCACAAAGAUCUUCCACCCUUUUUACACUACUAGUCCUUUUCACUCAAUUCCCUGACCCUCCUCCUCUUCUUUUACUAUCUUCUCUUUCAAAAGUAAAAGCUGCUAUAUUACUUUUCUUCUCUUUUCCUUUUUUUUUUUUUUUUUUUUUUGAAUUUAUUGUUCUGCCUCCCCUGCAUUCCAAAAAGACAGAUUUCAAUAUUGAGAUUUAUUAAAAGGAGAAUUAAUUAAUGGGUAUGACCCAAGGCAUGACUACUACAAAAGCAGUAUAAAUAAGGUGAACUGCAUGAGACAUAACAAGAUCUAAAAACAACUGAUGUGAACCGCGUAAGGGGCGAAAUAGAAGAACAAGAAGACAAAAGCCCAAAAUCACAUGACUCAAUGUAAAUUUCUAACCACAACUGAACCCAUAUCAAGGCAUUAAAGCACAAAGCAAGAGAUAGCAAGGCUACAAUGUGGAACACUUUUUUUUAACCCCCUUUUAGAAGUCUGAGCCUAGCUAUGUUUUGCUUUCACUUUCUCUUCUUUUAUAACCAAAAAAAAAAAAAAAAAAAGAACAUGACUUCACGUUUUGGUUGAAUAUAGUUGGGAAGAGAACCAAGAACCAGGACCCAAGCAUUAUUUUACAGGUUUCUCUGAGCAUGGUCCUAACGUGGCUGUCUCUUUGGCAUCCUUCCAUUGACCAGUACAAAUCACCAUGUAGAAACAUGAUUUGAUUAUUGCAUCCAUUGAUUCUUUACAGGUUGAAGGUGGGUGGAACAGGGUAUAAGAUUUACUUCAGUCAAGUUACUCUUUUAUUCACUCCAUCCAACAGAUGAGACACAGGUAAGCAUAAAGAUCUGCUUAGAACAAGAAAGGUUGGGGAAUUUUCAGUAAAUUGAAGCCAAAAUAAUAUGGGGGUGACAGGUCACAGAUUCACAAGAAGCUUACAUCUGGGGACAUUAGGGCAUACUUAAAAAAGGUGAAUAAAAAUUCUCAAAUUACCAAAAAAACCUUCACCUGGAACAGGUGUUAUAUGUGCUCAAAAAAUUGUAAAAGGCAAAGGUCGUGGUCAGUGGUUUUUCAUAGGCCAAAGCUCAGGAGGAAAGGAAUGAACUUUGUCCACACACUCAAACCAAAACAUGGUCACGGAGACACCCUUUUCCGGACCACGGAUACGUAUCCAGGAGCACCCAAAAUGAUUUGAUUCCCACCCCCCAAAAUGACCAUAGCAACCCCCCUAACCAUUGCAGAACUUUCUCUCAAAUGACUCAAAUGUCCCCAUUCUUUACCAAGCAUUGGUGUCGGUAGGCCGACAACAGUGGGGUUACCUUCCCCCACAUCAACUAUUUCGUCUCUUGGAGUUUAUGUUGAACAACAACUGGUUGUUAUAACAUUUGAUCUUUGAAUCAAAAGAGAAAGGGACAAGAUGAGCCCACUAAGAUUCACAAACUGACAAUACCAAUAUUUGCCCGUGAUUAUGAUCCACAUGAUUUUUACUCUUAAGACCACCACCAAAGGGAUUAAAAGAAAAAAAUUCUAGUUGCAAAGGGCAUGUGACAGAGGUAACAGUAACAUUAGUAGUAAUAAUAUAGUAAAUACUUCCAAAAGAUUUUUGCUUAGCAUGGAGAAAAUCAGGUGGUUUCUAAACAUCUGUGCUUUUGAUUAAUGCAUCUUCUGUAGAUUAUAUUAACUACAGCAUUUUCAUACUACUGAACAUCUUAAGCUCAACAAUGGACCAUUGAUAGUCCAUGAUGGACCACCAUCUUUUCAGGGCCUUUAAUAUGCAAGGAAAGGAGGUUGCCUAGGAUAGUGAAGCAAGGGUGGAUUCAAGCUUUAUGUAGGGCAUGUUUUCUUGAUCAAUUUGUGUAAUUAAAAUAAAAUGGAAAUGAAAUAGCAGGGAAAAGCUUACCCUUUUUCUUCAGGCUACUGUUGGCCUAGGUGGAUUUGGGGGUAGCUUGCUUAAAUGCAACAGUGGGAGCUAUUCGGCAACUCCUCCUCUGAUGCUCCAGCACAAGCUCACCAGCAAACCAGUCGAGUUUCUCGAAAUUGCUCUGCUCUCCUAUCCUUUUACCUCCAAAGAGCACUGAUUCAACAUUCUUUUGCUUCAGCAUUUCCUCAGCUAUUCCAUUUAGCAUCUUUACAUUGCUAGGACUAGGGUCUGUGUCCAUAUUUGCCCCACAACGACCCAAGGUGGACCCAUUUGCCUGUCAUUCCAGAAAUGAUUGAAGUAUUGUAGUUAGAGAACAGAUACAACUCAAUUUGCCUAAGCUUCUACUGAACUCAAAUGAUUUCGCAAGAAAACAUCAGGAAUAUACAUCAUCUAGACUAUAACUGUGCAAGAUUGAUUUAAAUCAACAAGUUGGAAGGCCCAAUAUUAAGAGAGACAAAAAGAAUGAAAGAAAGAAAAACAAAAUGCUGACCACAUUCAGGCAUUUCAGGAUCCAUGAACUUUCUUUUUUGAAAUGGGGUAAAAAACUGAUUCCGGACCAACCUAACUACAUCAAACUGAUUUGAGUGAGUGCUUUAGAACAGUAGCUGACAAAAGGGGCACGCUUCCCUUUAUGCUUCAUGCACUCAAUUUCACUUGGAAAUGAAUGCAUUGUAGGAAAAGUGCAUGCAGCAGAAAUGUGGAGUGCCAAUAGCACAGCCCGGUCAUCAUCAAAGAACAGGGAAAAGGAGACAGAAAAGGAUUGAAUUGAUGAGGGAAACCUUCUCUUUAAUCGUAAAUUGAAAGGGAAGACCAAAACCAAUUGGAAGGAAAACCCACAACUUUAUUGAAUUUAGGUGGCUCACAUUAAGGCAGUAUAAGAAUAGCAAGCCAGAUACAAGGUCCCAGCACAUUGACAGAGCAUACUUUAUACUAUAAACAGCCCUAAUGGUAAGGCUAGCCAGGAUCAGAAAGCCCAUCAUCUCUCGUAUUCAUUUAAUACCAACAUCUGAGUCCCAUUUUUCCAAACACUCCUAAAAAUUCCCAUACUUGGCAAACCCAAACCCCAGCUCUCCUGCUUUUCCCAUUCACCCCACUGCAAAGGAGCACCCAUAGCAACAAAUUUCCAUUCUCUCACCACUCACCCAAUUCAAAUUGGCAUGAAACUAAUAAUUAUCGCUAUAUAUAUAAUAAUUCAAAAUCAUGGGUUAAAACUUCAGUUUUUGUCUGAAUCAAAAUUGGGAAAAAAAUCAAAUAAAAUAAGACCCCCAGCUAUUACUUUCUUUUUGUUCUUUUUGUUGAUCCAGCUUGGGAUUGAAAUGAAAUUUAUUUGGAAUUGAAAAUUUGGAUGGACGGGAAAGUGAAAAUUAUGACAGAAAUCGAGGCUAUUGGGCAUUAGGCUGCAUACCCACUACUGCCCCACAACGACCAUGGCAGAGUUGCAUGAGCCGUCCAAAAUGGAGGCGCACGUUUUGACUAAAACCAGCGCACUGGUCGCACGUUAGCUUAGGAGGCGUACCUGAAUACGGACGUAGUUACUGCUCCGACUCUGCCCAAACGCCAUUGCCACCGAGUGGUCCACCAUAUCGGCGGCACCGUCGCCGGAGAUUCGAGCCAUGGGUCGAGCCCAGUCCUUAGCUUUCCAGUUCUUCACUUGAUCGUAAUCGUAGCUUCCUUCCAGAAGCUGACCUGUUCCAAGUGAAAGUACCAAAAGGUCCUCCACCCCUCGCACGAAUGGAAACUCCUGUUUGUUGUGAAGCACGUGCGUGAUCGCCGCUGCGGUAGGGUUGCUCAUGGCCAAACCACCGUCAAUCGCCACGCACCGGGUUUGGCCGUCGACAGACCGCAUCGAGACCGGUUCGAAGAUGGCUGGCUCGGCCGACGUGGCUCGGCACACCUCCCAGAGGCGGAAGUCGAAGCUGUCUGUUUCGAGAGCGUCGGCUCUGGAGAACAGGAACGGCGCCGAGCUGGAGAGGUCGUAGCACGGUAUCAACACCGGCUUCAACGUGUCUUUCAGCGUCAAACUCCGGCCGUUCUCCGCGAACGCUUCCUUCAUGGCUUUCUCUAGUCCGGACGCCGCCGAGCCGCUGGAGCCACCUCGGAGAAUCCGCCGGAGGAAACUGCCGCCGCCAGAGCCGGAACCGGACGAAGAACGAUAGCAUCUCUUCCCCUGCUCCGCCAGGAACUUCCACGUGUCCUCCGCUUGGAAAAUCGGGCGGCUAUUGUCCUUUGUCCCAAAGAGCAUGGCGGUGAAAAUCCCUCCGACGCCGGCACCGGCCGCGACGUCGAAAUAGUCGGCGAUUCUAGCUUGAGGAUUCCCGGAUUUCGUUUUAAGGGCUUGUUCGAGAUAAGCGAGGGCUCUUCCGGAUAAUAUCCCUCGCAUUCCACCACCGUCGAUGGAGAGUAUGCAGAUUUUGCCCCUCUGAUUCUUGAUAGCGGAGACGCCAUUGUCGGGGGGAGGUGGAGUAGAAACCUCGGACUUGGUCUCGAUCUGUUUGGGGAUCCAGAGCUUCUGGUCAUCGUAGCCAAAGAGAAACUUACUUUCGAGAAUUGAGAAGAUUUCGUAGCUAAGUUUAUCGGUAUCGAUACUGGGUUCCUGCAUUUCUGAUUGAAGAUUACAAGCCAUCUCUUCACUUCACGUCCUUGUUGACAUCACAUGCGUUAUUCACUGCUUCCACAAUCUCAAACCUCCUCCCUCUCUGCAGAUGGUAGCAGCUUCAGCUUGAGCACUAUAUGCAAAUGAAUUUUGAAUUAUGAGUGAAGUGAGCUCAAUGCUGAAAGCAAAACCCAGAAACGCUUUGACAUGAAAAAGAAGAGAACCCUUUAAAGAGGAGCAAGGAGAGCUGAAAUGGAGUGAUUGAUGAGGAACAUCACAUUGAAUGGCAUCGCUUUCUGAAUAAGAAGGUAGAGCUGCUAUCGGCUAUAUAUGAGAAUAUAUGUUACCAAUGAAAAAACCCAAACAAGCCAACCAGCAAAGGACCAAAUGGAGGAGGAGGAGGCAAGAACACAGCAGUUUCAGAGCAUGUCUGAGAUGGAUAUAUUUAUAUCCACCGUAUUAUCAUAUAUAAGCAAAAUUAUAUUUAUAUUUAAAUCCACCGAAGAAACAAACAAGAUUUUCUCUCUCCUAAUCUCCAAAUUUGGGACCUCUUAACCAGGCUGUGUACUGCCGUCUUAACCGUGGUUUACACGUUUACAUCGCACAAGGGCCACCGACGGUUCACUUCCCGUUCCAAUCCCACGCUUCAGAUGAUCACUCAACCCUCUGCCUCCGUGAUCGACGGCCAACUCGCAAAAUUUUCUCCCGCGCCUGUCGUUACGCGUGGGUCCCACCGCCACAUCGUCGGCAAAAGGCAUGGGCGCGCACUAAUUGUGUCCAAUUUGCCCAGUUCAUCCCCAUUUUUGGUUUUUUUUAAUGACCAAACUGCCCUUUAUUAGUGGCCUGAGCUGGUGGGCUCCACGUGGACGUGCUGACGGCUAUGGUGGGCCAGUCGUCACUAACCCCGCAUGCCUCCCUCGUUACCGGUCACCGGUUACUGUCACAACGCAGAAUCAUGGUAAAUUUGGGAAAUGAGUGUGGAUAAGAUGAUUGGUGAACAGUGAGUUGACCCUUGUUAACCACUCCCACAUGCUCUCAUCCAUUAUGUCCUGUUUCUACUGUGGUAACUUUGACCCACGACAAAGUAAAUCCAUUUGAUUUUUCGAAUGAUUGUACGGAACAAAAUGAACAGGAACUUGGCAGGAAAAAAUGUACUAAGUUCGUUAAACAUUUCAUACUUUGUUUGAAACAUUGAAAUCAAAUUUGGGUUCAUCAUUAUUCAAAAGCCUUCGAGUCAAACGUGGAAAUAAAACUUGAAACUUUCAAGACUCGUAUUAAAGUUAAGGGCACGUCAUGUUUUUCGUAAUGGAGUAUAAUUGCGCCUUCAAUUAAAGAAGAGAUAAGAAGGGGUCAGAUAUGGUAGGAAGUAUGAGAUCGUUUUACCAUUUCUUUUCCAAAAAAUAAUUGUCAUUUUCAAAGACACCCCUCCUUCAACAAACACAAUAAUUUGUUUGUCAGUAUCCCCAGAAGAAAAUGAAGGGAGGGAUCAGGGGGAGGAAGGAGGCUGGGAGGGUCAUUGGAAUGGACGUGUGGGUGCUGGAGGAGGUGGUGGCGGAGAUGGAGGAGGAGGAGGAGGAGGAGGAGCAGUGGGUGGUGAGGGCCUGAGGAGACAGCAAGACAAGGCAUUCUCUCCUCCUGCCCUCUCCCCCCGCAUUAAAUCUCUGACUGCCUCAUGUUUGUCGCAAUCUCCUCAAAUUGCUCCCACCUCCAUAACAUAGCUCCUCAUCUCUGAAGUCUGAGCCACACUGGGCCUCACACUCUUCCAUAUCACCUAUCCACACCAUCGUCCUCCUCGGAUACCAUCCACUUGUUUACCUGUGGGGACAGUCCUUUUCUACCUCCCCUCUUUUCUAGCCCAACUCUUUCAACCUAUAGGCCUCAUGGAAAUUGAACUGUAAAACAUUAAUGCAAGGAAGUACAGAAGAGAGAAAAAGAAUAGGAGAGGAUUCUAGUCUGAUUCCGCCUUAUGUCAUCAUUUGUGCAGACUGAAUCCUAUUGUACACAGUGACUGAGAUACAGUUGGGAUAAAGGCCCACUGAGUAGUAAUCACAGGAAGAGGAAGUAGCCCCUACACACAGCCCACAGUCCCACUCUAGGCUAUUACUAUUUUGCUACAAAUGUAACCAUCUGGGGGGGCUCAGCUACUAAUCCAUGCCUAGAAAAAGUGGGCGUAGGGGACCAGAUGGUGUCAACCCAUAAACCCACAUGGUUUUUUCCUGGCCAAACUCUUCAAGUCUAGUGCAUGAAAUGCUUUUGCUUUGUCUUUUAUUUUGAUAUUCAUAGAUUUUUUAUCAAAUAUAUUGGCAUUUAGUGGUGUGCCGGUUUUAAAGGAGCAAAUGAACCCUUUGAACCUUUUGAGGAACAGCUGGGUAGAGUGAAAAUUUUACAAAAUAUAUGAAAUCCAUUAGGAGGUAUUGGUAGAGAUUGGAAGUGAGAAACUACUAGUAUGCAUAUUCCCAACCCAGAAUAUCAAAGCUGAACUGGAUGUAACCUUCAAAUCAAUAAUUUCAUUACCUGAUGAGAUACCAACCAAACAAUAAGGGUGCUGAUGUACCGCUCUGAGUCAUAAAAUGCAGUUGUGGAAAUGGUGAGAGAGACGUGUUGGAAGCAGAGACUUGGGCGAGGACCUCAAUCAUUUCUCAUAAAUUACAUAAAAACCGGUUCUCCAAUCGCACUUCCUCCAGGAAAAAUGCAGGAGAUGGACCUCUGACAAUAGGAACUCUGGUAGUAGGCAAUGGGUCUCCCAUAGUCACCCAUCAUCAGUUCUGAUCCCUCUGACAGCAUCAUUGAUCCCAUCUUAUUCAUGAGUUUCUGACAUGUAGGAACUCUGGCAAUAGGCAAUGGGGCUCACAUAUAGAUUCCAAUCAAUUCUGAUCCUUUCCAACGGCAUGAUUAAUUCAUUUUACCAAGCGUUUGUAGUAAAACAGUUUACUCUCACUACCAAUAGUCCCUACAAGAACAAGAACCAUCUGUGAGAGUCUGGGAUCAGUUCAAGAGAGCAACAAUCUUCUAAAUAGUCAAUCUUACUUCCCCUGUGAAUGGUCUCUACAAGAACAAGAACCUUCUAUGACAGAAUGGAAACUUAUUGGACCUACGGGAAUUCUCUCUUUUUCAGCACUGAGAAGAGCCUCAUUUUUGUAUGGCAAUCUCAGCAGGCUCCCAACUUCAUCCACACUUUCAUAGAAGCUGAUGUUGGCAAACUAAUGGAUCAUGGCUAACUUUUAGUUAUGGUAGCCACCACAAAGCUAUUGUUCUGUUCAGGUUUAGGGACUCUAAAAACAAGCCCCUCAUUAGCGAAUUCUACUUAUUUCAUAUUUCUUCCAACCGUGCAUAAAUAGUUUGACUUCAAUGAUGACAUUUAUCACCCACCACAAAAGAAAGGCCAACGUUUUCCUACCUCAAUCCAACUUAGACCAGGUUUCAUUGUAAUUCUACCAUCAGCAAGUCCUUGAUUCUUUUGGCUGGCAUACAUUUUUCCACAUUAGUGUAGUUGUUGUCAAGAAGCACAUAAGACACUGCAGCUUCAGGUUCAAGCUCAAUCAGUCUCUCUGUAACAUGUUUCUCAGUGACAGUAUCUUUAUGGACCCUGCAAGCAUUCAACAACACAUAAGAUGUUUACAAAUCAUCUUCAAAGCCAGAGUUGAUAAUGAAGUUUUCAGAAUGAACCAAUCUUUCAAGCUCAAUCCAAGAGGUCAACAUUACAGGCAGAAUGCUCUGUUUUUUGGAGUCAUACCAUGAUCCUUCUUCAUGAUUUUGAAAUGUUUGCCAUUGAAAAAGGUAAUCUAAUUACAUGAAUGAUGAAUUAAUUACAAACGCAUAUAUCACUAAGAGAUAGGUUUCAAAAAUUGCAUGUGCAAGCAUUUAACAAUCUCACUAGUGUAUGAAUUAUACCUAGCUUAAUAGGCAUGCAUGUCCAAUCUAGUGCUUAUAUUAAUUCAAGAGUAAAUUAUCCUCAAAACUGCAUAUAAUUCCAAAAAUUUUAUGCAAAAAUUAAAAAUUAAUCCUAACAAUUCAGAAAGAUAAAACAGGUUUCCCCUUUCCCUCUGCUGUUUCCCCAAAUCCGAUCCAUUCUCCCAUCUCAACAGUUUAUUCUUAAUCCAGUCACGAACUUGGAAACACUAACUCCCAACCCCAAAAAGUUUAAUCCCCUUGGAAUUUGAAGAAAGCCCCCCCCCCCCCCCCCCCCCCCAACAUGAACAUCAAAUAAGUAUUGAAAACUUACCAUAAUCAAUCUUCAACAUGGCUCAAUUAAAAAAUCUGAAAAAUGUAAUGUGACUGGGCACUUCCCCUAAUCUUUCAAUCAACUUAAAGAAGGCUUAAAGCUUUGGGUGCACAUUCCAGUCCCAAAUUUGCUUUAAACAAACAAUGACCAAAACACUAUUUUAAAAAUCAUUUCCUAAAAAGGUUGGAUAUGAAAAAUCUAUAUCUCCAUAAUUUGGCCCCAGGCCCACUUUGGAUAUCCAAAGGGAUAGGAGUUUCUCAUCCCANNNNNNNNNNNNNNNNNNNNNNNNNNNNNNNNNNNNNNNNNNNNNNNNNNNNNNNNNNNNNNNNNNNNNNNNNNNNNNNNNNNNNNNNNNNNNNNNNNNNAAUUCCAAAAAUUUUUUGCAAAAAAUAAAAAAUUAUUCUUAAAAUUUAAAAAAAAAAAAACGGUUUCCCCUUUUCCUUUUGGUUUUCCCCAAAAUCGGUCCCUUUUCCCCUUUCCAAAAUUUUUUUUUUAACCCCCCCCGAAAUUGGAAAACCCAACCCCCCCCCCCAAAAAAUUUUAUCCCCCUGGAAAUUGAAAAAAACCCCCCCCCCCCCCCCCCCCCACCAACAUGAACAUCAAAUAAGUAUUGAAAACUUACCAUAAUCAAUCUUCAACAUGGCUCAAUUAAGAAAUCUGAGAAAUGUAAUGUGACUGGGCACUUCCCCUAAUCUUUCAUCAACUUAAAGAGGCUUAGAGCUUUGUGUGCACAUUCCAGUCGCACAUUGCUUUAAACAAGCAAUGACCAAGACACUAUUUUAGAAUUCUAUUUCUUAGAAGGUUGGAUAUGAAGAAUCUAUAUCUCCAUAGUUUGCACCAAGGCCCAUCUUUGGAUUUCGAAUGGAUAGUGAGUUUCCUAUCCCAGUUUUCAUUGCAUACCCCUGGACCUGGUUACAAGAUAUUUGAUGUAGGCUAAUUGGCAUAACCUAAACAUGCUAAGUAUUAUGAAGUCAUCUAGUUCUCUUCCCAAUUCAAGAGGCAUUGCACUCAAAUUAUCCUGCAGACAUGUAUGUCCUUGAGCCAAUCUAUAGCUUGAGUCUCAAAAGAAAACAUUUCAGCCCAUCUUCAAAAGUACACACUUCCAAAUGAAAUCAUUUGACUCAAAUUCAAUUGUUUUUUCGGAUUUGAGCAUGAUUUUUGCCUUACAUGGUCAAAAGCUUCACCUGACUUACAAGCUUUGAAUGUACUUGAGAAUAUGAACUUCAAGAGCUCCAUUCCUUUCUUUUGCAUCUAAAAGAAAACAGCAUAAGUAUUCCUCCCCAAACUCAUUGCUUCAGUCUCUGUUCAGAGUAAUCCAGGAGUCAUUGCAUUAUACAUUACAACAUUAUAAGCAGGCAUGAUCUUAAAAAUCUGAUCUGUAUCAUUGAAAUCCAACCCAACUUGGUUGCACACCUGUGAAGAAUUACUUCCACAUUUUAUUGAGUAAACAAAGUUAGAGCAACAUUCCCAUGACCUUAACAAUUCAAAUUCAUAUAUAUUCAUGAUUCUUUCAAGAGUUUCAACAAUUCCUCAUUCAAACCAAUUUUUAAUUAUCUUGCAGUUAUCAAAUAAAAAGAAAAAAAAAAUCAGGCCCACAUCAUCCAAAUUCACAAACAAAAAACAUCAGGUCAUCCAGCACCUAGUAACAAUUAUUAUGUCAUGAAUCAGAUGACCCAAGUGCAUAUCCCCAGUUUGACAACACACACUGAAAGCAUUGGCAUUACUGAAUUCAUUAAACACCAGCCAUUGGUAAAAACAUCCAUGGGCUUAUCAUUAAAAUUUAAUAAAAAAUAAAUAAACCCACUUGAUUAUGCCCAGAAAUUAAAGAGUUCCAAGAUAUAACAUACAGGCAUUUCAUCCAACAUGUGGCGGGCAAUACCGAGUUCGCCAUAUUGGCAACCCAAUCGAAGAGGAUUCAUUGGAAAAAAGUAGACAAGGGUUUGAAACAAGUCCUGGUGAUGUGGGCAUGUACAAUCUCACUUUGGAUCAAAUACACUGUUCUGGUGGAGAAUUGGACUGGUUUUGUGAAGGCCAAGCCCUGAUAAAGGAAUAGAGAUGCCCAGAAAAAUGGUGAGCAUUUAGCGGCGGGGUUAACAUGGACUGAGGCAAUGCGGUGAGAACGGCGGUGAGCGACGGGUGGAGAUGAGAAACUCAGAAAAUCAGAAUGGUGGUCCUGAAUCCUGAUUGAAGUUAGAAGUUGGAAGUUGGAACUACGUUGAAUUGAUCUCUUCAAACAUGGCUACCUCCGUACCGAUGCUUUUGCAACCCGACCCAUGACCGAACGGGACAAAUAAAAGAACGGGAUAUGUGAUAUAAUUUAUAAUUAUUAAAAUUAAAAAUAAUUAUCAAAAAUAAAAGUUAUACAUAAAUAAUUUUAAAAAAAAUGAAAUAUUACAUCUUUUUAUUUUGAAUAUUAUUACAUCAUAUCAUAAUUGCAUAAAUGUAUUAACCUUUUUUUUAUUAAAUUAAAUAACAAAAUUAUAAUAUUUAAUUAUUAUAAUGAAUAUUUAUAUUAUUCAUAUUUUAUUCAUUUUUAUUCGUAUUUUAUUACAUUCAUACAUUAUUAUUUUUUAUCUUAAUAUGUUUUUGUUAUAACUUAAAAAUGUAAUCGGAAAGUUAAAAUUUAAGAUCAAUUUCAUUCGCUUUUAUUAAGGUUUUGACUAAUUACAUGUGAUCCUCGUUGGUUUGAAAUUUUAUUAAAUACGGUCCUUAUUUUGAAUGUUCGAGAGAGAUGAUGUGAGUAAAAAUAACAAAUGAAAAAGAUAAUAAAAUUAUUUCAUGAAAUUUUAAACCAAUAAGGAUUAAUUAUAUUUAGCUAAAAUCUAAAAGAAAGGGGGUCAAAUUAAGUUUUACACUUUAUUUAGCCAAAAAGAUGUUUGACUUGGUGAUAACUUUCUUAUGUUAAGCCAAGAUUUAGUCAAUUUUGAUUUUGAUAAACCAAAAUAAAGUUUGAAUAUAAUAUUUUAUAUUUGAGUGUGUUAAAUAAAAAUGUUUAUAAAGAAAAGACCUUAAAGAUAUCUCAAAUCAGAAGAAAAUCAAGAAAAAGUAGAAGGUUUGAAAGAGAUGGUUUUCUAAAUUUAAUAUUUUACGAUCUCUUUAUAAGAUUGUAGUUAUACUAAAUUAUAAUUCAAAUAAUAUUCAAGAAUGACUUAGAACACUUCCCUCAUCAAUAUAAUAAGUUUGAAACCUUUAAAUAGAAGUUAGAAGCCCAAACCAACCAUUAUGCACAAAUUGGGGACCAGAUCAACCAAUUGAUCAAGGUUACACCUUAACCAAUUGAGACAAGCUUCUACCACUUUAAAAUUUUUCUAAACCAAUCAAUUGUUUAGUUCAACUAACAAUCACUUGGUUUAAUUAGUUGACCUCUUGGUUCAAUCCAUUAACCUCUUUGCUCACCCAAUCAACAUCUUGGUUCAAUUAGUCAACCUCUUGGUCCACCCAAUCGAUUUAUUGGUUUAAUCAAUCAAACUAUUGGUUCAACAAUUCAACCUAUUAGUCAACCAGUGGUAAACAAGAUAGAAAAAAGUGAGAAAUGUUGCACAAAUGACCUUUAAUGGCUAAUAUUGUUUUAAUAUGAAAACUUAAUAUUAAAAAAUCCUUUUUGAUGAUAAAAUGCAUAUCAAAGUAUGAGUUUUUAUCUUUGAAACAAUCAAUCUCAAUUUUUUACAAAAAUUGUUCAAAGAUGAAUAAACAAACCUACAAUUUUUACAACUUUUCAUCUUUAACAUAAAAUUUUGAGGGAAACCGACAAAAUAACUCAUUGUUAUUUUGAGAACCUUUUUAACCAUGAAUAACGUUAAACAAAAGUUGUUUUUAUUUAGAAAGAUUCUUCGUUCAAUUUAUAAAAGAAUAAAACCAAUUUAAGCACUUAGGUGGUGUUUGUUUUUUUACUUAAUUCUAAAUGGAACCUUAAUACUUAAUAGUAUUAAAUAUUAGGUUGUUUGUUUUUAUAGUAUUUUAUUUCUAUUAAGUAUUAAAAAGUAAAAAAAACCAUUGUGUUAUUUUUUCUAUUUAGAAAAAGCCACAUAUUUUAGCUUUUUCUAUUUAGUAAAAAGUUUAUAAUAAGUCAUGAAAAAGUAAAAAAACAAACAACCUAAAUUCUAAAACUAAAUGGUUUUCAGCAAAAAGCCAAAAAAACAAACACCACCUUAGAUGAUUUUAGGUGCUUAAAAAAAUGUAAUGCACUAUAAAACUAGUGCACCAACAACCUAGAGAAUAAGUUUUGAUUGAUAUUCUUUUUGAGGUUUCUCUUUCUUCAUGAUUUUCCUUUGACAUGUUUUACUAUUUUGAAAAUCAUCAUAUCUAACCACAUUUAAAAUUAACUAUUAGUCUCAAACCUUAUUUUAUUAUCAUCAAAACCGAGAUUAAUCUAACAUUGAUUUCACAAGAUGAUUAUAUCGGAUAUAAGCAUUUCAAUUUAUUUACUCCCCUUAGAUUACUUGACAAUUUUAUUUAUUUUUUUAAUCAUUUUAAUAUGAAAAAUAUUAUAAAAUAUAGGAAAAUUAUCAAGUGCCAAAUUGGUAUGUGAUCCAAACUAUUUAAAGUAUAUGAUAAAAUUUAGAUCAUUAGAUGAUGGUACAAAUGUAUAAGAAUUAGUUACAAAUAAGAUGAAGUUAUAAGAAUUUGGUAAAAAUUAAAAAUUAAAUUUUUUUUUUAAAAAAAAAAGAAAAAUAAAAAGGGCCUCUGUAUUGGUACGAUCCGAGUGAUCUCGCUUCUGGGUAUGUAUACUGUGACCUAAAAUAUAGUGGGAUCCACUCCCAAGAUAUUUGGGAAAUUUUGUAUUUCCAGUCCAUUCAUUCCGAUGCUUGUCUUCCUCUUCCCCCCACCCCCCAUGGAUAUACAGUGCAUGCCUUCAUCUUCCUGCUUGCAUCCCAUAGGCCAUGGGGUAGCAAAGCUAAGUCCAUCAUAUUCAUGGGCAAGGGAUCAUCAACACAAUGCAACCAUUUGCUUCAAGUUGAGGAUGUAUGAUGUCACUCCUUUCAAUUCCUUCCUCUUCUCAGUUAUACGUUGUUAAGUUUCAUUUCUUCUUGCAAUCAGCCGCUCCUAUGCUUGCAGUUGCCACCUCCAAAAAGAGCAAAGGCCAUGGCUUACUUGGAAACCUUCUGCAACCAAGGCAAACAGAAGUGUUGCAGAAUUGAGGAAGGAGCCCAUCAAAGAAUCAAAGAAAAAGGGAACUAUCUCUGGAGCAGUUGCCCUGAUCAUCGGAACAAGUAUCGGUUCAGGAAUACUUGCACUGCCACAGAAAGCUGCUCCUGCAGUACUUUACCUCUCUCCGUCUCUUUGAAGAUGCAUGAGGAUAUACCCACGUUUGUUUUUCAUGUUGCAGGGACUUGUUCCAAGUUCGAUCUCCGUCAUUGUGUGUUGGGGUUUUCUCCUAAUUGAAGCUCUUCUUCUUGUGGAAAUCAACGUAGGUUUGCGGAGGAAGAAGGGAAAGAUAGAGGAAGAGAAUGAGUUAGACAUAAUCUCCAUUAGGACCAUGGCCCAAGAGACAUUAGGAGAAUGGGGUGGAAUUUUAGCCACUGCCACCUAUGUCUUCUUAGGCUACACUUCCAUGGUUGUCUAUAGCUCCAAGUCAGGGGAGAUCCUUUUCCAUUUGAUUAAUUUUCCGGCAUCAAUCUCAGGUUUCUUCUUCACUGCACUCUUCACCAUCCUCAUCUCCAUAGGAGGGACUCGUGCUACUGAUCAAGUCAACCAAUGGCUCACUGCUUCCAUGCUAUGUAUAUAUCUGCAAACUUUUUGACUGAAUGAUGGCAGCAGUUAUCUUCCUGAGGUCUAACAAUGCAUUGAAACUGAUGAACAGGUCUGCUGCUAGCAAUUGAAGUGCUUGGAGUUGUGUUGGGAGGGUGGUCAGGACUGGAGGGAAGUGGGGACUGGGGAAAAGUCCCGGCCACAAUUCCUGUGAUAAUCUUUUCUUUGGUGUAUCAUGAUCUAGCACCGGGUAAAGAUGACAGUGGUUUUAGUAUGAACUCAAUCAUCUCAGGCAAUGAAGUGAUGGCAUUUUACAGUAUGUGAUUUUCUUGCAGUUAUAUGUGCUUAUCUGGGCGGCGAUCUUACACGCAUAAGGGCAUCAGUUUUGCUUGGUAGUCUGGUUCCGCUGGUAGCAUUGCUUCUAUGGGAUGCAAUUGCCCUAGGCCUCUCUUCCCAGGCCGACCAAGCUGUUGACCCUGUUGAACUGCUCAUGAGGUAUACCAUCACCUCCCCACUGUUUAAGAUAUUCAAUACAUGUUCGUAGCACAACAAGAUAACAAUAUGUAAUCAUUCACAAACCCCUAAUUGUCAUCCUGGUUUAGUGUGAAUUGGAGUGGGGUAUCAUUUAUGGUGGAUGCCUUCUCACUUCUGGCAAUAGGAACAUCACUCAUCGGAACUCUCCUCAGCUUCUCCCAGUUCUUCAAGGAGCAGCUUGAUAACCUGUCAUGGAAUUCUCCCUCCACACAAAUAUUACCAGUAACCUUUUAUACCUUUUCCUCGCUAAAUCUAUUGUUGGCUCUCAGUUAUGAGAUUUGGUGAAGUUCAUAUUAGCUUUUGAUUAACAUGUGAUUGAGAGUCAUAUUUAGCAGAAACCUGGCGAGCUCUUUGGGCUGAGGAAAUGGUGGGGAAGAAACAAAAGUAGCUUCACAGCAAUGGCAAUGGUGGUUGCUCCUACUCUACUUGUAUCAGCAACCGUUCCAGAUGCAUUCUCUGCUGCUACAGACAUUGCCGUGAGUAGCUUCAGGGAAACAGAGCGUACAAAUUGUUAUUACUGUCUUAUUGCAAAGGUUUUGUAAUUAGUCAUGUCUCUGAUGUGAAACAGGGGGGUUACUGUAUGACAAUGCUUUACGGGGUUCUCCCGCCAGCAAUGGCUUGGGCAAUGCAUAACAGAGAAUGUGAAGACACCAAUCAAAAGGCAUUGUCAAGAGCAAGGCCUGCACUGCUUGGGUUGGGACUCUUUGCAUGUGGGAUAGUGAUGGAGCAAAUUUAUCAAGAUCUCUCACUACUGCAUCCUUAGUAAGGAUUGAAGCCUCUGUUUUAAUAUUAACUAGGCAAUUGUAACUUCACUAUUCUUUGGAGGAGAACUGGGCUUCUCCCAAGCACUUUCUCCCACACUCUGUAUAUAAGCUUCCCACUAAAGUAUACUAAAGAUUUGCUUAACCAGAGUUGAGCAACAUAAUUGUAGUUAACAAGAGAUCUUCUGGGUAUUUGGAUGAAGUAUACACAUUUAACACACAGCAAAACUCAGUGACCUCAUGCACAUGUUUGCACAAGCGCCUUGAAGGUGCUUCCACUGCAAACUGGGGCUGAGCUUCCUGGAAGGCUGGCUGUGCGAUGUUCAGAUCAUAUCAUUCUGCAAAUUCUUCUGCAGUCAUAUAUAAGUUUUUAUCCAACAGCACUGACAAGAGUUCAUUUUCUGUUCAUAAAAUGGAGCUUAAAUGCAGCUUAUUGCAUCAAAAAAGGCCCUUGAUCGAAACUACUAUUAAUUUUUAGCACCAAUACAAAAAGUACAUAAUUGAUUGUUUAAUAUACCAAGGAACAAAGGCAGCCAAUCACUGACAAAUAUAAUCAAGACAUAGGAAAAUACAAGCAUCUUAUUUUAACCAAGGGGGAUUCCAAGACUCAAUAGAGACAAAAGGGGAAGGAGGGAAGAAGCAACACAGGCAAAAGCAAGUAUCCAGAUAUUUCGCCCAUCAGGUACAGCCAAGAUUUUAGGUCCUCACAGUAUUCACAUGCUUCAGAAGCAUGUGGACAACAUCAUGGGAAAUUCUUGCAGCCUCCACCUUCAGGUUCUGGAUCUUUGCAUCCGUUUCCAGCUCAAGGCGUUUCACAUUAGCACCAGAGUCCCCACUACUCUGUUUCAAGACAAAUGAGAACACACUGAAAACAUUAUUUCCAAACAGUGCCAUAGCAAUAGAAGUUGAAAAUUUCACCAACAUAUUUAUUAGUAGUAAUGAAUGCAGGACUUGAAUAUUAUGGUGAUAAACAUAGCUAUAAAAUUAUUCAGAAUAAUCCAAAUAUUAGUCAGAGUAAUUUAAAACUUUGUUGAUAAUCAUAAGAUAUUCCAUAUAAGCAAAAUAUGAUUGGGGUGGAUUCCCUUAAGGAAAAAACUACACAUAAUUCAGAACAUGUGAACCUGACAACUUUUUUUUGAUCAGUCAGAACCUGCCAACUUACAAAUCACAGUUAACAACUGAAAAUUGCCAGUGGGUUCAUCAUGAAAGUAGGCCUCACAGAAUAUUUAUCAAUAUUCUCUUUUCUUUUCUUUGUCUAUUUUUUUUUUUUACCUCUGCAACCUUUCUUUGAAAUUCUUUUUCCAUUCGAACACGGAAUUCAGCAAUCUCCUUCUCAGCCUCUUCUUUGGCCUGUUUAAGUCUAGCCAUUUUUGCUGAAAACAGAAACCAACAUGGGUAUGAACCAUUAGUUGGAACAGAGAAUUUAACUAAUACAGUGGCUUGUUGUAGAAAGCAAACAUGAAAUCAUACAAACUAUAUUCCAAGUUUAGCUCCAAACAUGAGGUUUCCAAUGCAUGGCAUCCAUAACUUGCAACUCAUGUUCUGUUUAGAAGAAUAUUCAAGAUAGAGAAUGAAGCAAGAAAUUACCAUUUCUGGCAGCAUUGACAAUAUGCUGAGCUUCUUGUUCUACAGCUAGCAAUUGUUGAAUUCCAUUCUGGCCUCUGUUGGCUUCCAUACUUGCUGAAAAUACCAAAGCAGCUAAAAAUUGAAGUAGCUUUCUAGAAAUGGAAACUCAGGAGGCAAAACUAAUAUUUAAGUAGCAUAUAUAGAGAAGACAGACAGUCCAUUAUUAUGGUGUAUUUCAUUUCAUGAGGUUGGAAAUGUCUGUUACAUCACCUGGCAGGACAGUUUUAUAGAAGAAUAUUUCCAGCAUAAAAUCAUCUAAGAAUAACCUCAAGGGAAGCAACUUUAUUCUAGAUGAAAUUGUAUUAUGACUAGUUCCAUUUUUUCAUGUAAGCAUGUAUCCAAAGUGUCCCAGAAUCAAAAGGCUUUAAAUCUUGGGAUGAUACUCAUUCUUAAGGAUAGCUCACCAUGUGCUGGUUCGGACUAUCAUAUCCUAAAUUCCUGGCAUGAAAUUUUAGCAUUUCCCCAAAAAUAUAAAUUAAAAAACACAAAAAUAUUGUUAAAGAAAAAAAAUUUGACUUUGGGUGGCUAAGAUGGUGGAUGAUAGAUCUAUUAUACUUGUUGAACUCAGGCCAUUGUUGCAUAACUAUCAUGCCUACUCUCUCUCAAAGACACCCUCACUCCCAUCCCUCCCCAACUGAAUAUCCAACACUACCUCUUCUUGUAUCCACAUCUGUUUCACAGAACAGAUUAUUAACAGAACAGAAUCAUGUCAAUGCAUAUCAAAAGAUAUGCCAAAAAAAAAAAAAAAUUGCAACAAGAAUUAGGACAUAUGUUGUAAUGAACACAACUCAAUGGGUCUCAUCAGCCAUCUGACAUUCUAAAAUCCAUCAUCCAGCCCUUUAUACCCACCUCUACUGCAUCAAUCCUCUUUUUAUUAAAGCCUACUAUAGAGAAGCAUAUAUGCUUUUUGUCAAGAUUAUUAGCAGCCUACCCAGCAUUCUAUGCUGCCAUUCAUAAAGCGACCCUCCUACUUGAAUUUGCUUAUUCAUUGAUGUUAACAACAGCACAAAUUUACCUUAGAAACUUGAAUCUAUCAAAAAGUAAGAGCACAAGAAAAAUCUAGAACAACAAAUAUACGAUAAAAAGAAAAGGAAAACCCAAUAAAUCAAUAAAUUCAAAUAAAUUUAUAACCCCCACUUCUGAUCACCCAAAAACAAACCCAGUAUUGCGCAUAUCUCACUUAACCCAACAAUAAAACACCGAUCAAGAUCAAAUUAGCAAUACCCAUAAAAAAAUUCACCCAAAAAAUAGAAAAAGAAGAACCGAAAACAGAUCAAGAAAAUGUAUUGAAACAUAAUUAAAGAUCUAGUCGUCUAUGAAGUGAAAGUGACAGUGCGAGUGAUCUGUGCUUGCUAUGAUAAAAUCAUAAAUAUAUUAAGAGAGAAGAAAGUCAUGAUAAUGUAGAAGAGAUGAUAUCUUCCAGACAGAGGAAAACGUGCCUGCAGAAGUUGCGGUGGUCUGCUGGUAGUCAAGAAAACUCUACCGGAAUUGAGCUACAGCAGAGGGAAGCUUCAUUAUGAUUUAUGAACUGCCCUUUUGGGAUUCGAAAUCACGGAUAUGCCCUUGCUUCUCAAUAGAAUUACGACAUACCCGUUUAGAAUCAUUGCAGUGUCUCUUUCCUAUGGGUGCCACGAAGAUGAGAGCUAAGUGGUAAUGAUGGAAUCUUUCAUUGUUAUCGGCGUGAUAUAUAAUUAGUAAAGGAGAUCCUGGGAAUUUAAUUCCCAAAUGAGAAAUUAAAAGAGAAAUUAAGAUGAGAAUAGGUUGCAUAUCAAGAGUAUGUUUGGCCAUAAUUUUAUUAACCUUUUGUAAUACUUGAAGGAUAAAAAAUUUUAAGUAUUAGAAAAAUUAGAAAUACUUCUUAAAACCGUUAUCAAACGAACUCCAAAUCAUAUGCGUAAUGCAUCUUCUUAUGAUUUAAAUUUAAGGCAAAUAUAUAAUGAUAUAAUUAUUAAGAAAAUGAUUUUAUUUUUACAAUUUUUGGGGACUAUAAACAAUCCCAACAUCCAAUAUGCCAUUAACGUGGUAUUUGUUUUAGUGUCUUAGCAUCGCCAUGUCUAGUCAAUGGAAUUAGUAAUUUUACAAAUUCCAUUAUCCAAUGGGUCGUCAAUAAGUUGUACUAGCAUUUUAAUGUCAUCACGAGUUGAUCAAUGGAGCUAAUGACUUUGUUGUGCUAACAAUUUGUAUCUACUUGUAUUCCAACCAUAUUCCCAAGCACACUAAAUUUGAAGCCCUUCCUUAAGAUAAGAAAAGAACCUAGUACAUGCAAAGUGCUCCAACUUAUGCAUACCCUUGCUUGAUGAAGUUAGCUUUGAUCGCAUUCUCCUAAGCACGCUCAUGGAUGGAAGGAAUAUUAUCACUUAGGGAUGGUAACUAAUUCCUCUUAACAAAAUCAAAUCGAUAAUCUUGGGGGCAAAAAUUCUCCAACCUACCUAUGUUAGUGUAAUCAAGGUCACCAAAUUGUAUGUCACACUCCCUACCAAAAGGUGAGAGGUUUUUGCUACAUCAAAUACUCUAUCACCCUUUUUACAUAGAAUAUCAAAGAUUAUGCCGACAAAUUAUAUAUUAAUGUAGAUGAAGAACCAUAUCUUAAAUUAUGAUUGAUUACCUUCUUUAUUGAAAUCACUGUGGUUUAUUUCCUAAGCACAAAAUCCUAUUGAUUUGUCAAUUUUUUUAUUUAAUAAAUAGAAUUUAAGAUUUGAAGGAAGAGAGGAGAGAAAGAAGUAAACUAAUGAUAAAUUAAGUUAAUUUGAUUCAAUAAUUAAAUCAGUUUUAAUAUAUUUCAAUUUAUUCAACUUCGGUUCAAUUCUUGGAUUGCUUAAAGAACCAAACUAAACUAAAUUUUGCCUAUUCUAUCCCCAUCCUCAACCCCAGCAUUCUGACUCUUGGAAGGAAAUACACUAACUCAUUUCCCAUCUAUCUACAAAAUAAAAAUACACAUAAUAAUUUUAGAAAAUAUUUUUAAUUUUUCUAAUGUUUAAAUGAUAAAAAAAAUUUAAUUAUUAGAAAAAUAAAAAACGCUUCUUAAAAUCACUGUCAAACAAGACUCUCAUUUUUAAACUAUUUUACAAUUGAAUCCAACAAAAGUUCAUUGCUAUUUUGGCAAAACCUCAUUAACUGAUGGUUGCAAAAAAAUACCCAAGCCACCACCCAAAUGAUGAGAAAACCAAAGAGCAAAGGCAAUACCUAUUAAUUAAAGACCAUCGCCUUAUAAGAGUGAUCAAUCUUGAGAAUUUUCUUCCAUGCCACCACGAGAAAGAUCAUUCAUGAUGAACAAAAAUUUAUGAAAAUUCAUGUUAACAGAACUAGACAAAAUCACUGGAGUUAUCGUUUAAAUUACCCAAAUAUGAGAAUGAAUGAAAAAUGGAGUAAGAUGUUUAUUCUCACUCCUCAUUCCAACAUACCCAACAUAACUUUUAAGAUUUUUAAAUUUGAAAUCUAACAAUUGGCACCAUAUAUUGGCAUGUGUUCUAACUUCUAAUUUCAUAUAUAGAAGACGAUAACUAAUAGCAAACAAUAGGAAGCUGCCAAAAAACAAUAAGCCUAUUUUUUAAAUUUCAUGAUAUAUAACUGAAAAAUAUAUCCCUCUAUAACUCCAUCAGCCCAUUUGAACUUACAAAUGGAGCCACCGAUGCCUUCAUUACACUCGACCACAAUGGGUAUUAUCCACUGCACCCCUAUCUUCAUUACCCCUUAACCGCACUUCUAUAAACAUCUUACAUGAAUAAAAACUUUUAUGGCAUUCUCAGGAUUCUUGAAUGGGGGGAAGAAGGAGAAUUUAAGUUACAAAAUACAAUUAAUAUAAUUGAACUCUGCCUUGCCUAAGCCUUUUUUAUACUCUGUUGUUUUCUGUAUCCAAAACCUAAUAACCAAAUCCAACAAAAUGCUGGUCAGAUCUCACAAUUCAUCCUUGACACUGUUAUUGCUCUCAUUGCCAUCCUUGGCCUCAGCACCCUUGGAGCUCUGGUAUGAAGCUGGUUUUUUGAGCUUGAAAGGGAUGGAUGCAUACUUCUUAAGGAACUUAUAGAAUGCCACCAAAGUACGGUCACCAUCAAAAGUGAUCUGCAGAACCCAAAAAUCAAAUAUCAGAUAAGAAAAUCAAGUAAUGCUAGAGGGCAUGGGUGAUACUGAUACCUGAGUUAACUAGACAAGAAUGAUGGGAAUUUAAACAGUAUCCACAAAAGUGACAAAUUGGAGAAAUGAAUUCCACUAACCGGAUCAAAGCUCUUAUUCCCAGCCGGGAAGAAAAGAAUUGUAGGGAACCCAUCAGUCUGCAAAAGAAAAACAACUUUCACCCAAAUGUUCUCGCUUUUCUCUCAUAAGCAUUUACUGUCACCCUUCAGUAUCCUCAAUUUUAUAAACCAAAACAAAUCAAUGGUGCAUACUAAAAUUUCCAUGGUUGCAUGUUAUCUGUCACACAUCAGUUCAAUGGGCUUCGAGGAGAAAAAUAAUAAGAGUAGGUCUAUGAAUGCUUUCACAUUUACAUCCUCUCCAUACCAUUCUGUGAGAUAAAUAAUGAUGUAUAAACAUAAAGGAAUCAGCGAUGCAAACAAGGAGCAGAAAUUAACCUGUCCAAAUAUAUAUUAAGGAGAAGAUAUAUCUAUAUGUUGUCAAAAUAACUCAAUCCAGGACAUUGUCACAAAAAAACAUUCAGAAAACUGAAAUUGACUAACUUGGCCAUGGUGCUUCUUAUGGACUCCAAAAAGCAUUUUUGAAGGGGAGGGAGUGGUAUGGCUUAUUCUUUGCCAACCACUUGCCCAGUUGAACUCCAAAACCAAAACUAGUUAUCAAUCAAAACAAGGGUUCUUGAAUGCACUCACAGACUCAUAUCCCACAUACUAGUGAAGCAGUUUUAACAAUAUAAACAGUCAGGGGAGACAAACAAUUACAAUAACUGAAAGCUUCUAAAUGAUACCUUUGCUCUUGGGUGCUCAUUUUUUGUCCCAUCCAUCUUAGCUAUAACAAGUGAAUCAAUGCCUCUCAAAUACUUGGCAAGCUUGUUGUAUGUUGGUUCCAAUGCUUGGCAAUACCCACACGAGGGAUCAUAUAUCUAAUUCAAACAAGAAAUAGAAAUCACAAAAAUACAUCAGAAUAGAUCCACAGAGAACAAUUAAAAACUUAAUGUAUAUUUGAUGAUUCAUCUAUUAACAUUAGCUACAUUACUACCUCAAGAAGAACAUCCUUUGAUUCAUCCAAAACAAGUUCAUCGAAAUUAUCACCGACAACAAUUUUUACAUCCCCGUCAUUCUGCAACAAUUAUACAUGGAAAGAAAGUUGGAUCAGAGGGAUGAGAGUGCUCAUCAAUCACCAGUGUCAUAAAGGAAGUCUUAACAACUUACUGUCUCUGGGAUUGGGUCUGACUUGUAAAAACGCUUAAGCUUGUCUUCCAAGAAAUCUUCGCCAAAUGACUAUGAGAUGAUAGAGAGAUAUGAUAGUUACAAUAGUAGAUCAUGAACCAUCAUGCUUAUUGGAAAAUGAAAAAAAUUAUGGAUAUUCGCGCUAUUUGCCCAGAAUUGCCCAGAAUAAAACUCGGAAUAAAAUAAAUAUAAAAUAAAACAUCAUACCUUAAUACUGGUCAAGGUUAAUUCACCAUCCAAUACAUACUUCUUGGCAUCAUCAUUUCCUGUGUAUGCAAGAACCUACAUGCAAAUGGAUGACAACCAAAAGUUGGUUCAAGUCGUGGAUGGAUCAAAUACAUGAAAGGACAAAUAGAAACAAAAGCAGGAACUGAGUAUGGGGAAAAACUCACUCUUGGAGCAUCUCCAGUUACACCAAAGUAAUCUGCAACUGAUUUACCAUCCUUGUUGUCCAUUUCCACAUACACAAAAAUAAGCUGCAAGGAACCCAGAAGAUCAUAUUAAUAAAUAAGUUAGCUGUUAAAAUGUCUGCUAGAAACAAGGAUUGAACAUAGACAGUGAUCACAUAAUAUAAAAGAGACAUGUCAAAGAAACUAAGAUAUUUCUUUCUUUUUCCACAAGUUCUAUAAUUAGUUGUUGUUGCUACAUUGUUUUAUUAAUUUUGCAGAGCCCAAAGGAUUCUCAUGGCUUUAAAAUGUGUCUACAUGACUAAGAUGAGUUCAUACAUUUAUAAUGUUAGAAACUUUUUCCUCUAUCCACCCCCCUCUCAUAUGCAGGCAAGACAUCUUCAUCAUGUCUCAUUGGAUUGCAGAGUCAAACAAAAACAGACACCCCUUAUAAGCCAAACAAACAGAGGCCCACAUUAAGGUCGAGGAUAAACUCUGAUACCAUUUAUAAUAACCUAUUUCCAACCAUGUAGAUAUUGUUGACUUUGGACCUACGACUUUAAAACUUGUUUACAUGUUAAAGAGGAGUUCAUAUAUAUAUAUAUAUGUGUGUGUGUGUGUGUGUGUAGUGUCAAGAACUUUUUCCCAACUCCUCGCAGUUCUUUUCCUCUUGACUGCAUAUGAACUUAAAGACAAAUAUUUAUAUCCCAUGCAGUACAUUCAAAAAACAAGCACACAUAUAACCAUGCCCCAAGACCUAGAUCUCAGGGGUUUUUUGUGUCUGCAACAUAGUGUCUAUAUUGGAACCCAACAUCCAGACCCAUGCUUGUAUUUGUAGUGAAGAAACGAUCACAUCCAAACAAUGACUAAAAGCACACAUUGCAUGGACUGUUUUUAAUAUGACAACAAUAUUCAAGGAGAAUAUGAUCAAAUGAAUUCUAGGUCAGUUUCUUGGUUUGAUAUUGAUCACAAACUAAAAUCUGGAUGAUUCAGACAGUUUUUCAUUUGGUGGGAAGAAACUUAUUAAUUAAAACAAAAGAAAGGAAAAUUCUAAAUGACUUAUCUACAUUAAAUUAAACAAGGCAAUGGUUAUUCACAUAGAUGGGUCUGAGUUCAGUAGAGGAACAAAACUUUAUGCUAUUAACAGAUGUUCAUAAUGCACUCCACAAAUAAUAAAUUUACCUUUCCCUUGAAAGCUUUUGCUGCUUCUUGAAAUUGAGGUAGAACAUUCUCUGAAUCCUUUGAAGUGGCAAAAAGCAACAACUGAGAAAGAAACAGAUACAUGUCAAAAUGGUGAAAUAUUAAAAUACCUAAAUGUAAGAGUAUGGAACCAGCAGGACUCACCUGUUUUUUAAUUGGAUUUUCGAAAAUCUGCCGAGAACUUUCCUUAGUAAAAAUGAUUACCAAAGGAUGCUUGUUUGCAAAUACAAACUCAGCUAUAGCCGAUUUGAUAAACUGACCAUCUGUUGACAUGAAAAUUGGAAGUAUAAGUAAAGGUCCCUCUGUAAUAUACAUUUGAAACCACCAGAGCAUUAAGGUGUUGAGCAGACUAACCAAAGUGGCUCAAUUUUUCAGCCUCCUUCUUUAGCAAUACCAGUGCAGGACGUUUGACUUGUUGAUCAAUGUGGAAAAGCUUUGCCACCUCUGGACUAGCAGUUUGAUAGAAGUUGACAUCAUCUUCCAAUCUUGAAGCAGCAGCCAACUCCUGACUCUCUGGACCCUGUAAAUAUUGUAGGAAAUAUAGUUGAGCAGUGUUUACAUCACAGAGGUUUAACAUGUUGACCUUCCAUAGCUUUCAUGAAAUAAUUCCACUAAUAUAGUAGUGAAGUUCAAAUAUAUGCAAGUUUUUUUAGUUAUCAAAAUCCAAUUAAAGGAAUUAAGGGGGAAAAAAUCUCAAACUCAGGAAUUGAUCUUUCAGUUUCUAAGGGCAAAUUGUUAGCAGUGCUCAAUCUCUCCAAAUUAUGGCAUUACAACCACCCAACCAGCAGAGGCUACAAAACUCUUGGAGACAUGAUAAGAUUAAGCAUCUAAUGCAGUUAAAUAAAAUCGCAGACAGUUUAUGUCAGUAAAAUAAUACAUCUGUUUCAUAAUUUCCAGGUUUCUAAGGUUUGAUCAUCUAAUUGGAAUUUGAUAAUCUCCAUAAAAGAAAAAUGGAUAACCUAGAGUAUUAUAGGAAAUAUUAUAUCAAUCAUCAUUGUGAUUUUUAAUUAUCCACCAAAACUACUGUGGAAUUGAAGGAGGAAGAACCUUCGCAGCAAAGAACUUCCAGGAAAAGAGAAUAAAAAGCUCCAGCUAUAUUUUCAAUAUGGACACUUGUUUUUGUUUUCCUUGCUAAUUCACUGUCAAGGUUGUUUGGAAUCAAACCACAAUCAGUAGAGUGCCUUUAGAUAAAUAGAGAAAUACCUCUAAACUGUCCAGGAACCCCAAAACAAUUUUUGAUUCUGUAGUCAAUAUGCUUUCUGCCUCCACUGUUGUUGUUAUGUUGUGGAUGCCAGACUCCAUCUUCUUCUUAACCCAAGCCACAAUAGCAUCUCUGUAUAUUAAAUUAAGAAGUAUUAAGACUGAUAAGGGACACAAAACAAGCCAUUCUUUUUCCACACUGCAUCUGCAAUGAUGAUCAAUCCAUAUUUUUAAAACUAUUACAUGAAAGAAUGCCCCAAAUUACAACAACUACUGCAGGUAAAUGUUAAAUCUUCCCCACUUGAAUUUUCAUCCAAACUUUCAUGACAUUAAAAAAUAAAAUAAAAUAAAAAACUCAACUGCUAUACAAUCUAGUUUCUUAUUUCAAUUUAUAUUGUAUUAUAUUUUGUAUUGAAAAUUUCGUCUUAAAUUUAGUUUAUGUUUUUUGUUCUGACUUGAGCCAUAUGAUCAAUCAGUGGCAACAAUGUCAAGGUUCAAGGUUGGUGUCCUCCAUCAGAAGACAAUGUCAAGUGCUGUAUGUUAAAAGGUACAUAAUUAUCUCAAGGCAAGACUUAAGCUUGUGCAAGAAAUACACAAGGUACUUGGGCAAUUGUGUAAGAGACUUGCAAACAUGUAUUAAAGUGGCUAAAGAGGUAAUUUUCUGCAUCUCAAUUGCACAAAUGCACAGGAAAGUCCAAAGAUGCAAUCUUUUAGCAUCUCAUUUGUGCACAUGCAUAAAAGGACUUGUACACUGUGCAAGCAAAUACAUGAAGUAGCAUCCCUUUUAUGCAUGUCUGCAAGAGAGGCAAGAUCAUUUUGUAAGUCUGGUGUUAAUCCAUUUCAAAUCUUUGGGUAUCAAAAGUUAGUUAUAAAGGUUGUCACAAAGAUCUAACCACCGAUAAAUAGGGCUUGAUCACUUUAUCCAUAACCAACUUUGUUGAGAACUCAAUGAGAGCAUCUUUGGGAAAAAUUUAGGGUUACUUGUCACGAAUUUAGGCCUUUCCUAAGCUCACGUGCGGCACUUAGACAACUCAAGCCACUUGAUGUUGCUAAAUCAGUCUUUCCCCAAUCUUAGCUUGCUAUGCUAAGCAACGCUACAUGACUUUGUAGCUACAAUGCACAAUGAAGGCAACACUUAAGAAAGAAAGUUUUGUAUUGCACAAGAAUGCUUUACAAUGCUAGGAAGCUCUCAACCUACUUGGUGUCUUGGCCAAAUGAGGUCACCUCCUAUUUAUAGGCACCCAAGGACCUCUUUGGAACCCACAAAGGUUCCACUGUACCCUAAAAUUCUCUAGAAUUCUCUAUACAAAGGUUAUGUACAACAUAUGUACAAGUGUAAUCUAGAACUCUCUAGAAUGCCUCACACACUUCCCUUGUCUUCCAUCCUUGUGUAGAGAUGUGUGGACAUCUCUAGACUUCUCUAAAAUCUUCCACACUCCUCCACUAGUAGACAAAUGUGGAUUGUUCUAAGAGGUUCCAGAAGCUUCCUGCUCUCCCAUAUAAGUUCAAAGGAGGGUUAUUUGAGCAAUUCUUGUGUACACUAGAGACAAUUUUACCACAACUUUGAAUUCUCAUUGGAUUUUUUAUCAAUGCAAUCUCAUUCAUUCUCAAAUGUAGAGGGAGUUCAAAGAUUUCGCAUGAAGGUAGGAGUCUUGAAGAAAUUUUAAAUGUUAGAAGAAAUCAAGGAUUGAUUGAAAAGGAGUAGCAUGGGCUAGGCAAACCAAAGAUUAAUGUAGUGGCUCAAAUUUGGUAAGAAAAACAUUUGUAUCAAUUUUUUUAUUAAUGGAUUGUUGAGAAGUCAAUUGAGUCUCAUGGUUUUUUACCUUGUGAAGACACUUUCCAUUAAAAUGAUUGAGUAAUUGUGGAUGUGUUUUUUAUUUGGAUUGUGAGAUACUAAUACUUUGAAUUCAUAAAAUAGAACAUUCCAUCAAUUGAGAGAAAUUUAGACAAAUUUUCUAUUGACAUCAAAGCAAGCUCGCUCAAAAUUUAUUUUGAUUCAAUCUGUAAAUUGCUUAAAAGAGAAGCAUCAAUAGCAAGACCUCAAUAUUUUGGGAUGACAACCACACUCAUUCAAAGGUUAAUACAUACAUACAUAUAUAUAUAACGGACAAGUUUAGAAUUCAGUUGAGCUUGGUUGAUCAUCACUUAUGGUUCUACAGAAGGAUACAAGUUCUAAUGUAUAGAAAAACCAAAACUAAGUUGGGACAAAAAUGAGAAUGAAAUGAGUGAGAACAAUGUGAAAGUCAUGUAAUCAAUCUUUAGUGCAUCAAGUUGUGACAAUUUUCAUAAAAUUUCUUCCUCUAAAUCUUCUAGGGGAGCUUGAGACAUAUCACAAUUAACUCAUAAGGGCACAAACAUGGUUAAAUGCCAAAACUCUUAAUGCCCUAUAACUAUAGUUAAUUUUAUUGAUUGGUUGGGAUCCUCUUAAGGUUGUUUUUGGGCUAGGUGACUUUUUGGGCCUCUUUAUUUUUCUUUAGCCUUUUUGGUGAUGGGUGUUUAGGUUUGUAUACCUUGCAAAGUUCUAUAUACCUUGAGUCGCUUUUUUGGCGUCUCUUUUUAAUGAAUUAUCUUUACCUAUCAAAAAAAAAAAAUGGUUCAAAUCCAUUCAAAUAGAAGACACUAAGACUCUUUUUAGAGAACAAUGCAAAGUUGAUGAGCAAAAUAAAUUAUACCUUUCCAGAUAUACCUUCAAUGGAGAUUAAGAAUCUUAAGAUAUAUUUUUAUGAUGUUAUAUAGCUCUAUUAGAUUCAUCUAAACACAUUUUUUUUUCCAAAAAAAAAAAAAAAUCAUUGGAAACUUCAAUGUGUUGAUUAUAAGGAUGUAGCCAUGGUUGACAUGAGUUGUUCAUAUGAAUUAACAGAAUUUCAAAUACUAUAAGCAAAAAACUUGAUUCAUAUUUUGCAUAUGGUUUGAUAAUGUAUUUGCCUAUCAAAAAUGAAAAAAAAAAAGUAGUUUUGAAAAUGUGUGAGCCAAGAUUAAUCAAUAAUCAACAUGAGAACAUCAAUUGAUAUAUCAAGGUUUUACUUAAUUAAUUCUAGAACAAUUAACGAUGAAUUUUCUAGAUUUCUACCUCCCUAUCUCCCUAUCCCUUGGUUGUUUGCCCAUGUUUAAUAAAAAUAAAUAAUAAAGGCAUUUGUCCAAAAGAAUUUGUGAUACACACUUUAAUUUCACCCAAAAUACCUGUGCCAAUAUGAUAUGACAAGUGUGUGGGUAUCGAUAUGGGGAUCAUUUUCAAAUACUCUUAUAUUGCUUUGGAUAUUCUCUAUUUUCAUUAUUUUUUCUUUUCUAAAGAUAAGGAUGAAAGAGAAAAGAAAGAGAACCUUGUUUUUUCCAAGGAAAUGUUAAUUUUUUGUUUCUAAUUGAAAAUUUCCCUUUAUUAUGUCAUAUCCAAAUAUCAUUCAAGAUCAUUUUUCAAUCGAAGCCCUGUAUCCAGAAUUUGAUAUAUGAAGGAUCAAAAAGCUAGAUACAUACUAGCAUUGGCCCCUGUACCCAAAUCCAUGUGACAAGCAAAAAAUAUUUCCCCCAUUUAAUAACCAAGUCCUAUGCCUAAGUAGGCGCACUAGGAUUUGUGUCAGAGAUGGUAAGAGAAUAGUCAAGAGCACAAAUGAUGAACAAUAACUUUUCUACCUACCCAAUAAUUAGGUUUCUUGGCUAACUAAAUAGCAAUGAGACGCAUCAAACAAUGGAUAUAGCAUGUAUGCAUAUGUAACUUAGUUGUUGCACCCUUUUUUGUUCGAGUCUAUGUUCCUAACAAAUGUCUUAGCAUCUAAUGUCCUAAAGCCAAUUGGCUUCAUGGUUGUUGCUCUUGAACUUACUACAUGGGCUAUCUAGAAAGCUUAAGAACUUUGUUGGGUAGUGCUUUGGUAAAAUAAAAUAAAGGUUAUAUAUUCGAUGACUAUGACUAUUAAGGACAACUGACUCCAAGUUGUCUAGUGAAUUAAAUAAGUCCAUAAGUUGAAUUUGUUGAUUUGAAGGGAGCAAAUUCCUAGUAAGACUUGGUACGUCAUUGAAUGUGCAAUUGAUACGUUUUAGAUUUCUUUUGUCUUUGUGUUUUUUUUUUUUUUUUUUCUGAUAGGUAUCAGAUUUAUUGUCUUAUUAUAAAAAAGAUUGCUUUCAAAACUAGUGUUGAGUGUAUCCUUAGUUUUUGGUUUGAUCAUUUUUAUAAGCUCAAGAGCAUGUCUUUGUGCUUGCUCAAUCUUGCAGUUGGCUUUGGCGAGCAUUUGCUUCAUUUUUGCAAGAUGGAUGACCUUACAUGAUUCCCAUUGACCCAAUAUGACAUGCUAAACAUCAUUCAGAAGUUCAAGUAUCAAUCUAGCUUUCGUAACAUUCAACUUAUGUAUUACAUUCAUAUUAGCAAUUCCAUCUUAAUUUUAGCUUUGGUUUUUAUAACAACUUGAAUCAUAUGAUCAAUCAAUGCCAACAAAGUUCAAGUUCAAGUCCAAGGUUGGUGUCUAUCAAUAAAAGACAAUGUCUAUAUGCUCUCCAAUAUUUUAAAAGGCUAAAAGCGGUCUCGAGGUGUUUUGCCUUAAUGAGAGGAAGCAUAACCUCAAGGAACAAGGCGUAAGCCUCAAUUUAAAACAUCAUAAUAAUAAUAAUAAUAGUAAAAAUAAAAAAUAUCUUAAAAUUAGAAAAAUACUAACAAAUCACAUGAAAAUUAAAUAAAAAGUAAAUCAUAUAGUAAAUAAUAAUCAAAUUAGUUGAAUGUCAUUUUCAAUAACUUCUAAUUUAGUUUUUCUUGUCUCUUCUAAAGUCCAACUCUCUCUCAUGCAUUUAUCAAAUAAUCUUCAAAACCACCAUCAUUAUCACUAGUAAGAUUCUCCAAUGAAUCAUAAUUAUAUCUCAUUACUCUAUUAUCCUCUCCAUCAAUGUUAUUAGCAACCCCUUUUUCUUUAUCCAUUAAUCACUGUGAUCUUUUUUUCCUUUAUCCAUCAAUAAUAAGAUAAUGAUUAUAUAUAAACUCGAUCACUAUAGUGAGCAACAAUUCUUUUAUUUCUUCUUCCCAAUCUCUUCCUUUCAUUUCCAUUUAAAGGAUUAAUUAGUAGUCAACAAAGCCCUUAUUUUUUAAAAAAAUUAAUCCUAAUCUUGGAUGCAAAACAAAACUUAUAAAUCUAUACCAAAACCCUCUUAACAAAUGUAUAAAAAAAGCCCAUAAAGGCCUUAAACCCAUUCAAACGUUUUGAAUAUUUAAGGCUUAAGCCUUAAUAGCCUCAAUGCUAUAACCUCAAGGCUAUAACCCUCAAUCGAGUGAGGCUUAAACCUUGAUUACCCUCUAUUAAGGCUAUAGCAUGAAGGCUAAUUUGCAUAGCCUAGCCUUGAGGCAAGCCUUUUAGAACAAUUGCCUCAAGGCACAAAAUAAUGGAUUGUAGAAUAGUGAUGCAAACUUAACCUUGAACAAGGAAGAUGCAUGCAUGUGUAAGGCACUUGUGCACAUGUACAAGAGUAGCCAAAGAGGCAGCUUCCUACAUCUCACUUGAGCACAUGAUCAAGGGACUGGCUCACAUGGGCAAGAAAGUUUAAAGACAAGUUCUUUAGCAUCUUACUUUCCACAUGUGCAAGAAAAUCUUGAACGCAUGUGUGCUAAGGACUCGCCCAAAUGCACAAGUGAGGCAAGAUCAAUUUAUGAUUCUAGUGCUAGUCUAUGUCAAUUCUUUGUGUGCCAAAAGAUAGUUAUGAAGGUUGCUAUGAAGCUCUAACCAACUAUAAAUAGGGUUUCAUCACUUAAUUUACAACUAACUUUAUUGAGAGCUCUUUAAAAGCAUCUUUGAGAAAAAUCUAGGGUUAGAUUUCCACAAUCUAUAUCUUGUGUGCACUUGAGACAAUUUUACCACAAUUUUGGAUCCUCCAUGUAUCAUUUAUUGGGGAUCUUGAAGCAAUUUCAAGUGUUGAAGAAAUUAAGGAUUGAUUGCAAAGAAAUUACACAAGAUGUGUAGGCAAGAUAUUCACCUAGUGGGGCAGAUUUAAAAAUACAAUCAUUUGGAUAUCCAUUCUUUGAGUAAUGGAUUGUUGAGAAACCGAAUGAGGCUUGAGGUUCUUGACUUGGCAAAGAGGAUUUCCAUGUAAAUUAUUAAGUAGAAUGUGGUUUUUUUUUCUAUAUAGUGUGACAUGUUAAUAAAUUGAAUUCAUUAAAUAGAACAUUCUAUUACUUGGGAGAAUCUUAAAAAAAAAAAUCAUAUAAGAUGUUAAACAAGAUGAAAAAGGAGAUUCCUUAUUUAGUGGUGUUAUUUCGUAAUUAAUAUUUAAAAUUACCUUGUAUCCUAAGAACUCUACUCCAUUUUAUAAGUUCUAAACAUCUGGGUUGUCUUCUAAUGUUAUAAAAGUUCUCAAUUACCAUAACAUUUUAAUAGCACGUAAUAAAAAUCAAAUGGAAAACUCAUCAAAGUGAGCUAUUUUCUUACUACAAAAUUCACUAAGGCUCCAUUUUAGAAAGUAUGAAGGAAAAUACAAUGAAAAGAAAAUGGAGGGGGAAAAUGGAAGACAAGAAAAGUUGAAGCAAAAUAAAAAUAGGUCCAAAUUAAAUGAAUUUUUUUACAUACCUCUCCAAAUUUAUUUAAUGAAGAAUGUGAAAAUAUAUGAAAUUUCAAAAAAAAAAAAAUUAUAUUUGAUUCCUUUGUGGUUUUCAAGAUAAAACAAAUAGGAAAAUUUGGAUUCUUUCCUACAUUUUUUUUUCCUUCUUUUUCCCAUUUUAAAGUACUCUUCAGGAUCCAAACGGAGCAUAAAUAAAUGAACUUAUUCGAACGGAACAGCAAUCACUCAUAUGGAAAAAUUGAAAAAUAAGUAUGGUUUUGCAUCUAUUUGCUUCUUCUCCGACUUAGCCAAGAUUUAACAAUUUAAGCAUAUCACAUUUUCCAACUCAAGUCAAAAUCUCCAACCCUCAGGUUGAUUGACAAGAAAACCACAGAAAAGCAAAAAAACAAAAAAAAUUGAAUCUUAUAUUCGGCAGCAUUGUUUUUCCCCAAAAAUAGAAAAACUCAGGCAUAAUUAAAAUGCAAGACACAUUUUGUUAAUUUCAUUUCUUUACCUACAUUUUCUCAGCACCCAAGGAGAGCACAUCCACAAGUCAAAAUUAAAAUCCAACAAAAGCAAAGGAAUUGAAGGAACUCACUUAGUCCUCAGUCCAGAAUAGGCCUUAUGAACUCCAUCAGCAUAGAAAUACAAAGUCGGAAACCCCUGCACCUCAUACUUGUCCAUGAGCCCACUCUCCUCCGUACCAUCAACCUUGGCGAGCACCGCCUCUCCCUUCAACUCAGUCGCCGCCUCCGCAUACUCCGGCGCCAGAGCCUUGCAAUGGCCGCACCACGGCGCAUAGAAUUCAACCAUCACGUAGGGAUUCCUCUCCAGGAACUCGCUGAAAUUCGCCUCCUUCAACACCACGACAUCCUUCUCGUCCACCACCUCGCGAUCCGAGUCGUCGUCGCCGCCGGCACCGUCUGAAUCGGAUAGGUCAUCGUCAUCGCCGCCGCCGCCGCCGUUGAAGCGGUUUGGAUCUGGAGGAGGCGAUACGACGUCGUUUUGGUCUUGGGAUUGGAGCAGAGUGAGAUCUUCUGGUUCGUCGGCUUUGGAGAGGGAAAAGGCAACGAAGGGAAGAAGAAUUAAGAUUGAUAAAAUCAUAACCACUCUUCCCGCCAUUCCGUAGAGCAGUGGAGAGAGUUUCGGACGGUACAGACGGACUACAGAGUCAGAGUGUAUGUGGAUCUGUGACGGAGGCUUAAAGUACAGCACUGUGACGUUGAAGAACACUACUGCUUGAAACGUGGCAGACUUUUAUUCGCAACAUUUUCCGAUCACACCCACAUAGCAAAUCAAAAGCGGACACGUCUGAGCAGUGACUCACAGUGCAAGGUUUGACUCAGGCUUUCUGGGACGUGGAAAACAAAAGAGGAGAACGAGAGUUAAGAGGGAAGUGGAAAAUGGGAAGAAGACUUAUAUGUAAAUAUAUUAUGUGAGUUUUUUAUCAAAAUAAUUCUUUUUUGAAAAAAAAACACCCAAUUUCGAUCGGUUUCAAAACACCCAAUCAUUGAUUACGUUUUUAAUGAAGGAAAAAAAAUAUCCAAAAAUAACAGAUUUAAAAAUAAAAAUAAAAAUAAAUGAAAAAAUCAUUUUUAGUGACUUCCCUUAUUAUUUUCAAAUAUAUUAUUCUUUUAAAUUAAAAUAAUAUUUGAUCUUACCCUUCUAAAUUAAAAUAAUAUCUAUAAUUAGAAUUUUUAAAAAAAUCAUAAAAACAAGUAUAAUUAAAAAAAAAAAUCCUAUUUGAAAUUUUUUUAUGUUAGUUGAUGAAAAUGAAAAAAGAAAAAAUCAUAACACACUUUAUUUGGUUUAUAUGAUGUUUUGAAAGUUAAAAAUUAAUGAAAACAAAUUGUUAUUCCUUAUUAUAAAUUUUUAUUUUAAAAAUAGUUUUUUAUUUUUUAAAUUAAAAACUAUUUUGAAAUCAUACCAUGGAAUAGACUCCAACUUUAUACUUGUUGCUUGAAAUUAUUAUUAUUAUUUAUUUUAUUUUAAAAAAUUACUUGUAGAGAAUAAUUACCAAAUAAACACAAAUUUUUAAAAACAAUUUUUUUUUUUUUUACAACUAUAAAUUGCAUGUGGCUCUAAUACCAUAAAGGAUUAGAGACAACUAUAAUUGGGUGAAAGCCUGACGAAGCAAUACUGCAUGGAGGUAGAAGGCUCAUGGAUCAUGAACUUCUGCUCUUGAAGAAGAAGUAAUGAAGGUGUCUAAGGAAUAAGCAUCAAUUAGCUCUAGGUCAACAGUCUGUGGUAAUACAGAGAAUGCAAGUAUCAUCUGGAAUGAUUGGACGUAAAGGGUCUGUAGGUGAUUUUUUAAGUCCAUCGUCAAAUCCUAACCCUAGACAGGUGGUGAAAACUACCAAGGUAGAGUAUGGUAAGGGUAGAGGGAACUUUCGAUGGAGUGGUGAAAUACAUAGAGAUCGGAAAGAACACUGCAUGCGUUCAAAGAACCUAACGGUGAUAGUUGAGUGGAAUGCUCCCUGUCUGGUUUAGAAUAAUAAAUUCCAAGCUACCAAAUAAGAGGUGGGGCUAAUCUCUAAAAGUUUCCUUGAACAAGCAGGGUAUUCAAAUAUUUAACGAAUGAUAAUCAAAAAGUGCAAUUGUAGAAACAAUAACAGAGAGAAUGAAGUUCUACAGCUGCAAAUUGGCAUUGGAUGAGGCCCCAUUUCAUAGUUUUCCCUAUGGGCAAAGUUUUAGGCAGAGCUACUCAGCUUGAAAGCUUUGAAAUUUGCAACAUGGCAAUUGUUCUCAAAAUGCUUUCUCCUCUCUACUCCCUCAAGGACCAAUCUGAUUCACUUUCUUUGGACUUGAAAACUAAGCAGCCGUGCCAAUUAAUACAUUCCUGAUCAACUUCAAGAUGUCCGAGACCUGAACAAAACCACAGCUACUUAAAAACACAUCUCCUUAAGAAAUUCAAGCAGACAUCAGCUGAUAUGCAUGCAUAAAUAUAUGUAUGGCUACAAGUGUUGUGUGCUUGCUAACUAGGUAUAGAACGCGACGAGUGCACAGCACAAUAAGUCUUCUCAUUGAUGUUCUGCCGCAACUAUGAUUCAAAUACAGCUGAACUAUUGAGGGUAUGCCUCAUAUUUCUGCUUACAUCCUUUGGAACAUGUCAUAGAGGGGAAAACGGUUGGUUCUAAUGAAAAAAAAAAUUAUUUUUCAUUUCAUGCCCUGCCUAAAUUCAUUACCAAAAAAAGACAGUUUUGAUUUCAUUGCAUUUUCUGGCAUUUUUCUAUGAAAAAGUAUAGCAGCCAUAGUUUUGAACAUUGGUAGCAAUACCAGAACCACAAGUUUGGACGCUUGGAAAACUGAAAAGCGAAAAAGCAAGCACCAGCCUUUUAUAGUUAGGUUUAAAUGGAUGUGCAAGAAAUGAAAGUGAUAUCAGAGGCCCAAUCCUAAAAGAUUCCAGGAGAUUAGCCUAAAAGCUUAUUUUUAGGCUUGAGCCUAACUUCUGUCAACAUUAGACUUGUUAAUGCUUUAAAUUAGAUUGACAAUUUUGUUCCAUUCAUACAUUGCUUCCCACACUACUUACUUUCUUGGGUCUCUACCAUCAUGAUUGAGUUUGAGAUGUUUGAAAGAUUAUUUCAAUGGAAGUAAGUAGGCAUUCAAUCUUAUGACAACGCACUAGCUAUUUAAAAUGCCAUGAAAUGGAAAUUCAAAGCAAAAUACACAAGAAAACAGCCAAAAAGGCAAAGGGAGGAGGGAUAUUUGAAUGUCCAUAAGGGAACGCUCAAACACCACCUAUUGUGCAUUUGAAUGUCCCACCAGCAUUCAAGUGCCCUCCUACAUGCAGUUGCAUGCUCAGCCAAAUUUCAUCCAAUUUCGUGAUUUUUAAUGUUUUAAAAUGUACCUUUUGGUAAUUUUACCUUUCAUAUGCUUACUCUAGGGACUUUGAUUUGUUGUUGAUGAGAUAAUGAAGAGAUAGUCAUUACUUUGCCUUAAAACUCCUAACUUUCAAAAUUUUCAAGAUUAUUCUUGGAAGUCAUCAUGGGAUUGACGACUAAGGAGUAAAAGGUGUUGCAUCAUGGACGUGAAAGAAGAAUGUAGGGGCUGAUAUCAAGUAAAACUAUGUAUCUUUUUUUUUAAAUCUAGUAGAUUUAAUAUACAGUGUCCAUUGUGUGGAUCAAUUAUUGUUAUACUUUUUUCAAAUUAUUUUUUAAUUCAAAAAUUGGAUCUUGAAUUGAUUGAAAUGCAAAAGAUAAAAAAGGUUUUACCCCCUUCCCAUCCCUUUGUAGGUAAUCCCGUUCUUUUCCUCUCUUUGGGCCUCUUGUACUGCAGCUUUUAAAGGAGUUCCUCUAAGUGUUUUACAACUCAACUGGGCUGCGAUUUGCGCUUCAAAAGUUGAGAGUGUUGGGGUUUCUCUUUGUUUUCACUUUUCUAAAGUUGGGUGGUUUCUACUUUGUUCAGUUUUUGUUUUUGUGGGAAGGACCUCUCAUCCUUCUCUUGUUUUCUUCUCUUUCUCUUGCAUCUUUUCUUCUAUUAAUAUAAUUUUCUUUGUUUCUGAUCAAAAAAAGAACAAACUUUCAAGAUUGAAAAAAGAUGAAGGCUGUGAAUAUAAUUUCCCUUUCAGAACAAGAGGAACCCAAAACCUUCCUAUGGUUGGAAGCUAGGAAAUAUAACUUACUACAAAUGCUGGUGGUAAGGCCAUGACCUGAGGAAUUCACAAUUUUCGCAAAGAUAUGGAAUAUGAGCUGCUCAGUUUUUGUGAGGUCUGGGUUAAAAUCAUUGGCUGAUGAUCAGAUGUUUCUGACUGGACUAGACAUUUUAGUACCACCACAUGAAAAUAUAAAACAUUUUCAACAUUAUGAACAUAGCUCACCUCAAAAUAUUGCUGCAAAACUGGUGAAUACCGAUCCAGUGUCAAGUAUAUUCUCUCAAGUAGGCCCAGAAGAACAUCCACUUGAUCACCCAACAGAUCCACCUAAAUGGAACAUGCCACCAUCUUUAGAAAAAUAAAUUUCAGUUUGAAAACUUACAAGCCAAAAUUCAAAAUAACUCCAUCUGCUAAUCAUGAACGUAAAAGAAAUGCAAACUGUAAUUGUAUUUUGGAACCUCAAUUUCAGCCUUCUGGAGAUUAUGGCACCUCCUCAUAAAAGCAUUCCUGUAAAGCGACUCUUUUUGGCUUAGUGAGGCAAUGAGUUCAACAAGUGAUUCUAAUUUAUUUUUUACCUCAUCCAACCUGUAAGAGGCACAAAGGAGUUGUUAGCUCAUGUAGAGGUACGUUUAUUUUUAAGUAUAAAUUGAAAUCAUAGCUAAAUUUGCUUGUGGGAAAUGCUUUUCAGUUCUUUAUACUAAUUUUGAUGUCAUCAAAUCCUUGUAACAUAAAAAAGUUCCAUUCUCAUGCAGCAACAUAUAUAUAGGUGAAAGAUCUCUCUUCAAGUGGUGGUGGUGGUGGUGGUGGUGAUGUAGUGAGAGCAGGAUUGCUAUCUUAGGAAAAGAAAAUAUAAUCAUCAUAUUAUGGACGCAAAAAUCUAAUGAAAGUUGUCAUCUACAAUUAAACAUGAUUUCAACUAUGAAACAAUGAUUAAUUCAAGUCCUUACAAAAUGCCUAAUCAUCAUAAAGAUUUAGCACACUUUGUUUAAUAAAAUAGAAACAAAUACAAAAAUGGUUCUGCAGAGUCUUGACAAUAAAACCAACAAGGGGAUCUGAUCAAAUGUUUGAAUUGCAUGUUCAUAAAACAGUAGAAAUUCAUCCAAAAUCUAAGUACCUCAAAGCAUUUGUUCUCAAUUUUUUGUUAACUGCAUCCUCAAAAUCCACAAGUAGUUGUGGAAAUCCAAUGAAAUUGGAGAACGCAAAAUUAGAUGGGUCUGACUGUGUUUCUUUUGGUGGGCAUGGGUGCACUUCAUCACGUGCAACACCUUCAAUAGGAGUCAUCUGAUCAUGAACCUUUACCAAAUUGCCUACAUCUAUGCCUAUACUAGAACCCAAGUUGCUCAAUAGAUCCUUACUCAUAAUUAACUGCUGCAAAGUCUUCUCUAUUUUGCUAAUUACAGAACUGAUCAUGCUUUCCUCCUCAGUCAACAGCUCUUCAAACAAGUCAUCCCACUUCAACCAUCCACAUCGCAACCCCACAAGGUUAAUAUAUGCAUUAUGUUCCUUUAAUUUAGAGCUUGCACUCAGCAUCAAGUCUUCCCCCAUAUAAAAAGAUUUUAGCAGUGAAUUUAGUUUCUGAAUCAAACUUCCAUCUCCACUUUCCUCUUCAAUUCCAUAUAACUUGUUAGCAGAGAACAAGUUGCCUGGAAAAUUUUCUGGAUUCUGGCCUUCAGAUUCUCUUGGAAAGAUAUAAGCAUCUUUCAUUGCCUCAACAAUGACAUAUUUAUAUAUAUCUUCCUCAAUGAGGCUCCCCAUGUUAUAAGCAUCUAUAUCCAUUCUCCAAUUCUGAACCAUUUCCUUGAGGAAAACCAUACAAAUGUCCUCCUUCACUAGGGUUUCUAAACUUUGAGAUAACUCAUUGGUAAAUGGGAAGUUGCACAGAGAAUUGUCCAGAACUCUAACCCCUUGCUGUUGACUUAAUGGGGAAUUGGAGAUGUUCACAAUAUCUUUUAUAGUCUCAUCAAAGACAAUCCAAUAUAUAUCUUCCCUAAGAAGACUCUCAGACUUAUAACUUUCUAUGACCUUGUUCCAUUCCUCAACCAUUUCCAUGAUGAAAACUGCAUAUACAUCCUCCCUUAUUAUGCCCUCCAAGUUAUGCAACAACAUAUUUGUAGAUGCUGAGUCUUCCAGACAGCUAACACCAGCUUUGGCACCCUGAUUUUUUGCUAAUGCAAAGGCAUGAGUACAGCCAAAAUCCUUAACUGCUUCAUUGAAGAUAAUGUAAUAUAUUUCUUCCCGGAUCUGGGCUUCAGCUUCACUGCUUUCAAGGUUCUGGUUCCAAUCAAUGACCAUUUCCCUAAAGAUGUCCCGACAUAUACACUCCCUUAUCAGGGUCUCCGCAUCAUGAUUAUAGAACUUGAUAUAAAAUUCUUUCAUCAAUCCUUUAAAAAGAAUGACGUUAGUUGCUUCCAUUAUCAUGGAUUGCAAAGCUAAAUCUUCCACAUCUUGCUUUAGUUUCUUUAUCUCAGUCUGCAGUUCUUCAUCUCCUGCAAGAGAAACUGUAUCGCUACCCACUUUCUCCAUAACAUCUUCUAAAGUAUCAAUUCCCAUUUCCAAUUGAUCAGUUAUAUCAAGUCUUGAUAACCUUUUCUCAGGAAAAUUUUGCUCCUCAUGGAUGCCAAAAUCAUCAUGAAAAGUUUCACCUAACUCAGAUUUCCAUUUGAUUAAAUUGUUCAAUUUUACAAUAACUUCUUCAAUCCUUCUUUUUGGAUCAUCAGGAUCCUUGUCACUCCUGCGAGAUGAAAGUCCCUUCUCUCGGAGAAUUUCUCCCUUCACCAAAUUCAGCUCUUCACAUUUUUUCCUGAUAAUGGAUUCAUGGCUCUUUAUCAUCUUUGCAACAAGGUGGCUUCUGUCCCCUUCUAGAUCCUCUUCAAGUGCCUUUUCCAUAUGGUCCAAUUCUUCAACCUUUGAGGAGGAAUUAUCAGGUUUGCCAUAAAUUUUGCAUUCUGGUAAACGGUUUUCUCUUGCAUGUUGAGAGAUCUUAAACCCAGUAUUUGUUUGGGAUGAAGGAGCUAAAGUUUCAUGAUGGUUGGUACUAUUUAUCUGCACCUCAUUUUGACCACCAAGAGGCACAAGUUCAUCACGCAAAAUAGUAAUAUCAUUCACUAAAUCAGUCCAUUGCUCACUUAAGAAGAAAAGAGAAGCUUGCUUUUUGCACUUCCUCAUUUCCCCUUCAAAAUUCUCCCCAAAAUCCCUCAUGAAGCCUUUAGUCAAGAUGGAUAUUGUGUCUUUCUCAAUAGUCCACCUCCAUUGCUGCUCUAUUGUUCCCACCUCAGACAAGAAAAUUGCAUUCUGCAUCUUUCCAAAAGUAACGUCCAAAGCUUCUCUUAGGCUCUCUAGUUCCGAGCUCAUUUGAUCGAAUCCUAUGUUCACUUCUGGCCUGAUGGAAUAAUUUGAGCGCUCGCUCUCACUAUCGUUCACCUUCUCACAAAGCUCAAUUUCAUUACUUUCAAUAGACCAACCCUGUUCCUUGUCUCCCAGUCCAGAAUCAGCCUCAAGAUUUACCAGAGUGGAAGGGGCCUGGUUGACCUUCCUCAUCCCACUUGUUAUAUUCAUCCGCUCAUCCUCAAGCUUUUGUUUAAUAUUCCAAACCCUCUGAUCUACAUUAUUCUUUAAUUCACAAAGCUCACCUUCUCUAUUUUCAUCCCCACUUAUCCGAUUGCUCAAAAUAAACUCUUGAAGGCCCUCACUCUUUGUUUUUUCAACCUCAAGGUCAGUACAAAGGGAGAUUAACUCUGCUUCUUUUAGUUCCAAUGCUUGCCUAAGCUUCAACUCAUUCUCUAACCUCUCAGUUAACUCUCUAUCCUUCUCUGAGAGAGCAAACUCAGUUUCCUUAAGACGUCCUCGAAGCCGGUCUCUAAUUUCUUUCACAUCCAGGAGCAUCUUUUCAUGGCAGCUUUCAGGGAUGUAGUUGUCCAUCUCUUCUUCGACAAAAUUCAAACAACCUUCCAAUUGCAUUAUUGCCAAUUCGUAAAACUUUGUUAUCUCAUUCAAACGCCCUAUAUCUCCUUCUUUGGACUUGACUUUUUCAUGGGCUUUAUCCAUUGCAGAGUGCAAAAUUGACAUCAUAAUAGAAUCAGUUAUAGAAACCCUUAAUCUACAAUCCAUCCCAGCAAAAAACCCAUCCAUUAUUCCUAGAGAAAAAAAAGAAGUAAAAGAAAUAUGUCACCAAAUCAAAGCAAUGAGCAGUUAUCUAUGGCAAGAAACAAAACAGAGUAUAGACAUGCAUAAAAUAAACAAAGAGUUUACAUAAUUUCUUUACAAAAAAUAUCAGAAAAUUGUCUGUAAAACCAAAGAAUAGGAUCUAACCAGGUUGGAUGUGUCAACUCACCUGUUCCAAGAUGUUGCAAGGUCCACUCCUAUGUGUCUCUCUCUCUCCAGGUGUUUGUCAGAGCUGCUUUUGCUCUCCCUAUGUCCCUACCUCAUGAAAUUCGGCCAUGUGUUAGUUGGAAUAGGUUAGAAGACCAAGUCAUGUGGCACUUUACCUGGGAUUUACCCAGAGCAAGUGAUCAACAAACAAACUUCUAUAAAAACCCCAUCAGAUCUUAGAGGCUUGGCCACAGUUCCUCGAGAAACUUCAUGAAUGUUAGGAAAGCCCAUCUUAGGAAACAAUAGCACAGUUCAAGACUUUAGAGUUUGUGGGCUCAUUAUUAGAAUUACAAAAUGCCAUUUUCAGGUUAAAUCUAUGCUGGAUCCCAUAUUUCAUUCUUAGGCUGGAAGCCAACACAGCCCAGAUCACCAUAAGCAUGUACCCUCAUUCACAUUUAUGAGGUUCACUCUUAUGCUCUAAUUUCCAACUUCUAACCACAUCCAUGGUGUUUCACAUAUUUCUCUUUCCAACCAUUAAAUCUGGUUGGUGGAAGAGUCAUUUCCUUGACGUUUUCCAACCACCACCUCCUUCUGUCAUCAUCUUGGUUUCCAUUUCCAUCACCCAGUACCCCUCCAACCUCAGUAGUGAUACAACCACACCUUCACAUUCCAAGAGAAAUUAGCAAACUUGAGUGCUAAAACGUCUCCUCUGGAAUAAAAUUAAGAACAACAUAAAAUAUAUGUAAGGAUUCAGAAAACCCUCCUCCAGCUCUGAUGUAGAAUUGAGAAAUAUUGGUUUACAUCCCAGAACAUUAAAAAUGUAGGUAUAGAUUAUUUGUCUCACAAUGAUCGAUACCCUUAUAUCACUUAUCAGAACUGAAAAAGAGUUGAAGCAUACAGCUUAUUUUAAAGGCAUAAACUAGUAUAUGACACGGCAUGUUAUAACUUAUAAUUGGCAUCAACGGCGCCUACGCGCCACCAUCUCCACCACCGGCAGCGGCACUUUCGGCUCUGGUUCGAAGCCACUCGACGAUGUCCCCAAACACCAACUCUACAUUCUCAUCAGGCUCACCCACCAACUGGUGGAUCAUAUCGGGGUAGAUCUUCAGCGUCUUAUCCUUACUCGGGGCGCGUCGGUACAGCUCCUCCACGCACGCCGGAUCGCACACCACGUCAUCGGCGCCGUGCACCACUAGAAACGGCACCUCCAUCUCACCGUAUCUGUUUUGGAUCUCUCGGCACACUCUCAGAAGCUCCUGCGCUGUGGCGGCUCUCGGCCUCGCCACCGGACGGCGCGGGCUCGCCAGGGCCAGGUUCCGCUUCCACUCCACCUUGAACGACAACUGCGGCAAGGCGCCGCGCGUGGGCACCACGCGCCACGUGGGGACCACGGCGGCCAAGAGGAACAGAAAGUGCUCUAAUGGCCAAGGGGGUUUGAACUUGGGGCUUAUUCCGCACAUGGCGCCGUUAAGCACGAGGCCGUCCCAGGGGCGGCUAGGUCCGCGGCGGAGAGUGAUGAGGAGGGCGAUGGCCCCGCCGAGGGACUCGGAGUAGAGGAAGGAGGGGAGGGAUGGCGCGUGGCGGGCACGGAAGGAGUCGAAGAAGGCGAUGCAGUCAUCGACGACAGGGUUGAUGUCGGGGAUAUGGGCAACGAGGCCGUCGGAGAAGCCGUGGCCCUGGUGAUCGAUGGCGCAGGUGGCGAAACCGGCUUUGGUGAAAUGGACGGCCGUGAGCUGGAGAAACCAGCUGGACUCGCCGGUGAAACCGUGGACGACGGCAAGAGUACCGAUAAUUUUAGUAGGAGGGAGGGGAGUCCAGGACUGCGUGAAGAGCUUCAUGCCCCUGGAGUUGGUGAUGUACUCGGAGGAGUGAGUGACCGAGUGACGAGCGUAGAACUCGGAGGGAGAGAGCGAGCCAAAGGGGCUCUGCUCGUUGGCCUCAGCCACUGGGUGCACCAUUGUUGGCUAAAAUGCGCCUGGACUGAGAGGCUAGUAGUAUCAACUAUCAAGUGAAGCGCAUAUGCAGAGAGAAGAGGAGGGAGGGUUGUUGAAAACGGGUGGGGUGGAUUUAUUAAUAUUCAAUGCCUCCAUUCUUGGACAUUAUUCUGUGAAUUUCGUCUCAAAUUUCUGCGACUCUUUCAAAUAUGGACUAUUUGGACAGACGAUGAAUCCCAAGCAACUCAAAAUUUCAAAAAUAACCCUGCUAUUAACUUCUUCCUUUUUUCUUUUUCUUUUUUUAACGUCUUUACCUCAAUUUAUUUUCCUCCAAAACCACCAUAUCCCUCUGGUCUAUUUUCCUCCAAAUGUCUCUUUUCGUCUUUUCUCUAUGUUUUAUUCCAAAAAAAAUUGAGAGAAAAUGUGAUGAAGAGAAAAUAAAAAGGAAAAGUAGUAGCUGAAAAUUAAAAAAUAAAAUAAAAUAAAAUAAAUAAAUUAUUUUUAUAUAUUAUUUUAUUUAAUUAAAUUUUUUAUAUAAACAUUAAAUAAUUUAAAUAUAUAUAUAAACUUUUAUUUAAUUUUAAUUAUAUUUUAUUUUCUUUCACAAAAACUAAACAUAAAAAAUCAUUUUCCUCUAAUUUUUACAAUUUUAUCUAAUUUCCUUGACUUUUUUUUUUCUAUCUUACUAAUUUUAAGUUAGUUUUAUUUUGUUAUCAUCGAGAUUGCACUAAUUUUCUCUUACCACUAUCAAUUUUUGUUUAUAUUUCUCUCACUAAGACGCUCUCACCCAGUGAUAAAGAAAAAUCGAUAAUUAUGGAUAUAUCGAUACUUUGAUUUUACAGAUAUAUCGAUAUAUUUUGAAAAAAAAAAUUGAUAAGUUUAAAAUUUAUUAAAACUUAUGAAAAUAUAAGAAAAACAUGUAAUUAGAAGUAUAAUAAACAUUUUAAAGUUAUUUUGUUGGAUAAUUUGAUAUAUAUGUAUGUGUUUGAAAAUUGAAAUUUUAUAAAUUAUUUGAAAAUCGAAGUUUUGAAAAUUGGAGUUUUGAAAAUUAUUUAAAAAAUUAAGUUUUGAAAAUUAAAUUUUGACACAAAAAUAUGAAAAAUUAAAAGGAUGACAUUUGACCUUUAGGGUAGUGCACUGGAAGGUGGCCGUGCAUAGCCAUGUGGGAGUGAGUCUCAGGGUAGAGAGAUGCUGGUAGGAAUGGGUAGAACUCUGGUGUGCUGCUGAAACUUCUUUAGAUCAAAGCAUCAAGUAGCUACAAUCUCUUCAUAAAUAUAAGCUUUCAUCAUUGAAAGGUGAUGGAAAUCUCCAUUAAAAUCAAGUUUUCAUCUCGGCUCAAAAUGGCAUAAAAAAAUUCAAGAGCAUUAUCCACUAAAGCACACACUCAUGUAGCCAUAUAUUCUACAUUAUUUCAACCACCAGAAAACCAUUUGAUGGCUACCACUUUCAACCAUUAAACUUCCCAUAUUGUAUCCACUUUAAACAAUUACAAGAAUUAUCCAUUAUGAAACCACAACUUCCUUAAUGUUCAGCCAUAAGAAUCUUCAUUAUGCAACCACAAUUUCCCCUUAACUCCAUUAAAAAUUUAGCUGCCAAUACACCUUAUGCAGCUAUCGAAAUUCAUUUUUUUAACAUUGAAACUUCAACCACAUUCUCUAUUGAAACACGCACUGAAAUUCAGCUACAUUCCCUCACUACCACCAUAUGCGAUCCAUAAUAUCACCUAAACUCCACUGAAAAUUCAACCGCCAAUACACCUUAUGCAACCACCAAAAUUCAUCUUUUUACCAUUGGAAAUUCAGUCACAUUCUUUAUUGAAACAUGCACUCAAAUUCAACUACAUUCCCUCACUGGAUUCUCACCAUAAAAACCACCAUAUGCAGCCCACAAUAUCACCUAAACUCCAUUAAAAAUUCAGUCUCCAAGAAUCCACUAACAACAAUGAAAAUUCAGUAAGUUUUGGUUAGCUUCCGCAAGCACAAGUGGAAGAGUAGAACUCCACUUUCAGCAAAUAAAAAAAAAAUUCUCAUUUUCUCCAACCAUAGCCCGGCCAUUGAUGAUAUCAUUCCACCAUCAACAAGAAACAUAGCAAUAAAUAGAGAAGAAUAAAAAAAAAAAUCAAAAACAGAGUAUGAACUUAGCUCUUUUUCAUGAAUUGUCAAAGAGCUAGGAACAGGUGGAUUUAGCAAAGAAAGCAAGCAUGAUUCUUAUAUAUAUCAAGUCCAGGGAUGGAGUCAUGCAUCAACUACUUACAGGAGGAGUCAAGGAAACCAAGAUAAAAUCAAAUAGAGCAUGUAUGCAAACAAACAGAUUCAGCCAAACAGACUAAAAAUCCUUAAUGUCCAAACCAAACAAUAAAAUUACACCCAAGAAUCCGCAGAAAAAUGUAGGAGAAUGAUAUGAAAAUGAGGAAAUGUGAGGUUCACAAAGACCUUACUUGGGAGGCCUUUCCUCGAGCAAGACUUUUUUCGUCCAGCUUCCCAAUUCUUUUUCCUCUGCUCCUACUCUCUCUAUCUCACAGUUUUUCUUGUUUUCCUUGCAAGAAUAUCAGUAGACUCACAACUCUCCUUUUUUCCCUCAAGCUCCCCAAUGGAUCCUCUCUAACAGCUCAUCAUCGGAAAAUGUUCCCCCUAAACUAGAAUCCGAAUCUUCUCUUUUCUUAAUGUCUCUUAUCUGAUCUAUCUUCCAUUACCUCACUCUCUUGAAAUCACUCCCUUAUAACCCUCUAGUUCUCCCUUUCUUUGCUCUGUUUUUCUUUCUUCUUUUUUUUUCAGUCUCUGGCUCCUUCCAAAAACUCGUUUUCUGCAACUCUCUUCUUCUCGAAUCCCUUUCUUUGUCACACUCCUCCGGUCUCCUCCUUCUUCUCUAUCUAAUGCUCAGAUCAUCAUCAUCUUAAACUCCCUCCUUCCAGCCAUCUCUCUCUUCCCCUUUUUGCUCUGUUUUUCUUCCAUUCCCAGUCUCUACCUGUUCCACUGCUUACCCUCUACUCCCCUACCCUCUAUUCAAAAAAUGUCUCCAUCUCAACCACCACCAUGGCAAGGUGGUAUUGUGUUUUUGCCACAUGUCCCAUGCAGUUCUGAGCACUUAUGGAGGUUGUCUCCCACUCCUCCAAAUGAAAACAACAAAAAAAAAAAAACCAGUUCCUCUCCGGUCCGAAAAGAGGUCUAAAGUAUGAUAUAAUUUAUUAUAUUUGAUAAUAAUAUGGUAUGAGUGAGUAAAAAAAAAAUGUAAAUUCUAUAAGUAUAAAUUUAUUAUUAAAUUACAUCAAAUAUUAUCCAAUAAUAAUAUUAUAAUAUAUCUAAUUUUAAAAUAUAUUUAAUAUUAAAAUUAUGAUACAUUUAAUUUAAUUUAAUUGUAUUAAAUGGGAUAAAAUAAAUGAUGAUAUAUGUAUAAUUUUUUUAUAUUUAAUUUGUAUAUUAAUAAUAUUUAAAAUACUAUGAAAAAAUUAUCAUAAUAAUUUUUAUAUUUUUGGUAAUUAAUUAAAAAAUUAUUUGAUUAUAAAAUAAUUAUCUUUUAAUAAUUUUUUUAUAGGAUAACUUUUAAUAUAAAUACUUUAAGAUAUUUUAAAAGUUAAUAUAUAUUACACCACUUAAAAUAAGGUGACUUGGACUCCUCAACUGCGUAGAAAAUAAGGUGAGUUUUGAUCGCAUUUGACUGGAGUUGGUAGCAAUUUUUUUUGCCAAAAUUUCGACAAAAAUUUAUAUUUUCCUUGCUUCACUGAUUAAUAGGUAAAUGUUGAAAUCUCGGCGAAAUUUUGGUGAAAAAUGUCAAUUUUUUUGGAUAUUUCUGGUCUCUAACAUUUCGAUCCUCUAUUUUGUUUCCAUGACUACCGAAAACGUGAUAUUUCGGCGAAAUUUUUUCAAAAUUUAUGGAAAUUUUCAUCCAUGCUCUCACCUCAUGGUACUCUCAUUUAUAAGUUGCAAUCCUCUUUUAAAAAAGCAUGAAGAAAAAUAUAUGACAAGAUCAAACAAAAGUAAAUAUAUAUAUAUAUAUAUAUAACUAUGACAAGAUUAAAUAAAAGUAAAAAAAUAAUAAUAAUGAUAACUGAAACAACGUUAGGUUGCUAUUCUUAGCACUUAUGGUUGUACGGAAAUUAUGAAAUUUUAGACUAAAACUCAAUGAAAUUACUUGUAAAAGAUAUUUAUAUGAAUUGAAGUGAUAUUCAUAUUUAACAUUAUAAAUUUGAAUGUCACAAGUGUCAAGUUUUUUAUAGAUGAAACUUAAGGACAAUUAAGUAUGGCUUAAAUAUUGAUGGACAAUUCAAUGAUAUUGAGUUGCUUGCAAGGAAUGUUAACACCAAUUAAGUCUAACAUUGUUUAUCAGUACUAAUAUUCAAAUCAUUUUUUGUUAGAAUGAUUAAUAAAGUGAAAAUAAUGUUUCAAAAGAGAUUGGGUGCAAAAUGAAAAUAUGUACCACUUUGAAGGUUGUUAAGGUAAGGAUAAUGGGAUUAAGAAGAAUACGACCUAUGAAAAAUUCUUAAGAUUUAUAUGUCACAUUCUAAAAGCAAAUCCAACAUAGUGUCAUUAUUCAAUGAAAUAAGUAUUCAAUGUUAAUAUACCAACUCCCAUACAACUAAGUUAUUAUGGGGAUGUGAAAUUUUUCAUUCAUUUAAAUUACACAAAUGAUAGGUUACCAAUUCUAUUAAAUAUCACAAUAGAAAAGAGAAUAAAUGGGCAUGAAUCAAUCAUCCAUAUUAAUUUUGAUUAUCAUACGUAAUUUGAGUUUGAGAAAGAAAUCGAUGGAGACCUUAUAUCCAUACAUACAAGUAAACCUCAAAGUGACUUUGAUGAUGAAAGCAAAACAAUAUUAAAUUAUAAUCCACUUAAUUGUUUUGAUAGUAAUGACUUGAACAUUAACAAGGAUGAUGACGAUGGUGGGAUGAAUGUUAACCCUAUUGAGAGUGGCCAAAUGACCCAAAUUAAUUAAAUAAAAAAGACAACCAUAGAAUAUGAAAUUAAUGAAAAUUAAACAUAAGGAAAGAGUUAUACUAGUGUCACUUGUUAUAACCAUAUGAAAGACCACCAAAUAUGCUAUAAUAAGAAAGAAAUGCAAAAAGGAGUUAUACAUGAUUACUUAGAAAGUAAAGUUUCAAUUUUAAACAUUAAAACCUUCAACCAUGUCAUUACAUGUGCAAUCAAAUUAAGAAAUUCUUAUUUAUUUGAAAUAAGGAAAUAUUAUUCAAUAUAUGCAUGUAGCUAAGACAGUAUCUCCCCUUCUCAUCAUCAUGCAAAUAUUUGGUUGGUCAUCAACUCAAUCAAAACACAUUGUAACGUUUGAAAUAAGUAUAGGGUGGGGAUCAACUAGGUCUAAGUGAAAAUCAAAAAACAAUAAAUCCAAGCUAAUUAGAAUUGACCAAAUCAGUUUGGUUUUCAGUUUCUUUAUCUCCUAAUCAAUAAAAUCCAAAAAAAAACCAACAUUUUGAGACUAAUAUCUCUUGUGGUUUAUAAUUAUUCAAUGUUUGAUGAGUUUUUUAUAUUACACUCUAUUAAAUUAAUUUAUUAUUAGAAGACUAUGGUCACAUUGAUUUCUAAAUGUACUCAUUAUAUUUUGGGUUAUAAUUUUUAAAUGUAUUUUUAAUGUCAAAUCAAAGUUGGUUUUAAUUACUUUUAAAAACAAAUUGAACUUAAGGCUUAAAUUAAUUUGUAUCCAACCGAUCAUUUCAAUAGAACUAAAUCAAAUCAACCUCAAAUAAGCUUGGUUUAGUUGAGUUUUUUCAUCAUUGAAAUGUCAAUUUGAUUUUGAUUCAAGCAAAAAAUCAACCAUAUCAACUCGAUUUAACUUUUCUUUUAAAAAAAAUUGAUUAAAGCAUGCAUUUUUACACUCCUAGGAUAAACUAUAACGAGGCAUAGAGAGAGAGAGAAUUUGCUCUAAAUUUUAUUUGAGGAUCACUAAAUAAGGGAUUUUAUUGUGUUUUACCAUCUUAUAAUUAGGUCUUAUAUAUAAAGCAAAAGAAUCAUGAUAUCGUUAUCAAUAUAAUUAUUAACCAUGACAAUUAAUUUAAGUAUUUUUUAUGGCUUUUGGUGUCUAUCUUUUUGGGUUUCACACAUCAAUAAGGCAUGUUAUUUCAAUCAAUAAAACUUUUUCAAUGACAAAAUUGUUAUGAAUUUUGUUUGUUGCAGCAUGCAAGGAUGACAAUAAUCAUAAAUGUCCUUUGUGUUUUAGAAUUGUGAUUCUAAAAAUGAUUCUUCUUGGGAAUGUCUCCUUAUAAAAUUGUAUGAAGUGAUUGAAGAUGUUGAUGAUUUAGUCAUGGUUUUGGAUCAUCACAACAACAUUAAAAAGUUGUGCAAAAAGUGUUUCCCUGUGUAAGCCAUGGUGUAUGUAGUUAUUGUACAAAAUAAAACUUCAAAACAAACUUUAAAAAUGUCAUUGUUAGCCCAAGGGUUCUUCUAAUCAGGUUUUGAUGAUAACAAACCGUGGUUAAGUGACUAAUUGUUUUAAAUUGUUAAGAAUCUCAGGUAUAAUCUCAGGGACCAAACGAAUACGGGAUAAAGACCAUUUGGAAGACUUGUGAUCAUAGGAAAUGAAUGUAAGAUGAUAGCAUGAGUGCACUUAGGAUGUUCAUACAUUUUCAUGCAUCUAAGAAAACUCGGUUUAUUCUUUAAAACUUGAUUUUCUUUGAAACCCGCGUUUUAUCAAAUAUACCUUAGGCAAAUUGACUCAAAAUUGACAUAUUAACUCUCCUAAAGACCUUGCCUAAGUAUUGGAAAAGAAAGAAAUCAAAAAGGAUAGGUUUUCAGGGCCAAAAGGCUCAUCCGGUCGAGGCUAUGGCCAACCGGCUCAACCGGUUGGGGAACCGGUCGACCGGUUUCCCUUGUCCGGUCGAGGGAGGCACAAAAACCUUCUCUCUCUCCCAGUAGCUUCCUCUUCCCGGUCGAGCCUCACCCCUUGUCCGGUCGAGGCAACGGUAACCUGCUAUGCAUUAAAUGCUCCAACGGCUAGUGAUCCGGUCGACCCUUUGCUCGUCCGGUCGAGGCUACUUUCUGUUGUUUUUGUCUCCCGAGCUUAGAAACCUAUAAAUUGAGAGCUCCUCUUCAUUUAUGACAGAGAGAACAAUUGCAUUCAAAGCCUACCUACCUGUUCUUGAUCAAAAAAGCUCUCAUCUUCUUUCUUAGUGCAUUAAACCAUCAAUUGCAUAUUCUUAGUGCACUCUUGCAAUUCAUCCUAGCCUUCUCUUGUACUUGAGCCUUCAUUAAGCUAGGUUGAGAGUUUCAUCCUUGUGUAAACUGAGUGUGAAAGCCUUCAAGUGGUACAAAUCUUGAAGAGAUUGUGUAAGAGCCCAUUGGAGCCGGAAUCCAAGUGUAAGACGAUUGAAAGCUUGAUUGUAGCUUCAAGUUAGUGGAACCCUUACUCGGUUAGGAGAUUGAGGAGAGUGGACGUAGGCAAGGGAGUGCCGAACCACUAUAAAUCUGAGUUUGAAUUCUCUACCUUUAUCUCUUUCCUUUAUUUAUUUUGUGCAUAUAUUAUUGUGUGGAAAAAGAUUUUGAAAAACCCAAUUCACCCCCCCUUUUGGGUAUUUUCCUUAAUUAUUCAUAGCCUUUGUUUUAUCAGUCAUAAUUCAUAAGUUAUUCUAUGAUGUUCCCUACAAACAUCACUAAUUGAAGUUUAAUGUUAUAUUUAGGAAAUUACAAAUAAUUUCUCUAAGAGUAGCAAUAUACAUAAUGAAUGCAUGUGUUGAUUAAUUUAUUUGUUAUACUCCAUCAAAAAAAAUAUAUAAUGUUAAAUACUUCAUCAAUUUGAGACUUUAAGUGAGUGCUUUAAACAUUCCAAGUGGCUCUGAAAUCCUAUAACACAUAAUGAGGGCAUUGUACUUAUAUAAAAGGUGAUUGCGAUAUUUCAUCUGGAUAAAAGAAGUUCUUUGCACUACAUAUGUGACAUUCUCUUAUUUAGGUAGAUGCAUAUUAAAGUCAUGAGGAUUCCCUGUGCCUAAAGUGGAUAAUAUAUACAUAGGAGAGAGCAAAUCAUUAUAAAUGGUAUCAAAGUUAGUCUUCAACCCAAAGUGAGACUUUAUCCGUCCAACCUCACAAAAUAUGUUUAUCUAUUAGAGCUUGUAAUUCUAUGAAACACAAUAAAGAUGUUAUGUCUGCAUAGAAAGAUGAUUGUGGGUAUGAUGAUUAUAAUAUUCCACAUCGAUUAAAGGAAUAGGUGAACAAUAUUUACACACAAAAAAAAGUGCUUUGAGUAUUUUGAGUGGCCACACAAUCUCACUAGACAUAACAAAAACGUUGUGUAUGCAUAAGGGGUGAUUGUGAUGUCCCAUAUAAAAUGGGCUAAAAAGUUUUUUACACUAUAUAUAUAGUAAACUUUUCUUAAUUGGGUAGACACAUUUUAAAGUAGUGAGAACUUAUUGGACCUAAAACAAACAAUACUUACAUAAGAUGGAGUAAAUUAUUACAAAUAAUAUUAGAGUCGAUCGUCAAUCCUAAUAUGGAACUUUGUCUUUCUAGCUUGUAAAGUGUAUGUCUAUUUGCCCCGCAAUCCCAUGUAACAUAAUGAGAAGAUUGUGUUUACAUGAGAAGGUAAUUAUGAUAUUUCAUAUCAAUUAAAAAAAAAAAAGUUUUAACACUAUAGAAGUAGUGAGUUCCUCUUAUUUAUCUUAACUUUACAAUUUUGAAGAUUAAAAAAUAUUAUAAAAUUUAAAUUUUAUGAAAUGUAAAAAAAAAAACCAAUAAGAUGAUUGCGAUCCAUUUGUUCUUAUCAUGUAUUUGUCUCUUUUUUUCAUAACUUUCCUGAAGUAGAAUUCUCUCUAUCAUAGAAAAACUUAUUAAAUGCCAAAUAAAUGAGAUGAGCGAUGACUAGACAAAAUGAUGGUUGGCACACUCAUGCUCCAACAACAUCUCAUUCAUUAGUCAUGACACUUCGCUUCCCAUCUUCCCCUCUUUAACUUCUCACUUUGUCCUUUCCAAGUUUACAUUUAUUAGUCAUGACACUUCACUUCCCAUCUUUAACUUUUCACUUUGUUUUUUUCAAGUUUUUGCCUCUCCUUAAAGUAUGUAUGUAAUUAAUAGAAAUAAGGAAUGAAGUCCAAUGACUUCUUUCUCAAGUUUUUUUCCACUUCUAUAUAUAUAUAUAUCUUUUUAAAUUAAAAAAGUUAAAUAUUAUUUACUCUCUCACACCUUAUUUUUACUAUAUUUCUUCAUAUAUUUUAUUGGCAAAUCGAAGAUAGAUGUCUAGCUUCACCCUAAUUUUAACACCUAAACAAAGGUUUAAAUACUUUAAAACAUUUAAAAUAUUUUCCCAAAAAGUUGUUUAUUAAGAUUGAAGUCAUUUCACAUUGGUUAAUAGACAAAAAAGGGGAGUUUCCUUAUACCAUAAAAGGAGGCUUUCACCCCCUACAAUAUUCAUAAAAUAAAAGGGAUUGCAUUCUUUUGUAAGUUUUUAUAUUCUCUUAUCUUAAUUUAGAGAGAGGUUAUAAUUUUGUCAUCAUAGUGGAUGUUUUUUCGGUUUCUUGAGUAUCAUUUCACAACAAUAUACAUUAUAGGCUAUUAGUUUUAAUAUGCAUAAAGCAAAAGAAAAAAAAUCAUACAUUGUAUUUUGAAUAAGUUUUUUUGAGCAAAAAGUUAAUAAUAAACAUAUUGUGAAAUAAAAAGAGUGUAUUUGUACUUCCAAAAAAUUAAAAAAUUACAAUAAUUUCUAUUGUCUGAUUCGUAUGUCCUAACAUUGUGCUCUUGUAAAGUUGAAUAAUUGACAAUUUAACGAUUGAUGUCAUAAGAUAAAAUAAAAUGUUGAUAGUUAUACCACACAUUUUAAUUCAAUACCACAUAAUAAAAAUUAUCAAAGUGGAUGUUCCAAUUCAUCACAUACAUGGAAUGAGAUGAAUUUGAAAGAACUUAAGAUCGGGGGACAAUCUUCCAAUAUCCUUGAUAAAUGACCUUUUCAAAUAAAUAUUGAAUUUUUUUUUUCUUAAGGCUAUACUUGGAUCCUAAAAAAUUUGAGGGAAAAUGCAAAUGAAAGAAAAUAGAGAGAAAAAGAACCAUGAAAGAAAAAAAAAUUGAAUUUAAAACCAAUAAAUUAUUUUUAUAUGUUAUUUCGAACUUAUUUCACUUAUUUUUUAUUUUCUAUGUAAGAUUAAAUAAUUUUAAAGUACAUAAGAUUUUAACUAAAUAUAAUUAUAUUUCUUUUCUUUCAUAUUUUCUAUGGUGAAAUUAAAUAUACGAAAAUUAUUUUCUUUACUUUUUUUAUCUUUUUGGAAUACUUUUCAAAAACCAUGUAAGAGGUGAAUGAUUUAUGAAUGACAUAUGAACCCUUUGAAUAGCCAAACAAGGUCUUAAAUGAUGUAUAAAUUCUUGAUGUUGGAUGAACUUUUCUAAUAGUAUUCCAAGUGAAUAAUGUACAACAUUUUGAUAAUUGUGUAAUAAGUGAAUGAUAUAUGAACUUAAAAUUAGUAUAGCAUGUAAAAGAUUAUUUCAAAAUAUUUAACAUAAUUAUGAUUGUGAAUUUAUUAAUAUCCAACUUAUUUUUAUAGGUGUUAUGGAUUUAAGUUAUUGAACCACUUAAUUGACUGAAAAGUGUAAGCUAGUGCAUGAUAGUGAGAUGACAGUACAUAUCAAAAUAAUAUGUCACAACUCUAAGAGAUAAAAAUCUUUUAAAAAAUUCCUAAUGAUCUACGAAUUAAAAUGAAUUUGAGACUUAGAUUAUUCAGUGGAAAUAAAUAAGACACUUAAUCCAGUCCGAUAAAUUAUUUGACAAAUCCAAAAAAAAAGAAAAAUUAAGUCAAAUUAGUCAAUUUAUGGAUAUGCCAAUUUUUUAUUUUUUAUUUUAAAUAUUGAUGGAUCAAUUAAUUUGAAAUUUCAAUAAUUGAAAAAAAAAUGUAUUUUUCAUUAGAUAACAAAUAAAUAUCUAUCGAAAAUGAAUUAAAAUUAUAUUCUACAAACAAAUUGUAUAAAAAAAAUAAUUUUCUAUUUUUUUUCAAUUAAUUCAAAAGUCCAUGAAUUGAAAAGUACACUAAUUAAACAAAAAAAUAAUCAAGAAGAUUUACUUAAAUGUUACAUAAACUAUUUUCUUUAACAAAAUUGUUUUUUUUUUUUCAUUUUUAGCAAGGAAUUUGAAAGUUGUUAUUUAAUUAUUUGUUUUAAGGUUUGUAACUUACAUGGAUUUGUCAAGUAGCUCAUAAGGUACUCUUAGGAGUUAUUAUUUGUGAGCACAUGGAGGGAUUUAAAAAAUAAAUAAAUAAAUAAAAUUGGACUUCUAUGCCAAAAUAAAUCAAAUUUAGGGCAUAUUCUUUUUUCUUUUUCCAAAUUUUGGCCUCAAAACAUAAUUCUCUCAAUUAAAUUUAUUGGUCCCUCCUAAAGUCGGGAAUACUAUUUUGUUGACAUACUGAAGAUGAACAACCAAUCAUAUAGUGUGAUAUGUGUAGAUUCUAAAUUUGCCACAUAGUACUUUCAAUUUGUAUCAUCAUAGUCCUAUUUGUUUAUACUUUUAUCCAAUAUUUUAGAUUUCAUUACACAUUAUUAUUUAAUAAUCAAGGCGAGAAGGUCGAUACUAUUUUUCUAAUUAUGAUCCACCUCCAAUUAAAAUUCAAAAAACAUAGUUCAUAAAUAAAAAUGAUCAUUUUUAACUAAAUUUACAUUUUGUAUUAUUAUGUUUAAUAAGAAUUGUAAAAAAAAGAAGGGUGUUUGAAAGCAAUCAUGAAAAUAUCAAUUUUGAUAGAAAUAUUUUAUGGAAAUAUGGAUAUUGAUCAUAAGAAUUUAUAUAAAAAAAUUUUAAAAAUCACAAAAUUAAUUAAAAAUAUGAAACAUUUUUAUCAACUUUGAUAAAUGAAAAAAAUAAUAUAUUCAAUUACUUUUUUAAUAAAUUAAUAUAAUAAUAUUGAUAUCAUGAAAUAGAGUUUCUAUGAUUAUAGAAUAAUAUUUAAUUUAAUUUUAUACGACAUUUGCACAACAAAAUUGUUAAAUAUCUGCAUUUCUUCUUUUGAUACCGAUUCAUCUAAAUUAUGGAUAUAAUGAAUAUACUUGAUAUUAUGAAUAUUUUUAUUCUUGCUAGAAAGAAAAAAUAUUUAUUUAUUUAUUUAUUUGGUGGAACUACAAAUAGCUGGUAAGAUGAGUUGAUCAUAGAUUAGGCCAUCAAAAUUGAAACCUAAUUUUAGACUCACACUGACAUACAUAAGUCCACUGCAAAAACGCUAGCUUUGGAAUAAAAUUGUACUACAAUUUGUAAUGGGCUUCUUGCUCCGUCGUGGCAUCACUUUCAAUUGCGUACGUAAACGCGUGCAAGAGGCUUCGAUGAAUGUUCGAGCGCUUACAGUGAAUGGGUAGAAGGCGACUAGAGAAAGGGCUGUCAGGUGUAAGCUGAACGUGUCCUUUACAUUUAUGAAUGAAUCUGUCUGUCCGUUGGCUUUACCGAUUACCAAACCCAACGGCUCGCAUUUACAACCACACCAUUAUCUUCCUACCACAUAAUUUCUCUUUGAGAAUUAUAUAACAUGAAGAGAAAUUAAUAGUAUAAGAUACGAUGAUUUUAUAUGAAAACCUUAACUUUCUUUUAUAAUUUUUAUAAGAAAAUCAAAUACGAGAAAAUCAUUUUCUUUAAUAUUUUUGUCUUUCAGAAAAUAUUUUUGUCUUUCCCUAAUAUUUUUCGAAAACCAAACAUAGUCUUCAGCACUCAACUAGUUUAAAAUAUAAGUAAUUAAAAGAAAACAUUUUAGUUCAAUUAAAAGACCUAAAGUCCACUUUAUGCUACAUUUUAAUCAAAUUAUCAUUUCUCGAACCUUUUUAGACUUAUUAGUGUCAUCCUAGAUUGAUCAAACAACAAUUUUGAGUCUUCAAAGGAAAGUAAGACAUAAACAAAUAGAAUGAACAGAAUAAUAUCAUCAAGCACUAACACAAACUAAUGCCUCCACUCUAGAAAUUGUUGCAAAAUGCACUUAAACAAAUAAACAUCUUGUGCAAUUAGAUAAAUAAUUGUUUCUGUCUAAAUACCUUUUUUUUUUUUUUUACUGCAGAAUAAGUUGAAAAAAAGUAAUUUUCAUAUUUGAAUUUUCAAAUAAAAUUUUGUACUUAAAAAUAAUUUUAAACUAUUUUUAAAAAUUAUUCUCAAAAAUGAUUUUUUGAGACCUAUUUCCCAAAACGCUGCCAAACAGCCACAGAACACCACUGCAAAAUCUAGAUAUGGCCCCUGUUAUGAUAUGUUCCGGAUGGCUUCACAGAUGAUGAGGAAAAAAAGGCCCCACGGCCAUGCUCAAUAAUGCUGUGGCAGGGAGGGAUGUGGGGAGAUUUGACAGUUUUGUCAGCAUUGAAGAAGCUAAACUCUCUUCAAUCAAACAUUUGUAGAAGAGAGUGAAAUGAACCAGGACUGUAAAUGGAUCAACAUCUUCAUAUCAGCUAAUCAACUAAGCUCAAGCUUCAUUUUUAGGCUCUUUCGUAAACCACCCAAGGCUGAGGGGACCCCAGCUUGAGGAAAGAACUUUUAACAAAGCAAUGAACUGAUUUACAAACUGGAUUGAUUGAGCACAAGAAAAAGUUCUCUAACUACAAAGAAAUGAGACAUGCUUGAACAGGCAAGUUGAGCUUGAUCCAAGAAGAAGAAGAAGAAGAAGAAGAAGAAGAGAACCGAACAUGAUGAGAAUAUUAUGGAGUUUAUUUAACUUAACUAUGUAUGGUCUCUGUUAUUUACUCUGUAAAUCUUGUUUGCACAAGGAUGGCUUUUACCACGCCCCAUAGUCCUUCCCAAAACAAGUACAGUAUCAGUUCUAUUCUUCAUCAACACAAGCUGAAAAUAGGUAGGAAGAAUGUUAUCAGCAUGCAUGACUAGCAAUUUCAAAUUUCAAUGCCCUCAAUAUGUCAAAUGCAGAAUCUUCAUUAAUUUUGAUACUGAGGACAACCCAAUCCAUUAUUCAGCUUGAAAAUGCUUGUUAAAAAUCAUACAGGCAUGCAUGACUAAAAGAUGAAAACAUGAGCAUGAAUAAUUAAAACAAAAGACAUUUUAGCAAUGUCAAUCCCAUCCAAGGGAACCCAAUUAUAGACUAAUUAAAGCACGUUUGAUGCAGCUCUAGCUUCCAACAAGGUCUGUUUUUCUACUUAACAAAGUUUUAACUUCUGAAACCUCUUCUUUUAAGCUCUUAUGCAGAAGGAUCUCACUUCAAAACUUUACUGAAAAGAGCUUUAAGCCACUUCAAAAAUUCUUUAACAAGUAAUCAAAUAAUCGUAAAGCUCUUUAAACAGUCUCAAAUGGCUUUUAGCCACUCAAAAAGCUGCACAAGCAAAGCCUUAUAGUACUGUGUAGAAACCUAUAAUCCAUAUACAGAAAAAUGUACAAGAACUUAACACCCAACUGGCAACUGUUAGAAAACUCAAGUCUUCAUGACAUUUCACAUGGAAAACUGAGAUUCAUUUCAAGCAAAACCCAAUUUAAUCAUGUAUCUUUUCUGUAAGAUAAUAUUUUUUUUGUACUACAACAAUGGUGACAGAGAAUUUAGAAUCCAAAAAUUGCAAAAUGUUUAAAAAUAUAAAUCAAAAAAGAAAAUUGAUGCAUUUUAACAAACAAAAAAAAUUGUCUGCCCUACAAAAUAGAACCUCUCAAAUCCAGAAACUAAUUCUUCCAUAGAUGUGAAAAGUUAUGGUAUCUUCAAAUAUAAUCAGGAUUAGCACGAAGCUAGUUAGGCUUUGUGGAAACUUAAAUACAUAUACCUGCCCAUCAUUUGAUUUUUCUCUCAAUAUUAUGGCUUUUAAUAAAAUAAUAUAUAAGAGAUGCAAAACAUUAGAACUCUACAUCCAAAAACUUUCUGAAACUAAAAAUAGAAAGGACAUCAUCCAGGAAGGCAUAAUCUAAACCAUCAACUCUUGCCAACAGAAGAUAUGAAUGCCUGUAUCAACUGUUACCUCAUUCCAAAGUGGAUUAAUUCCUAGCUGAUGAAGUGCCAGUAGCAAGGUCAGCAGCCUUUUGGGGAAUCAUGUAUUGGCAACUGAGAGGAUUAAUAAAUACACCAACACAGACACCAACAUUCUUUGAAACCAUGCCUCAGUACCAAAAUCUCCACCUCCUUCAGGAUCAAUACAAUCCAUGACCAGCAUUUCACUUGAAUUCCAUCCAUUAGAUCGAUUGGUGGCUGAAUUCAUAUAUCAGUUCUCUAUCACAAUUUUAGUUUAACCCCUUACUCUACUAAAUAUAAAUAAUCUUUUCAAGAUUCACAGCCUUAAAGCAACAAAAUUAUCCAUACUGAGAAUCCUUCACAACCACUGUCACAUCCUUCAUCUCCCACAACUUCAAACUUUUGUUAAGGACUACCAUUCAGAUCAUCCACAAGUAUACCAUGCCUCAAGCAAGCAAACCACAAUCUCUUGACAUUGUACAAAUAACUUAAGCAAAAUUGUAAAUUUUAAUCAGUAAUUUUCUUCUUAUUUGAAAAUAAGAAACAUCUAUCUUAUUUAUCCUGCAGGUUCCUAUUUCUCUAUCUUUAGCAAAUUUGAAUUUUCCAUGCCUUGGGGAAAAGAGAAUAUAUUCUGUUCCCCAUGAAAACUGAAAUCGUCAACAUAAAUUUAGGGGAAGAUACAAAAAAGAAGGCUUCAUGGAAUUGCACUUGCAAACCAGUACUCUCAUCCCAACAAAGUGCAGCCUAAGGAAACUGGAAAGUUUUCAGCUUAACACAAAAUUUUGCAAAAUCCAAUCAGGAAUGCUUCUGAAAUCAAUCCUCUACAAUCCCAUAGAUCUAGGAAAGUUAGAUACUUAUAGGGCCUUCUCUCUCAAGCUCCUUAAGGCAAUUAAUUUUGGAAAUCAUCUCCAUACCUGAUGAAUGGAUCUUCUGGAUAUUAAAAUUUCUCCUUGAACUUCUAAUAUCCCACUCAGCCCCUCUCUUCUAUCUGCUCAGUGGGACAUAAAUUUGAUAACAAUUUUCUUCUCUGACAAGGACAGCCAUCUCCUUGGCUCCCGUUUAAGAUUCUCUCUCAUCCUAAAAAACCAAUACAAAAUUUGUAUAUCCAAAAUGCUGCAUAGCGCAGACACCCAAAAAAUCUGUAGGUACAAUACAGAUGGUGUUAUAUGAGGCAAAAAUUUACAAGUUCCAAAGUUAAUAAGGAAAACCAAACAAGUAAUGUAAACAAGAAGGCAGAUGAUUGCCAAAAGUACGCUAUUUGGUCAUCCCAGUGUGCUGCAGUUCAUUAACUAGCAUUCAAUGGGUUUAGAAUUUAACUAUUUGUCUAUUUAAUGGCUGCAUAAAUACUUUGUAGGCACAUAAAUAUACUGUGGAAGCUAGAUUGCUCCAUAUAACAACCAGAUUCUAUUCUGCAACAUUAGUAAAUGACACGACCAACAAGAGAACUUCUUUUUCUCCUCAUCUUUACACCCUUAUUUUCCUUGUCGUAUACGUUUGUCAGUAAAUUCACUGAUCCAGAUUAUGUUAAACUACCACCAAAACAUUUGGCAAUUAAUUUGCAAAUUAAAAUAUAUCCUCACACAUAAUUUUGGGCAACAAAGGAAAAUUCUGUAUGUCCACCUCUCUCUGUCAACAAUUGAUCACAUUUCCACAUAUGGAUUUUUUUCACAUCUUGCAAACCAAAUUCACCAACUUGCAUUAAUUUGAGCAAGCCCAACUCAAAACCAACCUUCCAAGGCCAACUUUUUACUCCUCAUAGAGGCUGUUAUUCUCUAAUUCUAUAAUUAAAAGGUCAGUUUUCCCAUUAGUAUCAUGCCAGCCUAGAAUGGUCCUGUACUAUCAACAACCACUUUAAUCCAUCUCCAGUUAUAAUUGACCUUCUGGCAGGCAGUGACUUCUUCAAUAAAGUACUAACAACGUUUCAAUUUGCUGCUGCUAUUAUUCUCCUCAAGAAACAUCAUCAAAUUUGGUCCUCCCACUAAAGUUUAAAACUACCAAAUAUUCAUACCACCUAUAAAUAACUAGUUAAAGAGCUCAGGAUUUUUACAAUUGUAUCUCUUCCUCAACCUCCCCUUACAAAGCAUCAAAAUCAACCAAAAACAUACACACAAAUAAAAACCAAAUAUAAGGAAACCCCAUCUGAGAAAAAAGAAAAAUCCAACAAAACCACCAAAAAAAAAAAAAAGCACAAACAGAGGAAGUGGGGUUACCUCCACAGCAGAAACAACAGUAACAGCAAGAAAGAAUGAUCAGGAGGUCUCUGCAACAGGCAAGAGUUCCAUGCUGUUCAAUCGGAGCACUCACAUCGUUAGAGCCUCCUUCUUCAGUAUUCAGAAGUUUCUUCUUAUUAGUUGGAGACUCGUUUUCCAUUCUUUUGAGGUUCCAUUCCAGUUUCUUAAGGUAAUCAAACUUGAACGACUCUCUGAUCCUCAAGGAUGGCCAUAGAUGCAUCUCUCUCUUCCUAUACCAAAAAAAAAAAAAAAAACCCACUAAUAACUACAGAAAUCAGACCUUGUUAGGGUUCUAAGGUUGCUGUGAGUUCGCCCAGACUUCCAACGAGGAGAGGAUUAGCUAACGACGUCGUCUUAACGUCCUCUGUUCCGAUGGAACUGUUGAGUGUAAAUUUAAAAUUGAGAGCGACUAAAAGGAAUGAAAUCUUUUCCGAUUUGAAAAAUUAAGCCUUCACCUUUUUCAACCUAAAAAAUACCUAUUUUAACAAAAGUGCCCUCGUAUUUUUCUUGCAAAAGUAACCAUUUUUUUUAAAACAUACAUGUAAAUAAUAAAAAUGUUGAAGGGUAUUUAUAUCAAAAAUGAGUUACUCUUUAAGUUCAAAAAUUGGGAAGGUUAGUUUUACAAAUUUGGAUGUUUUUGAUCCUUUUUCAUCCAUUAAUCCUUUAAAAUUUGACUUGCUUACUACGUUGGCGUAAGCGAGGUGUAAAGCUGUCUGGGCUGGGCCUGGGCCGAAUCAAUUUUGGAGUUCCAACCUUUCUGGGUUUGUGGGUCCCAGAAUGGUCCACGCCACAGAAACUGGGCUUAAACUACUCGGCCAGUUUUACAGGUCCAUAACAAAGGUAAUAAACUGUAAAGCUCUGCACUUACAAUUUCUUUUUCUCUGGAAAAUCCCUUUUGCUAUGUUUCCUCCUUAUUAUUUUACUUUUAGAUGAAGGAAGUUUCUGUAUGAGUUGUGAUUUGUGUAUAUGUAUGCAAUCACCUACAAAAGAGUAAUCAAAAUCCAGGAAAGAAAACAAGAUGAAGUGAGGAAGCCCAUGAUUCAAACCAUUUACAUUCAUCACCUCAAACAUUGGCUAAAUAUCACAACCAACAAUCAAUCCCAAGAACAAGGCCUAGAGUUCUCACUGCAACUCAUUAUGUGUAUGUAUGGUAAUUCCUUUCAUGCCAACAAACCCCUCUAGUGAAUAGACUCGCAACAUGCAUGGAAUCAUAAAAGGGUUAGCAUAUCUGGAUGCCAGAUGCCAAGCUCCAUGGGGUCUUGAUACCUGAAACCAACGCCCAGCACCGGAAUCAGGUGGGUGGUUGUGAGAAGAGAAAGAGAUGAGAGGAAGAGGAGGAAGAGGGUGGUAAUAGGUGCCAUCUUGAUGAGAGUGAAUGGAUAUGGUACUUGGACGAUUGUUCAUUGUCAUUGAGUCCCCUUUAUUAGGCCUGAGGAAGCGGUUGUUGCUUGAGUAUGAAGUAUUGUGUUACCAAUGCUGUGGGCAACAUGAUUAAAAGUGCUUCUACCAUUGCUUAUUCUAAUUGGAAAAAUGAUGUCUGGUAAACUGGUGAGUGACUGGCAGUUUCAAAGAAAAAAAAGGGUCUAGGAUUAGGUGCUGUGAUCAGAAAAGCAUUUUGUGUACAUAUACACACCCUUCAAUCCUGAACCCGGAAAGGCAAUUGUAUUAACACAACACCAGGGCCAAAUGACUGGAGAUGUAACAUGAGGAGUAGGCAAAGCCGCAAAGGUAUGCUGUCAGUUACUUUCAAAUUGUCAUUUCUUUAAGCUUUAGAAGUGGAGUGAUAAUGGUUUACAAGGGAAGUGGAGGUAAUGAGUGCCUUGAAAUCUACUUAGUAUCUUGCGUGUGUAAUUCAACAAUGCCUUGGUUGGCAUGUAACAAAGGACUUAUUUUCAAUAAGGCAAUGUUUGGUUUUUCUGAUAGUUACACUUUGAAUAGGGGAUAAGGGAAUUUUGAGAGAUUGGGCUGAGCUUGUUUUAUAUUCAAUUCCCCAUAAUUAACUCUCCAUUGAUCUCCACUCCAAAGAAAAAUCUGUUCUGUAUCCAAACUGCUGAACACCAUUUUCAAAAUUCAUCCCUGAGAGGACUAGCAUUUUCUUAUGGAGCUCUACCACAUGGUGAACUCCUCUGAGCUAGGCUAGAAAAUGGAAAAUGACAAAAAUUGGGAGGGGAGAUGCAUGUGCUGAUCACAGAUAAUGAAGGAGUCCAUCAGUGAACAAAUGGGAUAGCAGCAGUGACUGACAUAUAUUGGCACUGGGUGAGGUCUGAGGUCUGAGGACUCAGGACUGAGAACCAUUCAUGCCAUACAAAAACUGAAACUUUCACUUUCUUAUGGGUUGUCCUCAGCCAUUUUUCACAUUUUUUUCUCAGAUGUUUGCAUCCUGUUUUCCAAAUGAGCAUCCAUUCUGUUUGUCCCAGCCAUUGAAAGCUUCUUUUGUGGGUUCAUUUCUCCCUUUCUUUCCAUAUAUGAUUAAAAUGAGUGGAUAUUUUGAUGGUAAACGCCCUGCUACCAUCUGGCAGGAUGAUCAGAGAGUAACAUGCACAAGUCACAUGAACUAUGUGCUACUUUUUAGGCAGUGGUCCAUCUCAUGUUUGGACUCAUUCACCUACUUGGGAGUUGGGAUGGAUUUUUCUAGGUUAAUCCUUGCCUCAUGGCCAUCACUUUAAAAGUGUUUUUUCAUUUUUAUUUUUUUUCAAAAUUUUGUUGCCUUAAAAUGGCAAAAAAAUUCCAAAUAUUGGCAGAAUCCAUGUGAAGAUUGCCUUGGAUUUUAUUUUCUUGACAAAGAAGCAACAGCAACCCACCCUCCCAAAGCCAAUGGGGUCUAAAGCCAAAAGUGCAUCGCCCCUAGGGUUUGGCAGUACCUACUCUUAAAGCUUAAACCAAAAUUUCUAAAGAGUAAUCAAGGCAGACUAGGAUAAGGUUGGUCAUGUCAUUGAGCAUGAUUUUGAUGUACAUAAGCAAGAACAUACCACAAUGUCCAUGUGGCCAGUGGCCACAGAGUACUAGAAUGGAAAGGGAGUGUUCAAUUUGAUAUUAUUUGACCAAAAAAGUUGUUUUGAUUCAAAAUUCAAUUUCAUUGGCCUGCAUUUUGUAAUUUUCUUCAACCUUAAUUUCUUGGUAUUAGUAUCUAGAAUAGGAAAAUUUCACUAAACCCUAUUUAGAAGAGGAGAUAAAAGACUAGAAUGAACAAAUAUUCUAAAGGGUGUCCAAAUUUGAUAUCAUUUGAUCAAAGAAAAAGUUAUUUUUGAACAGGAGAAUGUAUGUUAAAUGGUCCAAACUUGAAAAAAAAAAUUAAAAAAAAACCAGGAAAAUAACAACUAAUAUUUGAACUAGUGGCUACAAAGAGACAAGAGGAAAUAUCUGAGCGAGAUUCGCAAGGACAUGGUUAGAAAGAGUCCAUGCUUUGGAAAUUUGGAUUGGAUUAUUACCAUGGCAGCAGUACAGAGAGGAAAUUGGAUUUGGAAUUUUGCAGAGAGAGGAUGAAUUUGGUUUGGUAUAUUGAAGAGGGGGAGAAGAAAGUUGCCCACUUGCCCCAAUAAGAAAAAAUGAAUGCCCUGUGGACUAGGGACAAAGGGUUGAAUUUUGUGGCUCAACCAACCCCACAUAAAUUUUACUUUGCUCAUCUUUGUAUUGAAUUUUUGGCAACUUCAUCUUCCAGUGCUCUCCAAUAAUGCAAGCAAAUUCAGAAGAGGUUCAUUUUUCUGUCCUCUUCUAAUAAUGCAGAAGUAAUUCACCUUCUAUGGUAACUGCUAAAUUCUAAGUCAGACAAUUUAAUUAUGCUCCAUAAUGGCCACAGUGGGUAUCUGAGAAAAGCAAAGAAAGGGAAGCAGUUGAAGUUAGACUAGAAUCUACGGCAGUGGAUGGAGUUGGCUGAGGAGAGAUUUUGUGAUGAAAUUGUAAAUGAAAUAGCAGGAAAUAAAUAAAAAAAAAAACAAAAUAAAGCCCUUUACUUCCAACAAGACAAAGCCACAACACAGAAUUUUGUUCAAGCAUAAGCAAACAAUGAAAGAGAAAACUAGGAAAAGAUAAGCAUGAAGUGGAUUAAAAGAAAAGUGCUUAAGGGAGGAAUACAAAAAGCUUCCUAUUUCCAUAGAGAUGGUAUCUACAAUUUCAUGCCCUCAUACAUAUCAAUAACAACCUCCAUAAUUAUUCUUCCAAUUCCGAUCACUUCUCCUCCUUCCAAAUUCUUUUUCUUCACCCCCAAAAACAGUGGAAGAAGGUAUCAAAAUGGCUCUGCAAAUCAUACAUGAGUGGUGCUCCUGAAUGACCCAAGAGCCUUGACAGCUCCAGCUCUCAAUAUGAACUGGUGGUAGAAGGCUGCAAUGGCUGCACCAAUGAAGGGUCCAACCCAAAAGAUCCACUGCAACCCAAAAAGGAAAAAGGAAAAUACAUUAGACACCCAUCAUGGUGAUAGAUUGACAGUGAUAAUAGGUAGCCAUGGGGGAGGGGAAUAUACUAACCUGGUCAUCCCAGGCCUUCUCAUUGUUGUAGAUAACAGCAGCCCCCAAACUCCUGGCAGGGUUGAUACCGGUGCCAGUGAUAGGAAUAGUGGCCAAGUGAACCAUGAACACGGCAAACCCAAUUGGAAGAGGUGCCAGAACCUUAAAUCCAAAAUAGCCCAGAAUACAAACAUACAUCAAUAUUUUCCUUACACCAUUAGCAAAUGCAGAAAAUCACAAAGACCCAGUUUUAGAUUAGUCUAAUACCCCCUUUUUCAACUAACACCAACAUAAUCAGCUCAACUAGGAAAAAGAAACAGAAAAAAAUAAUGCUCCAUAUCCCAAGCAAGAGUUGAAUCUAGUGCCUUAUUUUCACAAAAAUACAAGACAAAAUCAGGAUUCAAGUGGAUUGAAUAGGAUAGUGGGGGUGGUUUAAACAUGCCAGACUCAGCCUAUCAAGUGUUUUUGGACUUUUUUGUGGGUAUAGCCGUUACAGGGCCCCCACACUUGACGUUAAAAGCACAUCACUAAAAUACAGGCACAGACCACAGACUCAGAAUACAGCAAAGCACUGGACCCUUCAUGAAGGAAAAAAAAUAAUGUGUUUAAAGUAAAAGCCACCUUUUGGCAACAAAACAAAAACUACCCAUGUCCAUCAACAGUGCCUCCCUCAACCACAUCCACACAUCCUCCCAUCAUGCUAAGAAUUAAGCCGCCCAACGCCUCAGCCACAUUUUUUCUAACUCAAGAACAUCUCUCCUGUCCCUUUUUCUAUGAAUAAGGGCACAAACAUUACUUAAUAAUAUCUACUCAAGAUUCUAACAAUAAUCAUUCACACCAAUUUUGAUUGUAAACAAAAAUUGGAGGAAAAAAAAAAUUCAACUCACAGGAACAUGGGAGUCUCUGGCACUCCUCUUGGGGUCAGUUGCAGAGAAGACGGUGUAGACAAGGACAAAAGUUCCAAUGAUCUCAGCGCCCAAGCCGGUGCCUUUGCUGUAGCCGGUGGAGAGCUCGUUGGCACCGCCCCCGUAGCGAUCAUAGUAAGCAGAUUGGAAGGCUUUGACGAGACCCACACCGCAAAUGGCUCCAAGACACUGAGCCACCAUGUACAAUAUUGCUCGGAUCAGCGACACCUUCCGGGCCAGGAACAGCCCAAAGGUCACCGCCGGGUUAAUGUGUCCCCCUGCGCAUUUUACAGAACUAUCGGUCAGCAUGUGCUACCUUGCGCCAUGCCAUUUACAUUAAGAUGAAUCUUUUGAUUUAAGGAAAAACCAUGAGAAAGGGGAAAGAGUAAAUCAAUUUCAUCUCAUUUAUUCUAAAUUUUUAGCAUGAAAAGAAUCAAAACUUUCUGGGUGGGAAGGAAAUUACAUAAAGCUGAUUGAAAAAGUAGUUUUUUUAAGAGAAGGUUCUCCAUCACGAUCGGAGAAAGAGACCCAUACCAUCUGUUUGGUGAGAAGGAAAACUAGAAAAAGGAUAACAGAAGUAAAAAAUUUAUGCUUAUUUUUCGGUUUGGGGCCCAAAGGAAGGGGUAAGGCAACUCCGGCCAAUAGUUGAGUUGAAGCUUUUUACACUUUAGGAAACAAAGCCAACACUAUUUUCCAAUUAUUUCUCAGAAACCAAACGUCAACUCCAUCAACUACCUCCUUCAAGUGAACCUUUCCAGCAGAAUUAUUUAUCAAGGGAAAAAAAGGACCAAAAAGAAAGAAAGGAAAGAAAGGAAAAAAAGCUAUGAAGUUCUAACAGAUCCUUUCUUUCUUUCCCUUUUUUUUUUAACUUCACAAAGAAAUGGUCAUAACAAUAAAUGAAUCCUUGAAAGAGAAAGACAAAGAGGGAAAAAGAGAGAAAGAAAACCAGUUUUCUAACUGAUGUUUUCAGGGUUUUUUUUUCUUUUCUUUUUUUUUUUUUUGUUCUCGAGAAUCAAAAAGAGUGCAUGAAAACAAAAGAAAAAAGAACAACCCAGAAGAGAGAAAACUGACCAGAAAUGCCGGCAGUGCAGUAAACAAGGAUAAAGAUCAUGCCACCAAAAGACCAAGCAAUGCCCAGAAUGCCAACACCACCGCAUGGGUCACCCCCGGCAGUCUGGCUCUUGUAGCCGAUGACUGUCAGCACCGUAAUGUAAAGGAAGAGCAGCGUGGCAAUGAACUCCGCAAUCAGAGCCCUGUAGAAGGACCACUUAGUGAGCUCAACUGAGUCGAACAGCGGCGCCGGCGGCGGGUCAUGAUAGUCCUUGGCGGAGAAGGACCCAUGCUCCGCAACCUCAACGUCCUUAGUCAUAAAUGUUAUAGCAGAAAAACACUAGGCAAAGAGAAGAGCUAGGGGGGUUCAGGAGAAGGUAGGUGAAGGUGGGAGAAGUUGAGAGUAGAGCGUGGAGACUGAGAGGAAGGGAAGGGCCGUAUUUAUGGGGAAGAAAGAGGAGUGUUGAGGUGGAAUUGGGCUGGGCUGCCUUCUUGUUCACUGUAACCCCUCUGCAAUGGUAAGUGGUAACUUGCCUUUUGUAUAUUGUAUUAAUAUUAUUAUUAUUAUUAUUAUUAUUAUUAUAAGGGCUUUUGGAGUGGGGUGUGGGUGGGCCUGCAAAGGGGCAAAGUGGGAUAGGACACUGCAUUCGCCAGCCAGCCAGCCACCUUCUCACCACACCCUCACUCACUCAGCCGCUGCUGCUGCAGCGCUGCUAACCGCCCCAGUCUCGUGCGACCCCACUUUCAUGUCUCUUUAGUCUUUUUCCAUUCAAGUUUUCUCUUUCUUGUCCCUUCCUUCCUCGGAAUUGGCUUUAGGUGUCUACCCACCAACUCUUUCUGGGCAUAUCCCAUCACCAUUUCACCAUCCCAUUCCUUUCUAACCACACCAAUCCUUGCUUUCACUUCAAAAUAUAGCAUAAUUUUUCUUUCCCAAUCUCAACAAUUCCCCAUUUUGUGCAGGUUUAAAAGAUUAAAAUCUUAUCAUAAAAGCUAUAUUUUAUUAUUUUAUCUCAUAUACAAACAUUUUUCCUCUUCAAUCAAAAUUUUUGUAAUUACCAUUUCAAAAUCAUGACAUUUGCCAACAACAAAAUGUCAUCUCAAAACAGCCUUUACAAACGACCAAAACUUUUGGGGACAAAAAAAAAAAAGAAAAGACUUUUAGUCACAUCUUGAAUUUAGUCUUCCAUUUAGUGAUAUGUCAUGUACUUUCUGGCAAGUAUUUAUCUUCUCUACCACGCUUUAUACCCUCAUAAUGAAGAACAUAAUAUUAUUUUGUUACUUUGUGAAAAAUUUAAAACCAAUUAUGCACUUGUAUAAGAUAUGAUUGAAAAAUUACUUAAGACAACAAAAAUAUUUUUUUCCAUUUUUUCCCUUUCAAAAUGGGAUUAAAAUGGAAUGAAAAGACUUAGAAUUUUAAACUUAAAAUACCAAUCCAAUUAAAUUUGUUUUUUCACUUCUUAAAAUAUAGAAUUUAAAAUAUAAAAAAAAAAACCCUUUAUUUUUUUAUUAAUACACUAUUUAGUAUAAUUGUUUUGAUAAUGAACAAAAACGGCUUUGGAAUGUUUUUGUAAAUUCAUUAAGAAAAAAAAUUCUUACUUAUUUGGGUACAGUGUUUUUGGACAAAAAUGAUUUCUUUAAAACAAAAUUAAUUUUAUUCUCAAAGUAAUAUGUCUCAUUCAUAUGCAUAUCUAUAUUAUAAAACCAUAAUUGAUAAUCAUAAUUUUGAUUUUUUUUUUAAAUGAUCAAAAAAUCAUAGUCGAUGAUUGUAUGUAAUAAUAUACACUCAAUCUUUUAUCAUGUAAACAUGAAAAAGUCAUAUAUAUAUAUAUAUAUAUAUAUAACUUUUUGCAUAUUAAUCACAACAUGAAAAAGUCUUAUAGUCACCGACGGUUUUAUUGAAAAAAAAAAAUUCAAAUGUUCAAGUCAUUUUGCAUAUUAAUCACAACAUGAAAAAGUCUUAUAUAUAGUCACCGACGGUUUUAUUGAAGAAAAAAAAUUCAAAUGUUCAACUCAAAAUCACGACUUAUUUUGGUAGGAGAUUUAAUUUGUAAAUUUUUUUAAUAUAUUAUUUUUGCAACCGAGGACACGCAUAUUUCGAAAAACAUAGGUAAGUAACACACGUGCAACUCACGUGAGAGAAGCUGUGUGCAUAUACGAUCCUUUUCCCGUAUUAAACACUCAUACGAUUGCAUGGAAGGAAGUGCAAUGUUUGCAGUCAAGCGAGGAGAGCCGACUGUGCCCGUACGAUUGUAAUCUGGCGGGGCAGACCCACGGAGCACGGACUCAUUAAUAAGGCCCGCAUUCACACAGCUGAUCGCUCUCACAGGUCAAAGUACGAACGUGGCAGCCUUUGAUUGGUCUCCAUGAAAAGACAGCGACGAAACAAUGGAAAUUCCGGAAAGUAAAACGUGGAAAAAUAUGGGCCAGUUGUUGACCACAAUAUUCAAGACCGACACGUGGCUAAAACAUGAGGCUGGAGAUGAAGUGGCGGUUCCGGGUGGGAUCCCAUGCACAGUCAGUGGACGGUGAUUGGAUGAAUAAAAAAUGGAGAAAAUGUGGGGAGAUGAGAUGACGUCGGUGGACAGGUCAGCAUCAGCUGCUGAAGGGUCAUUCGAGUGCAGUGUUGCUUAAGAAACUUUUCCCUGCUAUUCACUCACUCAGUGAGUCAGGGUCCUUCCGGUCACCAUCAUCAAUGCCCUUUAAUAUUUUAAUGAACAGGUUUAGAUUAUGAAUUCACGUAAAUUUAAAAUAGAUAAUUAGUGGGUGGGGACUGGGAGAGAUUGGAUUAAAAUAUUCAAAAAAUCAUUAGUCCAAUUAUGGUUUGAUUAAGAGACUGAAAAUUACUUAGACAGCACACCACAUGAGCCACUAAUGAAGCCAGGGUGGCAAUUAAAUUAAAAUACCACUAAGUUGGAUUAGAACAUUCUGCAGUCUUCCAGCCUUCCUCAGAAUGGUUGCAGGCCGUAAAAGAUGAAUGAAGUUGGUUUCUUUUUUUUCUUUUCUUUUUUUUGUGGUUUUCAUGAGAUGCGUGUGUUAACAUGUGAAGAUGACCGUUGUUGACUUUAAAAAGCACAUUAAAAUAAGAGCAAAAGCAAAUGAAACAAGCAAGCUUUAUAGCCAUUCUUUUUUUCUUUUGAAGUCUCAAGGCUGUGGUUGCAGAACCGUGGCGAAGUAAUGGUUGGGUCAUUCACGGAUGGGAAUUUCUGGAGCUUCCACCGCCCACUUAACAUCAUCAACAGCUCAUGCAUCAAACCCAUCGCCUUCUCUUAAUUCCAUCUCUCCCUCACUCCCUCUUUCUAAUUUUUUUUUUUUUUUUUUUUUUUGUUUUUGUUUUUGUUUUUUAGUACUAAUCCAUAUUUCCACAUUCAUCACAUGCUUAACCCAGAUUCUUCUUCCACCAAAAGCAACCAACGGGCAAAUCCUUGCACGUGAACAAACAACCCAUUUAAAAUCCCAAAGGCCCACAUUUUUUAGUUCCAAUAUUUUAUUUAUUUCAAAGAGGAGUCUGGAAGGGAUUAAUAAGACAACAAUGCCAGCCAAGAAAAAGCGGCUUCAUAAAUACGUUGAGCAUAGGAAAAAUGAUUGAUUUUAAUUUAUUUUUUUUCUAUGAUAUAAAUAAGUUUGAUAGAAAUAAUAAUAACAAUAAAAGAGAAAGAAACCAGAGGCAAACCGACCAUGACAGCCAGGCAACCAGAGUGGAGGAUACAUGAGCGACGUAGGUUGGCAGGCGGCUGUUCUAAGUCCAAACCUAUUAUUUAGGCUUACCGACUACCAAGUUCGAACACCGUAUAACUCAAUAAUUUUCCCUUGUAUGAUGAUGAUAGCGACCUCGAAAACAUGGCAUUAGAUGGACUCCAAACAUUUUUUUUUAAACUUAUACGGCCCGCCCCCCACCCCCCACCCACCACCCUUGACGCACACGACUCCCAUCACACCAUUUGUAAGCUAGGAUGCUUUUAAUUCCACGUUUUAUAGGUAGAGAGGGAUUGUGGUGUGGGACACAUGGUUAAAUGUCAUAAUCAAAUGCAGUGAGUAACGAGAUUAUAACAAACUAUAUUCCAUUUUAUCCUAUACUUUUUUUUAGUAACACUGUUGAUAUGGUAUGGAGUAUUUGUUACAUUGUUAUUUAAUCACUAUUUUUUACCUGGGAUUUUCAAAUCAUCAACUACUCUAAAUCUAUGAGGUUGAGAAUCAGAAUUUAUUGAGAAGACAGAUAAAAAAGACGCAAGAGUCACAAUCACCACUAAGCAAAAGUGAUGGCUCUUUAGGGUUCAAUAAAUCAGAGCCACAUCUGGAAACCCCCCUGCCACCCCAACUCCAUGUUCCACGAGAGAAGGCGAGCCCCCGUCCAACUCAGAGAUAGGGCCACCACCAACCAAAUCAAGAAUAUGCCUACCAUUAUGAUUUGGUCCCACUCAGAUGUGAGCACACACCGUUCCAUGGCCACUCAAACCUCUAGACAAGGGCUAUCAGGUGGUCCCUCCACCCGUGUUCGACAGAUGCACAGCUCUCAGUCAUAUUAUUCCGGAGCCGGGUCUGUAUUACAACAGAAGCCCUCAUUUCUCAGUCAUCCUUGUCUUUGUUUGUGUGCAGUGGAUGCCUUUUCUAUCCAAAGGAAAGAAACAUUUCUUGCGACCACUGCAGCAAGCAAGGCCAGGGAAGUAGAGAUGGAGAGCUAAGGCUGCUCCAAUGAUAAUCAUCAGAAGAUAUCUUAUUGAUAGUAGUGUAUCCAGGAAGGUUUUCCAAUCAAGACACUUCUGAUUUCUGGCUUUCUGCAAACAAUUACAUGUCCUCCUGCUAUAUUGUCUGCUGGAGAUGCAGUUCUAUCUCAAGAAUAGACAAAUAUGCAAUUGAAGGGUUGAUUUCAAUUCUAGUACUGCCAUAUUGUAAGUUCAAAAAGCAAUCAUCAAAAAUGAUUCUGAUGGCCACCAAAAGUCGUGAAUAUGCUUUUACAAGGAUUAUGGCACAAGAAGAUUCUUGACAAGUUCACAAUCAAGGGAUAAAUAGUUUCUAUGAUACACCAAACAAGAAUGAAAUGAUAUAGCAGCCGUUACUAUGUUCAAUAAUAGUCAUGCACGUCAGCAGAAAAACAAUGGGCAAUGGAUGUUAACUAAAGCCUGUUUUUGAAAAACAGAUUGAUUCCAGAAGAAAUAUGAUUCUACUUCUAACCAAGCAUCUCCAAGCUAUCAAAGCUUAGCAACGCAUUAAACAUAUCAAAUCACUUCCUUUCAGAAAUAUUCAACGAGGAAGUUUUCCUUCUAACAUCCAAAUUCCUCAGCCUUUCAUGACUUAGAUUUGAUAGAAAAAAGAAAAUUAAAAAAUAAAUCAAUAAAACAAAACAAGUGGGGAUCCAACAGAACAACUUGAAUGGAGCCACAUCCAACAGACCACAAAAAGGGGAGAAGACGACAAUCCAAUCUAAUAAGAAAAAAAUACAGAUAAGACUUCAAAACUGUGUAUAUGUGGAUGCAUAUCAAGAUAUUUUGCAGCGAAAUGGCUAAAAGGAAAAAGGAAAAAGAAUUAUAAAAAAAAGGACUGUUCCACUUUUAAAGUUUCCUCUCCCUGCAUAAUCAAAGGAAUGAUUAAAAACAAACAAAAUAUGUGUUUCUUCAAUUUCUUUCCUUUUCAUCAAGAAAUAUUCAAAAGAAAUCACAAUAUAAUAAUUCUUUUAAGCCACUACCUGAGUUGAACCAAACCCACUGCAUCCAUUUUGUAGUUGCCAUUUAUAAAACAUAUUUGUAAUAACACCUAAAAAAGGUGUAAUUCUUUACAAUAACAGACACCACCAAAAUAAUAAACAUCAAGAUGCAUAUACCCCCACCCUACAUCUAUUUUUACUAGUUUAGCAUUCCUAAAUUGAACUUUUAAAAAGUACUGUAACACUAGUAUCAUGCUAUCAGCCAACUAUCCCAUCAUAGUUAGCACCAAAUUAAACAUAACAUGCAAGGCUGUGCUACAAUAUAAUGAUUCUUAUCAUCAAUGGCAAAUAAUAUUACAUGGAUUCAAUCACACAUCUUCUUUGCACAACUCUUGUUUAAGUCAUCUUCUAUUGGCAUUAAAUCUUUUUUCCUUUUGUUAUUGAGAAGCUUUUCUUGCUAACAAUCCCACUCUGGUUUUCAUUCUUCCCUUCAUUCAUUCAGCUUUUGCUCCAUUUGGAUCAGGAAAAGUGGGAGGGAAGGGGUGAGAGUGGCAAAAAACAAGAGAGGAAAGGAAAGAAAGAUUGAAGAAAAAAUUAAAAAUUUAAGUUUGAAUUCAGUAAUUUUUCGCCCCCAAUUUUACCCGCUUUCAUGUAUGAAACAAAAAUUCAGAGAAUGUGUAAUCUUUAAUAUAAUCUUCCAUCAUAUUUUCCAUGGAAAACUAGACGAGCGUUUGAGAUUUUUUUCCUUUUCUCCAUUUCCUAAUACUUUCCAAGAUCUGAACCAUAGUAGAUGUCAUAAUAUUAUUACCAGAAGUGGAAGACCAGAUAUAUCUUUUUAAUUUUUGAGAGAGGAGACAAUAAUUUGAAUAAAUUUGAGAGAUUACAGGAAGAGGAAGUUAAGGUGGUGUGAGAAGUUGAGAGAUUGGAAAGCAUGGAAUUGGGAGAUGUUUAGAGAUUCACGGACAUUAAAGUUGGAAUACGGGAAAAGAAAAUUCAACUAAGUUAUUCACAGAAUGAAGAUGGAACACCAAGAACAGAGAAACAUUAUUUUAACAGUUCUAUGACACUAUUAACAGGUUAUUUGAGCAAUUGGCACCCUUUACAUAUUUAUUAAUAUACAUUCUCUUAUUUGCCUAUCAAAAAAAAAACUCGAGCAGUUCUAUGACACUAUUAAAAGGUUAUCUUACAGUAUUUCACAAAGAUGGGACAUCAAAGCAAAAUUGGCUGAUUCUUCUGAAAUAGUAUGAUAACAACAUAUAAUUCCUAAUUAUACAAAAUGGCCAAAUGGUUUAUAACUAGUAUUCUCUAACAUUCAUAAUUUGGCCAGCUGCAUAUCUUAUUUAGCUACUCAAGUGGGGUUGAGUAAUCUCUUCUUAGAAGAUUAGUCCACUAAACCUUUUCAUAGUCCAUGGGCUAUGAUUUAUGGUCUCUAAAGCAAGCUACAACACAAUUGUCUGGGGCUGCAACAUUGGGCAAGCUUGGCCAAAGUAUUUCGAUAGCUCAAGUUGUAUUUGGUUGAUAGACAUCAUCCUUUCACAAACUUAGAUUGAACAUCAACCCGAGCCUGACAUCUGAUAAAUACAUAGAUGAUGCAUGAUGGGUUGAUUUUUAAAUCAUAAAAGAGAAUAGAAGCAUGAAAUCACACAUGUUUCAGAAGGGCCAAAAGGACCAACCCUACUUCUCUUAGAUAUCUUUACACUUAAUUCCGCCUAUGGUCAUGAGACUCUUGACUCUCUCCUUUUGCUCUUGCUGGGAGGCCUUUGCACUUGUUUUACUCUUUCAUUUCUCCUCCACUUGUUUCAAUUUGGUUUUCCGAAAAGUAUUUUCCUGCUUAUUUUCAACAAGAUAAACAAACAAACCAUCAACUAUUCAAUUUAAUUCUUGUUUUUUUCUAUGGAAUCAUUUUGAUAACAGUAGAUCUGCAUACAGUUUUCACCAAUCUGCCAUAGAAGGAGCCGGAAAUUUGAUCGAUCUGAAGAGAAAAACCUGAAUGCAAAUAGCAUCCGUAAAAAAAAAUCUUGAAGUUUAACUCCUAAGAAGCACAGCUAUUUCCGCAGGAUUGGGUAAUUAUGGGCACAUUGAUCCUAUGGAAACACCACAAAAUAUAAUAUUAAAAUAAUAAAUAUAUAAAAGGUGUAGUAUUUAUAGGGUGAAAUUGUUACAUAUUUGCUUCUUCAAAAAUAAAAAUAUUUAGGGAAAUGCAGAGUCAAUACUCAAUAGGAUGAUUCUGUCCACCAAACUGAAAUAUAUUGUAUUAUCUCUAUGACUAUCAUGAAAUAUUAAAAAUAUUAAAUAAAUUGCAUCUCUAUAAUCCUCAUCAAAUACUAGCAAUAUCAAAUAAACUGCAUAAUGGAUUUAAAUAAUUAUUAUAACAAUAUAUGUAUGUGUUUAAAUGGAUCAAUAUAUUUCAAUUACUAAAUUCUCUCUACUUGAUGUCAAAAAUGUUUCCAAUGGAAAAUAUCUUAAACAACACUAUAUAGUAGUAGCAAAUUACCAAACAACAGUAUCUUGAAUACCCAUCUUCCCUCAGUUAAACUUCACUAGCGAGCGGGCUCAUAGAAAUUGUGAUGUUAUAUUUAAUAUUGACUAAUUUGAAUUUUUUUAUGAAAAAAAUAAGUAAAUACUUAAAGCGCCAAAUACUUAAAGCGCCAAAAAGAGGGCAGAGCCUACAACAAUGGGAGCAUAUAAGCUUACCGUAGAGGGAAGGGGAAAGAAAAAAACAGAAGACCCAAAAAGUAUGAAAAUUUGAUAGGUGGAAUAUGUAGGAUUUUAAGUCAGGUAAGAAUCAAAUAGAAAAAUAUGGACAAGGACCAAGGAAGGAUCAAAUCACCUUUCAACUAUUUUUCAAGGAAAACAAGCAUGGGCAAGAAAAUUUCUGCAAUACUCCAUGGAAGAAAACAAGUUGGAGGUGGUAAGUGCCCCAUCACACUCACUUGUCCAUCUUUUUCUUGGUUCUUCUUUCCAAUUCAUUCUCAGCCCUGAAGUUGCCCCAAAAUGCAACAGGUCAUGUAGCUACCUAAGUUUCUCUUCUACUACUCCAUAAGAAAUUAUAGUGCCACGCACAUGCAACAACUGGAAAUCAACCCUUUCCUUACCUGAAAACUCAAAACCAUAACCAUCUUUUAUUCACCAAUCAACCAGAACCAUAAUAUAAAGGAAAGGAGAAGAUGAAUUCUCCCCAAAAAUUCAGCUCGAUACCCUAAGGAGCCACAUUAUUCAAGCGCACCAGAAUAAGAAAUCUAAAAACGAAACACAGUUUCUUCUUCUGUUUCCCAGUGCUUUCCAAAUAUUGAGAUCCAAUGAAAUAAAUAUAAAAACUCAAAAUGAAGAUACGUCACCAUGAAAUUCCUACUUUUUAGACAUGUAUCAGUAAGUUUUAUGAACAUCAAGAAGAGGAAAACAAAAGCACACUUAGCUUCGUGGACAAAUGCGUUAUCCCUGACCUUAAAUACACUGGCAAUCCAUUAAACUCAAUGCACAUAAAACACCACGUCGACUCAGAAUGAAAUCCAAGAUACCAGUAAACCAAAAAAAGAAUGCAUCAUUUUGUAAUCAAAAUUCAAAACAAAACUUAUGUGUGCAAUAUCAUCCAACUACAAACCCAUAAGAAACAUCUAAUAAUAUAACAAAACAAAGCUUCAAAUCUAAAGAUACAUAAACUUCCAAGUAAGUCCCUCAUUCCAAUUUAUGAAACUUGGACAAAAGAAGCAAACCGUAGCAAUCCGAAAACGCUCAAUCUUCUGGAACCUCGACGUCUCCAUCGGCAAUCUCCUGCUGCAAAUCCUUGGGAUCCUUACCGUCGACCGUGCAGCCGACAGACACGCAGGUGCCGAGAAUCUCCUUCACUGUGCCGGACAAGUCCUUGGCCAUGGACCUAGGGCGCAUGACCCUGGCGAUCUCGAUAACAUCAUCCAGCGAAAUGUUGCCAUUGUGCUUGAUGUUCUUGGUCUUCUUGCGGUCGCGCUCGGGUUCUUUGAGGGAUUUGAUGACCAGAGCGGCGGCGGAGGGGACGACGGAGACCUUGGCCUGGCGAUUCUGAACGGUGAGUUUGACAGUGACACGGAGGCCCUUCCAGUCCUUGGCGGUCUCUUUGGCGAUGUCUUCUCCGAUUUUCUUAGGGGAGAGACCGAGAGGGCCGAUUUUGGGGGCGAGUGAACUGGCGGCUCCGACUUCGCCGCCAGUGACUCUGACGUAGACGUCGACGACUUGGGAUGGGUCGAAUUUGGGCGGCAUUGUGGGGGAAUAGGAAAAGAGUGGCUGUGCCGCGGAGAAGAAGAAAUGAUCAGGGGUUUAUGGGCUUUUAUAAAUCUAGGGUUUUUGCUGAAUGAUGGUCAGUUCCUUAAUCACAAUCCCUAACUUCCUAAACCAAUGCUUGGAUUGGGCCAGAGUGUACCCUAAUACUCUUCCUCCAUUUGUAGCCGAAUUUCAUGAUUUUUUUAAUAGAAUUAAAAUAUAUAUUCUAAUUCUUUCAAACUCUCUUAUAAAUCACUUUCGUUAUAAUCUUGUUAAUUAUAAAUUAUAGCAAUAAGAUUAAUUUUUUCCCUAAUGCAUUGCACUCACACCAAAUAUUAAUUAUAUUUUUCAUUAUUUUUUACAUUAAUAAAAAUCAAAAUCAAAAUCAAAUAAGAUUUUUUAGAUUCUACUUUUAAAAACAGUUUCCAUUUUCCUUAAUCAGAAGUACAAGUGGUGAGAUGCAAUUGCAUGCAUGCAUGCAUAGAGAAUGAAUUUCGACUGGAUAAAGAAUACGAAAAUGAAGAUGUGCUUCACAGUUUGAUAAAGAAACCUGGAUGCCAUUGUUCUUCCCAUAAUAUGCUUCUGAAACAAUCAGCUACUACAUAGGCAAUGCAUAUACAUAUCAAAAGAGGGCAUAGAUUUAUUAGCUGGUUCAUCUUUAAAAACAUCGGUCUGGAAAUCCCAAAUCGUAGCCGAGGCUGAAUCCAUCGAUUUCGUAAGGCCUUGUUUUCAGACCAGCAAGAAUAAAUAUAAAGAAAACUAAGGAGAUAGUUGCGCCCCCGUCUUUUUAUUUGCCCAACACUUCUCUUACAGAUUCUGAAACCAAAGAUAGAAGCAAAAGGUCCUGCACUAUUUCCAUUUUGAUUAAAAAAAAGGCAUAGAAAUACAAUCAAAUACCCAGUAAACUAAGACUUCAACGGUCACCAAGUCAUAUGCACUGUCUUUUCAACCUGAUAAAAGCAGAAUGACCAAAGACCAUUUCCAUAAGGGGCUUCUGUACAGAAUAUACAAAUACCCAAACCUGAAGAUCUGAGAUACACAAUAUACAGCUGGUGCCUCUACAAAGGGCCCUAAUGCUGUCUAGUAUAGUACUGGUGAAAUGGCUGAAACUAACCUCCUUAACUGAACAUGGCAACACUUUACUUUACAAGAAAGGGAUUUGUGUUUGACCUCUAAGCAGAAAAGGCUGAAUCCAUUGCUUUUAAGAUUGCCGUGGUAUCAAACCUGAAGUUUCUGAAGCUCCUGCCAGGACCUGUGUCAGGAGGGUGAACAUCUGAUACGGGUUUUGUUGCCUGGUUCUCCGCUAUCAUUGUGCUACUCCCUGUAGAGCUGUUCUUGGCUUUCCACACACAGAAUCCUUAACAAAAUGACCAAAUGCUCAUCAGCAUAACCACACAAGAAAAUUAAAGCACCACCAUACUUCUUAUGAAAAUCAUAGUAUGCAAACUAACAAAAAGAAACACUAGGGCAUGUUGCUAGGCAGCUUAAUUAGAUCUUUCUCAAAUCUUUGAAACAAAAACAAGCUACUGCUUACUCAGCCUGCUUCUCCAUUUUUUGAAUCAAACAAAUUUUAUUUCAGCAUCAUUUCUGUUUGAUAGCAAAGAUGCGUAGGGAAAAGAGCAAAAAUUUGGAAUGCUAUAACAGGUUGGGGUUUGGGUGGCUGUUGUAAGAUUCCAUCCAAGUUCCCUUCUCUUCAUAUGACUUCCAUGUCAUCAAACCGAUCAUCCAGAGAAAGCAAAAUAGAUUGAUUGCACAGGUAAACCAGCAGGGAAACUUAAUCCUAAUUACAAGUCCUGAUAAAUAGUUUAAUAGUCUGUACUUGUGUCAACAACAAUAUUAAGAUUUAAGACACCAUGUAGUGAUUAUUUUGACGAUGCUUCCUUGUUGAAAAUUUUCUAACAUGGCAAUAUUAAGAUAAUUAAGAAAAAUGAGCUCAGCUUUUUUUCACUGUUUUAGAUUAGGGGCUGAAGAUACAUAAACUAUUGGGAAAUGCAAAUGCCCUGUUUCUGGGGGGCUCUAUCUGAGUUAUUUUCCUUCAUUCUUUUUCGGCUUUCUAUCCAUUAAACAUAAAGAAACGCUUUAAUGGGAUACCUAUCACAAGUAAAAACAAUGAGAGGAAAAUGUCAGAAGUUUCAGAAAUUCCAUUCAUGGAAGGACAAACCUUUGGCAGGCGCAUCAAAUUUUGGGGCUAUGGGGGGUUGAUGUGCUGAAAUCCAUGAUUUCAAAGAUCUGCAUGAGAACACUAUUGAAUAAAAAUUGUCCAAGAAUGUAAAACCCUUUUGGAGAUCAUACCAAAAUUCUGUGAACAAUACUCACAAUAAGAAAGGAGCAACCAUGUAAAGCUUGACACCUGAGAGCCCACGAGAUAUCACAUCACCACUUACUGGCUGAAGGUCAUCGAGUCGAUGCCAUGAGAUUUCCUGCAAGCAGAAAAUUGGCAACCUCUCAAAAUUUCAAUUUUCUGCAAGGUACAAGCCUUUAACAUUGCCUCUCACUUAGUUAAAAAAAUAAAAUAAAAUGAAAAGAUGUUGCAGCAGUCGUGAGAGGUGUAACAAUUCAGAAACUUAAUUGGACGGCCAAAAAGAAGCAUGAGAUGUGUCCUAAGAAGGUCCUUUAACUAAGUAUAAGCUAAAAAAUUUUAGCCUGUAAGAUUACAACACACUAGAGUGAUGAAGUUCCUUAUCUAGUUAAUUUCUAAUCCAAAGUUAGAUAAGAAUUAGAGGGUUUUUUUUUCCUUCUAUUUUUUUAAUAGUUUUCUGUCUCUUGGUAGGAAGAAAUCACUAGACUGAUUAAAUCAAAACUAUAAUCUACUUGCUAUGAAACCUCCAAUAUAAUAACCCUCUGCCAAAGUGCAUAUGCUUUAAAAUCUUCCCAAGAUGAGAACUCCUAAAAGAUUGAUCUCAUAUAGUGGGUUCUGGAGGGCUCAGUUAAAAUGUUCUCUGCAAAACCUAAUGGAUGUGUGCAUGUAUAUAAAAUUUAUAAAAUAUUAAUAUAUAUAUAUAUAUAUAUCACAUAGUAAGAGUGUGCAUGCACGCAGAGGACUGUGUGCAUGUGUGUGAGAGAGAGAGGAGAGAGAGAUUUGCACAUGUUUUGCAAGGGGAGGAAGGUACUAUUCAAUGCCAAAGUGCAUAUUCUAUUGGUCAUCAGUAUUGCAAAUACAAAGCUCUUUACCUUUCAUUUGUAGGUACCAAGCUUAAAAAACUAGUCCAGGAAAUUCAACAAAUUUGAUCUAAGCUGGUAUGGAUUUAAAAACAGAUUAUUUAGCAUGUCUUGCAAGUAAGAAAAAAGCAGGACAUAAAUUUCAGGUGAUAACUUAGAAACCAAGAAAGUUUAACAUCAAAUCUACCCAGAAAUUUUUCCUCUUUAACUGGUAAACUUCUUUGCAAAGAAAAAAAAAACUGAGAAAUGGAUUUAUCUUAAAAUAUUGACAGUAUUUAAAAGGAGAGGAGCAUAUACACUGAUCUCUUUUUUGGUAAGUGGCGCAAAGGCAGUAUCAUCCUUCACACCAGCGAUUAUGUAAAGCCGCACCCUUUGUUGUCCAAAUAUCUCUUCAAUGUACUCAUCUUGGUUAAGAAGUUUUGAGACAUCAAAACCUGUUUCCUCCUGUACCUGCAUCCACCAUAGCAAAUAGUUAGGUGAAAAGUAUGAGAAAGGUAUAGAGAGAACAGCAGUUUAAUUUAGUUCUCCUUUUAUUUCAAACAAAGGCAAAAAGCAAUAAGUGAUAUUGAUUUAAGAAUCCAAUCUGUAGCUUGAAAUAUAAGGUUUCUAAUAAGUUUAGCAAGGUUGCUUAACAAAUUUUAUAUUGUAAAUUUUAAUUACCAUCCUCCUUAUCGCAGACAUCAUUAGCAUGCAAUAAUUAAGAAGAGAAAUUCACACAAAAGAAGAAAACACAACCAAAAGUGUUUAAGGUAGCUAUAUCUAUGGGUCAAGACAGCAAAACUAGAUCUACUGAAUUAAUGGAAAUUACAAGAACAUAAGUUCUUUCUCCUGAAUAUAUAAAAUGAGAGAGAAACAAGCAAGAAAACCAAUCAUGUCUGGGACUCAGGGGUCACUCCCAGAGUCACAAGACACCACUCAAACAACAUCAAAGUAAACAGUUACUCCUAAAUGCUCCAGAACUUUAACAAAAGCCACAACACUUCUCCCUGAACCAUCCUCCCCAAGAAUGGGGAUUUCAAAAUCACCCAAGCAUGCAUUUUGUUAAAAAAGAUUCUAAAAAAGUUAAAGACAAUUCUAAAAAGUUCCCUAUUGAAAAAAAAAAAAGGACCUAAUUGGACAAGGAAUAGCAAGCUAAUCAACAAGUUAAUCUUUAAAAGUGGUCUGGAAAUAGUGACAAUUUUCAGGCAAAAUGAACGGGCCCUGCAAAGCAAGUAGUAGUGGAGAUGGAAAACAGCUUGCAGAGAAGAAUCAUCAAUGCAAUUUAUCAUCAAUCCUCAAUAUGGUAAUCUACCAUUGGCUGUGCUCCUGGUUGUACAUCAGGAAGAAUUUGAACAGAGGAAUUCAACAAUAUUUUGGAAAGCUGUGAAGGUUUUGGUAGGGACAAUAAGGAAAAGACAAAUUUGGCUGACAUUUAAAGCCAAAAAAGGAACUCCCCUUUACAAAGCCAGCUGCAAGUCUCAUCAUCCUCUCCCAACAUGGGAAAAGCUUUGAUCAGCACUUGUGGACUCCAGGUUGUUAGUAUUAAUGGUUACACCCCCUAGCUUUAGAAUCUUCAUGUUUGGGAAAUUGAUUCCAUAUAGAUCCAGUUACCCUUCAUUUGGUCAUGCCCCUCAAAGGUGGAGGGGCAGGAUUGUUCUUGUGGAAAUUAGUUUGGAAAUUCCAAGCCCCAUCAGAUUUAGAUUUCUUCUUCUGGUGUGCAUUGUCAAAAUAAAUUUCAAGGACUGAUGAUCUCAUUUCAGAAAAAUGACAUUCCAAACAGAUGUUAUGCAAUUAUGUGUAAGAAAUAGUGAGAGACACUGAAUCAGAUACACCAGGAUCAUCAAGUCCUUACAGAAACAUCAUUUGACAACUUGUUAUGAUAAAACCAUUUCCCAUAUUCUAAGUCAAUCUUGGACAACAUUCUUCAUAGCCUGAAACUAAAUUAGAAGUUAUGAAAAAAUUGGUAACAUUUAAGCCUUUUUCCCUUCACCAUCAUGCACCAACUAGUUUGAAUCUAUGGGAAAUGGUGUUUUAAACAAGUGAAGAGUUAUAUAAAUAAAAGAACCAGAUAUACUGAGAUAGUCCAAUAAAAUACACAACGGCAAUAACAUCUUACUUCUCUAAUGGCACACGUGUGGUCUUCUUCAUCUUUGUUCUUUUUUCCACGGGGAAAACUCCAGCUUGUUCCUUUCCAUCCCUUCACUAGUAAGCACUGUUAAUUAUACAAAACAAGUAUCAAAACAGUGUGACAAUAUUUUUAAAAGGAGAACUGAAUCACUUACUUCAAACUAUUAGAUAACUCUGUUAUGUGUACUACAGUUUACAUUUUACAUUCUGAAUCAUACAGAAAAGCAUUUCAUGAAGGAUCCAAUUCACCAAAAUUGCAAAAGAGAUAUUGGUGUGCAAACAUGAGGAUAUCCAGUUAAAAUAUAACAGCAGAUAGGGAACCAUCUCUGUCAACUGGUUAGGAGGAAGCCAGUUAGGCAUGGUGUAAGAGAGGUUAUAGAAAAUAGAUGUUCAAGUAUCUUUUAAACUUAAAUUGAGAGAAAAUGAAGUUUAUGCUAGUCUUGCAGUAGCAUUACAAGCCAGACCUGCAAGCUAUAGAUCUUCAAAUUGAGCUACUACCAGCCAAACCAUGACCCACUACAAAAGUGCGGAUAAACAAGAUUCUUAACAAUAAUUAGAUAGGACUACUCCACUAUUCUAGGAGAAACCUUCGCUCCUUUUCCUUUUCAUUUCUUUUCUUUUCUUUUUUUAUUUAUUUAUUAACUUUUUUGUUCUUUUGAUAGGUAAACUUUUGAGCACAUUGGGAGUUGAACCUGGGAAACUCCCACAAACCCUCCCAACCUUUUACCACUUGAGCUAGGCCUCAAGGGACUUUGUUUCUUUCCCAUUGCAACUGGGUGAAGCUCUUUCCAGGCUCUUAGGAGGCUAGAUUUCACAUUUCCAUGAAAAAUUUCCACUUUCACCUAUUCACAAGUAAUUUGCAUCACUCGCAAUAUAUUGAACAGUGGACUUGUACUCCUGUUCUCUAACAUUCUACAAAGUUCCAUUAAGAUUUCCAUUUCUUCCUAAAAAUCUUCUGAAUUUUCACAUUUUUGUAUAAUCACAUUUUCAAUAUCAUAAACACUUCAGUAGCUCAAAACCAGCAUUUCCAUCAUCAUAUAAAGCCUUAAUGUUUCUUAUCUUCACCUCAUAUUUUCUGCCAAAGAAAUAAUCAAAGAGCCAUCAGUGAAACAGAUGGUGAAAAGCUUCAUUUAUGGCAGGCUGUGAGAAUUUAUUGGACUGCUAAGGAAAAUGCAUCAUACAACUAUGAAAUUCCACAUUCAGAUCAACAGUAUGUAUGUCCAUACAUGGAUGACAAAAUGUAAGAUAGAAUCGAUGACAACAGAUUCUUUGAUAGGCAAGCAGCAACAUCAGAUCUUAGGCAAGUGUAAAGCUGCCAAAAAUAAAUAAAUGAAUAAAGGUUGGUUGUUAAAAGAAAAUGCUACAAAAGGGAUUUUUCUCUCCAAGAAAGGACCAAAAUAGAAUAAUCUUUCCCUAGCUUUCAUUGACAAGAGUCCUCACCCGUUCAAAGGUUUCAUCCAAAAUGAUUGCCCCAGUUACAGGUACUCGAACCUUGUAGGAAGUGAAGUCCUUAAAAAUAUCAUCUAUGUGAGCAACAUAAGGUCGUAAAACAUCACAGCUGUUAAAUACUGAAAGAUGUUAAGGAAAACAAUCAUAAACCAAUACGGAAAUACAUUGAAAGAAUAAAUCCACAAUAAAUGAUCAUCACAUUGUCAAGAAGCUAGUCCUUCCAAAGUAACCUUUACAAUAACUUUAUAUUGAUGUUCCAAUAUUUGAUUGAUUGGGUGGGCUGUUAGCCAUACAGGCUUUCUUUUUUCCUUUUGAUAUUGAAAGAAUAAAUCCACAAUGAAUGAUCAUCACAUUGUCAAGAAGCUAGUCCUUCCAAAGUAACCCUUACAAUAACUUCAUAUUGAUGUUCCAAUACUUGAUUGAUUGGGUGGGCUGUUAGCCAUACAGGCUUUCUUUUUUCCUUUAGAUAAGCAAAUGAUAAUAAAGCACCAAACAAUAUGGUGCACAGGAACCACAUCUAAGAAGAAAAAAGAAGCAAUUAACAAUUACAUUCCCAAUCUAUUACUUAGUGCACAACCUCUCAAUGAAAUCUAUCAAGGAUGUGGAACCAACUUGAACAUCAUCGUGAAGAGACCCAUGAGACCACAUGUAUAGAUUAGAAAUAAGGGAGCCCUUAAGAGAUUGGUUUGUGCAUUGCACCCCUUCAAAACUUAUUUGGUUAUGUUCCUUCCAAAUUGUCCAGAAUAGGCAAAGAGGAGUUGCUCUCCAAGCCUUUCUUCUCUUCUUACCCACAAAACUCUCAUUCCAACAAAUCAACAAGCAUUUCAUUGAAAAAUAGAAAAACCACAAAAUGCCAAAUAAAGAGAACAAGAAGUGCCAUCAAUGUAGGACAACUCUAAGAUGGUUGCCUACACUCAAAUAGGUGAGCUAGGGUUUUUAUUUAAGGAGAUAAACUAGGAAUAAAGUUUAUGGUCGAGAAAAAAUAAAGAGAAAGAAGAUACAACGAAUAAAAGAUGGAAACCUUAGAGUCUCACUAAGGCCUUUUAGAAGUCUCACCUAGAAGAAAAUCAAUGGAAUCUCACCAUUGAGGAUUGCAACACUUGUAAUAAUAAAAACAUAAUAUUAUUAACAUCAAUCAAUUCAUUACUUUGAUUUACAUUAAUUAGUCCUAUUUAUUGGUUUCUCUAAGAAAUCCAAAGUUUACUAGAAUUCUAAUAACCUAUUAUGACUCUAAUUCUAAUUAUCUUAUAACCUAACUAGCUAAUCCUAAUUUGACUCCAACAAAUACUAAUCCUAAUUUAAUUCCAAUUAAUAAUAAUUCUAAUUUAAUUCCAACUAAUAUUAAUCCUAUUUAAAGUUUAUUUAUAUCUUCCCUUUCCUUCUUGAAUAUACUUUAAAAGACUUUCCCCCAUCAGCCAUAGUCUCUACCUUCCCUAUAAUGGAUGAGUAAAUGGUUUACUUAUUCUUCUGCAUUUUUAUACAUACAAUAAUAACUCACUAAAAACCAACCUCUUCUUGAAUGGAUGAGCAAAUCCUUCUCUAAGCCGUUUUCCAUGUGCAAAAACCCACUUUGGUAGGAACCCAAGAUACCCAUGCUAUCUAUGAGGGGAAAAGCACUUCUACCUCCAAACCCAAGGUAGAGUAGAAGGACUUAACCAAGAAUAUCCCACUCUUAGUAGUCUUCUAUACCAUUUUGUCCUAUCCACUACUCCUUUCUAACACAUGUAGCUUUCGAAGCAUCUCUGUAACAUUACUCACCUCGCAAACUUAGGAAUGUCUCAAAAAGCACAAGUUCUACAAGACCAACUCACUUUCUACCACCCAAACAUCACCCACUCAAGCCUUUUUUUAUUUUAUUUUAUAAAAGUUAUAAAAAAUAAUAGAGAUGGAAAAGAGUCCUUCAAAGGAACAUCACCACAUUAUACAUCUUGCCAAAAUUUGAUUCUUCUUCCACUGCUUAUCUCAAACCCUAUUUUGGCUUUAAAAACUCCCCAUCCUUUUCUUACCAUCUUCCACAAGCCAAGGUCAUAACCUUCCUUCCUACCCAAGAGCACCACUUAUCUGGCUCUUCUCCAAACUUUCCCACUAUAUCCUUUCUCCAAGGCAAAUCCCUCUCCAAAGCAAAUUUCCAACACCAUUUUCUUAGUAAGGCUUUAUUGAGGGUAAACAUGUGCUUGAUGCCUAGGCCCUCUUUCAUUUUAUCUUUGCAGAUUGACGACCAUUUUUACGAGAUGAUUUUUCUUGUUAAGAACCCCUUCUCCCCAUAAUGAAUUGGUAGCCAUACAUGCAUGUUUAUGUCGUUACCUUACCUUACACAUACAAUUGAAACAGCAAGAUCAUAUCACUCCCCAGCCUCAAGCUAACAAAAACAAACUUCAAGUUGCAGUAGACACAAUGAUUAAGACUUGACAGAAAGUUUGUACUUUUACAUCUUAGUUUCCUGAACUUCUGUCUUGUUGGAGCUUAGGAAGUUUUUUUUUUUUUGUAUAGUUUCAGUACUUAUGAAAGUUUAUAUAUUUUGAGUUCAAGGCAAUUGGCAACUACACACAUGCAUAAACAAGAACUUUCUUUAUUUUUUUUCUUUUUCUUUUUCUUUUAAUUGGUAGAUAAAGAAGAUGCAUCUAACAAAAGAAGGGCACAACCCAUAUACAUACUAUGUGUACAAACAGCACACCUGCAAAUAAAGCAGUAUAACAGACCUAAGCUAAUUAAUCCCCAUAAUGUUCUACAUAAACAAUAAUUCUACAGACAACAACGAACUCUAGAGAUUUUUCACAUUUUUAAUCACUCUUUUAGAUAAUACUUCUAGCAGGAAUUUGUUAAUUCUAAGGUUUAUCUUCUCUUUUUGUUUAUUUUCUUUGUUGUUUUGCACAGUUACACAAACAACCAUCUUGCCCAAACUAAAAUAUGACAAACGGUGUCAAGAUAGCUUGCUUUGUCUUUGUUUGACAUGUUUAGGUAUAGAAGAAAUCAAGAACGUGCUUACAUGAAAUCUGGUUCCACCAAAAGAAUAAAAGAUGAUUAAUUUUGAAGUUAUCUUUGACUUGAUAAAGUAAUAGAGGUCUAUUGACUCAAUGCAAGCAAUCAUAAAAUGAAAUUAAACUAAUAAGCAGCGAAUAGGAUACAUAAAGAGGUAAAUUCUUUUAAAUUGAAGGACUUCAGCGACGGAUUUUUUUCUACUGAGUUGUCCUCAUAGAACCAGUGUGCAUACUCCACAAGAAAUAAAAUCCUCUCAAAUGAUUGUUGGUCUUCCUUCGGCACAUUCAAGACAAAACGACUGCAGGGAAAAAAGGGAUUAAAGCUGAAUAUACAUAUUAAAGAAAAAAACCUAGUCUUGAAAAAGAAAACAACGAUAUGCAAGACACUGCAACUUAGAAGGUUGAUGUGAUAAUAUCAUAAGCACGGAGAAAGUAAAAACAAGCCUCCCAAUUCUAUAGAUGGUACAAAAAAUGUUUAGGAGUCACAAACUAACAGCUAAAUGAGAUUUUGCAAUUAUUCACAGCAAAACACAAACAGAAAGCAAUUGCCCAACCAGUCAUAAAGCUAAUAAAUAUUUUGAAUUUGUACAAAUGGCUAUUCAAAUCCAUGACAUAUCAACAAACAUUUCUUCCUUUUCAUACAACGCAGUAUAUUACAGAUUGAGCAAAAUCAGUAUUGAUCAAAACAAGCUGCAAUUUUCCACUCUGAGAUCCACACCUAUCAAGAAAUUUGGUCACAUAAUCCUAUAGCCCGUUUACAAUAUGAGAACCACGGAAAAAUAAAGAAAUGGGUAUAUGUAGUAUAGAUACAGCCAGAAAAAUUUGAUCAUACAGUUUGUCCUUGAUUUGGUUCCUAAAAAUAAAUGAAAUAAUCAACUCACUAAAGUCAUGAGCAAUUACUUCGAUGAAUUAAACUGAGUUCCUCCUUUCCUUGGAAUUUAAACAGCAAAGGAAUGCCAAACUUCAAUUUCUUUUUCUUUUUUUUCCAUUUUCUUUUCUCCACAGCUAAACAGAGGGCAAUGUGAAAAAAUAUUUCCUGUCCUCCUCACAUUUCAUCACGAUAGAAAAAUCAAACACCAAAAUAAAUGUACUUCCUGUUUCGCCACUAAGCGUCCUAAACCCUAACAAGCGAUUGCAAAACAGUACCUACAACUGAAAAACAAAUGCCAUCGACUGUACACUGAACCUCUAUUUGGCUACCGAAAACCACAAGAAAAAUGAAAAGAAAAUAAUAGAAAACACAACUAAAAGAAGCUCAAAAGCUCUUGAGUUCCUAUUUCUUUUCCACGCUGUUACUCGACAACCAAACGUGUACUUACCUACAGAGAUCGUCGAGGAGUUCUUGAGGAGGAUUUCCGUUCUUCAGAGUAGCGCUUGAAGAUCGAUGGAUGCUUGACAUGACUUCUCUGUCCAAUUCAAAACCCUAGCUUUGGGGAAAAUAAGACGUUAAUCUCUAUUUCUUCCGUUGACGGAAAUGGAUCGGAUCGGACUGAGCAAAUAUUUCCCGACCUGGCCUUCUAUGGCACACCGAAACGGUGCCGUUUUAACUUUUUAUUGGGACUCUUAAAACGAGCCGAACCGCCGUUUGAGGCCGGUUGGACCGCUCGGGGGAUUUGCCUUUGCUAGUAGGGCGGUUUCCUUGUUAUCAAGUUUCUAGGCUAAAAGUGGAUGAUUUGGUAACAAUAUAAUUGGACUAUAUUUUAUAAAAUCUCAUAGAGAUUUUAAAACAUUAACCAUUUUUAUGUAAAAUACUUUAAAAAUUCUUUUGUGUGGAAGGUUUAAUGAAGCCAUGACUACCCUAUGCUUGUCAUAUGUCUCACUUAAAUUCGAUUUUAAUAUAUCAGUCUGAAAUUGUCAUGUGUCUUUCCUUUAUUCAAAUUAAAUAUACCAACCCUAUAUUUGUUAGUAGUUGGUUUGGAAUAUGUUAAAUCAAUUCAUGAAGCCAUGACUACCUUAUGCUUGUCAUGUGUCUCACUUAAAUUCGAUUUUAAUACAUCAGUCUGAAAUUGUCAUGUGUCUUUCCUUUAUUCAAAUUAAAUAUAUCAACCCUAUAUUUGUUAGUAGUUGGUUUGGAAUAUGUUAAAUCAAUUCAAUUUGAACAUAUUAACCCUCUAUUUGUCAGUAGUUGGCUCAGGAUAUUUUAAAACAAACGCCUAUCUUUGAGUUUCAUCAUCGAUACACUAAUUUGGAAUAUGGAUUAAUUGAUUUAGGUUAACUCAUGCAAGCCAAUCCUAUCAGUACUUUACAAAGGUCAUCAUGUUCAUCCUAAGCUAACACCUUGACAUAGUGACAAAUAUAACAAAACAAUCGAAACUCUUACUCAAAACAAACUCUUGUUAUGAUAAUAAUCAAAUAUCAAGAUAGUUUACGAUAUAAACUGAUUGUUAGAGUGCUUUUGUCAUCAAUUUUUCUUAUAAUGAGUUUUGUGCGUACGAGUAAAGUGUGAAGUCAAGUUAACCCAACCUAAAUAUAUACCAAAGAGGAAGAGUGAAUUGAAUGUUGAUCAAUAGUGAUGUAGUGUUGAACAAUUUUAAAGUUUAACUAAAAUGAAUUGCAAUUGUUAGAUAACAAGGAAAAACAAAUAGUAAUGUAACAUGGUUCAAUGCAGUGUCGGCUAUGGCCAUGACCUUAAGCUCCAAUCCAAGCCUUCAGGUAAUCCACCACAUAGCAAAGAUCCUUCAAUCUAAUGAAUACUUUAACUUGUACACUUGAUUUUUAGGUAUGGACUUUUACGAUUCAACAAGCAUCCUUCAACACUUAAAGGGUAUUUGUUUUUUAGCUUUUUGUCAUAAGCAAUUUGAUUUCACAUUUUAGAUUGUUUGUUUUUCUAUUUUUUUAUAAUUUAUUAUGAAUUUUGAACGGGAUAAAAAAGGCCAAAAUAUACGACUUUUCCAAAAUGGAAAAAGUAACAUGUUGGUUUUUAUUUAUCAUUUAAUACCUGUUGGGCUUUGUGGAGCCUAGUUUUGUUUGAUCCGGUUUGACAACCCGACCCGAAUAAUAUUGCAUGGCCUUUUUAAUGGGAGAUUUAUUGAGGUCUGUUGGGCCCGUUUAGCCCAUUGUGGAACCACCUUUUGUAAUUAGGGUUUUUAGUAUGAUAGGGUUGUCAUGCUAUAUAUAUAUAGAGAAUAUUGUAGCCGCCUAGUUGUACUCUGUAUUCUUCCCUGAUAAUAGCGAUAUCCCUACAACUCCGUGGACGUAGGCAAAUUGCCGAACCACGUAAAUACUGUCUUGUGUGUGUGAUUGUUUUUUUUUUUGGCGUGUGUUUUCUCUAAUUUUUUGUUUCUCACGGGUUGGGAAUUCGGUUUAAUUCCCUACAACUGGUAUCAGAGCCUAGGGUUAGGUUUGAGUGGGAGCAAUGGCAGAGGAAGCAGGAAAGGCGUCUGGAAUAGAAAAGUUUGAUGGCACAGACUUUGCGUAUUGGAGGAUGNNNNNNNNNNNNNNNNNNNNNNNNNNNNNNNNNNNNNNNNNNNNNNNNNNNNNNNNNNNNNNNNNNNNNNNNNNNNNNNNNNNNNNNNNNNNNNNNNNNNNNNNNNNNNNNNNNNNNNNNNNNNNNNNNNNNNNNNNNNNNNNNNNNNNNNNNNNNNNNNNNNNNNNNNNNNNNNNNNNNNNNAUGCAUCAGUAGCACAACAUCUGAAUGAAUUAAUACAUCACAAAUCAAUGUCGUCUGUAGAAAUUGAUUUUGAUGAUGAGAUUCGUGCUCUGAUUGUCUUGGCUUCUUUGCCAAACAGUUGGGAGGCAAUGAGGAUGGCAGUAAGCAAUUCUACAGGAAAGGAAAAGCUCAAGUACAAUGAUAUACGAGAUUUAAUUCUGGCUGAGGAGAUUCGCCGAAGAGAUGCAGGUGAAACCUCAGGAUCUGGUUCUGCCCUAAACCUUGAGACAAGAGGCAGAGGUAAUAACAGAAAUUCAAAUCAGGGUAGAUCAAAUUCCAGAAAUUCUAAUCGGAACAGAAGCAAAUCUAGAUCAGGCCAACAAAUACAAUGCUGGAAUUGUGGGAAAACAGGCCACUUUAAAAGGCAAUGCAAAAGCCCUAAGAAGAAGAAUGAAGAUGAUUCUGCUAAUGCUGUAACAGAAGAGGUACAGGAUGCAUUACUUCUUGCAGUAGAUAGUCCACUUGAUGAUUGGGUUUUGGAUUCAGGAGCUUCGUUUCAUACCACUCCACACCGAGAAAUCAUACAGAAUUAUGUUGCAGGUGAUUUUGGUAAGGUGUAUUUGGCUGAUGGUUCAGCCUUGGAUGUUGUGGGUCUGGGAGAGGUCCGGAUAUCAUUGCCCAAUGGGUCUGUUUGGUUACUGGAGAAGGUUCGACAUAUUCCUGACCUGAAGAGGAAUCUGAUUUCUGUUGGACAACUUGAUGAUGAAGGACAUGCAAUACUAUUUGUUGGUGGUACUUGGAAGGUUACAAAGGGAGCUAGGGUAUUGGCUCGUGGAAAGAAGACUGGCACUCUGUAUAUGACCUCAUGUCCAAGAGACACAAUUGCAGUUGCUGAUGCAAGUACUGAUACAAGCCUAUGGCACCGCAGACUUGGUCACAUGAGUGAGAAAGAGAUGAAGAUGUUGCUGUCAAAAGGAAAACUACCAGAAUUGAAGUCCAUUGAUUUUGACAUGUGUGAAAGUUGCAUCUUAGGAAAGCAAAAAAAGGUGAGCUUCUUGAAAACUGGAAGGACACCGAAGGCUGAAAAAUUGGAACUAGUACACACUGAUUUGUGGGGGCCUUCUCCGGUUGCAUCCCUAGGAGGUUCAAGGUACUACAUCACAUUUAUUGAUGACUCAAGUAGAAAGGUAUGGGUUUAUUUUCUGAAAAAUAAAUCUGAUGUAUUUGUAACUUUUAAGAAGUGGAAGGUCAUGGUUGAGACAGAAACAGGUUUGAAAGUAAAAUGUUUGAGGUCAGAUAAUGGAGGAGAGUACAUAGAUGGAGGAUUCAGUGAGUAUUGUGCUGCACAAGGAAUUAGGAUGGAGAAGACCAUUCCUGGGACACCACAGCAGAAUGGUGUGGCUGAGCGCAUGAAUAGAACUCUCAAUGAGCGUGCUAGAAGUAUGAGGUUGCAUGCUGAACUACCAAAAACUUUUUGGGCUAAUGCUGUUAGCACUGCAGCUUACCUGAUAAACCGAGGACCAUCAGUUCCCAUGGAGUUCAGACUUCCUGAGGAGGUUUGGAGCGGUAAAGAGGUGAAGUUUUCACAUUUAAAAGUUUUUGGUUGUGUUUCUUAUGUUCAUAUUGAUUCUGAUGCUCGUAGUAAACUUGAUGCAAAGUCAAAAAUAUGUUUUUUCAUUGGCUAUGGUGAUGAGAAAUUUGGCUAUAGGUUUUGGGAUGAACAAAACAGGAAAAUCAUCAGAAGUAGAAAUGUGAUAUUUAAUGAACAGGUUAUGUACAAGGAUAGGUCAACUGUAACGUCAGAUGUUACAGAGAUAGAUCAAAAGAAAUCUUAGUUUGUCAACUUAGAUGAAUUGACUGAAAGUACUGUCCAAAAAGGGGGUGAAGAAGAUAAGGAGAAUGUAAAUUCACAGGUAGAUCUGAGUACACCUAUAGUUGAAGUUCGCAGAUCUUCUAGGAACACUAGACCUCCGCAGCGUUAUUCACCUGUUUUAAAUUAUCUCCUGUUGACUGAUGGUGGUGAGCCAGAGUGUUAUGAUGAAGCCUUGCAAGAUGAGAAUUCAAGCAAGUGGGAGUUAGCCAUGAAGGAUGAGAUGGAUUCCCUGUUGGGGAAUCAGACAUGGCAACUGACUGAAUUGCCAGUAGGAAAGAAGGCUUUGCACAACAAGUGGGUAUACAGAAUAAAGAAUGAGCAUGAUGGUAGCAAACGUUACAAGGCCAGAUUAGUUGUUAAAGGGUUCCAGCAGAAGGAGGGCAUUGACUACACAGAGAUAUUUUCUCCAGUUGUGAAGAUGUCAACAAUUAGACUUGUACUUGGAAUGGUGGCCGCAGAAAACUUACAUCUUGAGCAGUUAGAUGUGAAGACAGCAUUCCUUCAUGGUGACUUGGAGGAAGACCUUUACAUGAUUCAACCAGAAGGGUUCAUUGUUCAGGGACAAGAGAAUCUAGUCUGCAAACUGAGAAAGAGCUUGUAUGGCCUUAAACAAGCUCCUAGACAGUGGUACAAGAAGUUUGACAAUUUUAUGCAUAGAAUUGGGUUCAAGAGAUGUGAAGCUGAUCAUUGUUGUUAUGUUAAGUCCUUUGACAAUUCUUAUAUCAUAUUACUAUUGUAUGUGGAUGAUAUGCUUAUUGCAGGGUCUGACAUUGAGAAGAUUAAUAAUCUGAAGAAGCAAUUGUCCAAACAGUUUGCAAUGAAGGAUUUGGGAACUGCAAAGCAAAUCCUUGGUAUGAGAAUCAUUAGAGACAAGGCUAAUGGUACAUUGAAGCUUUCACAGUCAGAGUAUGUGAAGAAAGUUCUCAGCAGGUUCAACAUGAAUGAAGCUAAACCAGUGAGCACACCCUUGGGUAGUCAUUUCAAACUAAGCAAAGAACAGUCACCAAAGACAGAAGAAGAAAGGGACUAUAUGAGCAAGGUGCCCUAUGCCUCAGCUAUUGGCAGCUUGAUGUAUGCUAUGGUGUGUACAAGACCAGACAUUGCACAUGCAGUGGGAGUUGUGAGCAGAUUCAUGAGUAAGCCUGGAAAGCAGCAUUGGGAGGCAGUGAAGUGGAUUUUAAGAUAUUUGAAGGGUUCAUUAGAUACAUGUCUUUGCUUCACAGGUGCAAGUUUGAAACUGCAGGGUUAUGUAGAUGCUGAUUUUGCUGGUGAUAUUGAUAGUAGAAAGAGUACUACUGGGUUUGUUUUUACUCUAGGUGGUACAGCUAUAUCAUGGACUUCAAAUCUACAGAAGAUUGUUACUUUGUCUACUACAGAAGCUGAGUAUGUUGCAGCAACUGAAGCUGGAAAGGAGAUGAUUUGGCUACAUGGUUUCUUAGAUGAAUUGGGUAAGAAGCAGGAGAUGGGCAUUCUACACAGUGACAGUCAGAGUGCAAUUUUUCUUGCCAAAAAUUCGGCUUUUCAUUCAAAGUCGAAACAUAUACAAACAAAAUACCACUUUAUCCGUUAUCUUGUUGAGGAUAAACUGGUAAUACUUGAGAAGAUUUGUGGAUCUAAGAACCCUGCAGACAUGUUGACUAAGGGUGUCACUAUUGAGAAGUUGAAGCUGUGCGCAGCUUCAAUUGGUCUUCUAGCUUGAGGACAGGAGGAUGAGUUGUAGGGAUGAGAGAUCGUUUCUUGGAGGAUAGCGGUUUGAUGUUGGUGAUUGGACUAGUCUCCAAGUGGGAGAUUUGUUGGGCUUUGUGGAGCCUAGUUUUGUUUGAUCCGGUUUGACAACCCGACCCGAAUAAUAUUGCAUGGCCUUUUUAAUGGGAGAUUUAUUGAGGUCUGUUGGGCCCGUUUAGCCCAUUGUGGAACCACCUUUUGUAAUUAGGGUUUUUAGUAUGAUAGGGUUGUCAUGCUAUAUAUAUAUAGAGAAUAUUGUAGCCGCCUAGUUGUACUCUGUAUUCUUCCCUGAUAAUAGUGAUAUCCCUACAACUCCGUGGACGUAGGCAAAUUGCCGAACCACGUAAAUACUGUCUUGUGUGUGUGAUUGUUUUUUUUUUUGGCGUGUGUUUUCUCUAAUUUUUUGUUUCUCACGGGUUGGGAAUUCGGUUUAAUUCCCUACAAUACCUACUAAAAAUAAAAUAUUACAAAAACAAACAACUUAAUACUUAACACUAUCAAACAUUAUUUAGUUUUAAUUUUUAUUUAGAAUUCGGUAAAAAAAAAAAAAAAAAAACAAUCAAACACCACCUUACAUACAAUAUAAAGGUUUAAAAGAAAGCAAUAGCUAACUAUAAUUAAUGAAGCACAAAUAAGGAAAGGGUUUGACUCUAAUGGUAAAAUCGAUAUAAUAUGUAGGUGGGUAUAAUUGUACUUAAAGGGUUCUUCAAAAUUUGAUUAAGACCUCUCCGAAAAAUCUUAGGUUAGCAAUCUCGCAUUUUUUCAAUGAUGAAAAAACCUAUAAUGUUUUAAAAUUUAUUUCCCUUAAAUACAUGCAAUAUAUGGAGCUAAAAAUAAUUAACGUAAAAGCUAUAAACAUAAAUCCAAGCAUUCAUACAUAUUCAUACCAUAAAUCAUCUAUGAAACCAUAUAGAAUGAUACAAUAAUAACUAUGUCUAAAAUAUAAAGAUGGCACUAAACAUAACUAAUAUCAUUCAUGAUGCAAUCCAUAAAGCAUAGUAUGAUCAUAACUAUGUCCAAAAUAUAAAGAGAAAUUAGACAAAACUAAAAAGUAGCAAGUAACACUAGUCGAGCAUAAUAAUACAUAACCAUAACCAAACAUAUUUGUCCAAAAUACAACCAAAAACUUUAAUACAACCUUUUUUUAUCUCACGGAGGAGGAGACUCCAUAUUAUACCAACAUUUAUUUAAGUUCUUCAGUCAUCCAAAGGUUUGUAUUCCCAUUAUGUAUAUAUUUUAUAUCAUAAAUUAUAUCGUUUCGACUUUUUCAGGAAAACCCGCCCUCUCAUAGCAUCAAUAACCUAUACUCGUGUCCUAACUACUCUGAUAACUAGAUUCACCCCUUAGUUCACAUCCCGUGGCUUGUCUUUGCUCCUUAUCCUUGACUAGUAUUUCCCUUCAUUAAAAAUCAACUUGAAAAUAAAAUACAUUUAUUGAACUAGGAAAAUAUAAUUUUUUUUAUUUGAUUACGAAUCAUAUAAUUUGUUAGUCUCAUUUGAUGUUCCUUUAAAAAAACCAUCAUCUUGUUCUAAUUAUUUCACUUAAAUUUUCAUUUUGUAGUUUAUUAUUGAUUAGAUAAAAUCAAGACAUGGUUACAAAUAUUAUUAUAAUCCAAAUCUUUAUUUAUAUAACCAUUUAAGUUUAUACAUUAAUUAUUCAACUUUUUUAUAUUCUUAAGAAUUAAUUAUAACUAUGAUAAGUCAAUUCAAAUCUAACAUCUGAUAAAAACAAUUGUUCGAUGAAAUUCAAAAUUCAUUUUCUUUUUCUAAUUCUCUUAACGAAUUUAUAUCUCAUUGGAAAAUAUUAAAAUCAUAAAAACAAAAUAAAAAAUUAGAUUAAAAUAAGUAGUGCGGAUGGUUCAUAUAAAAUGUUUAAUCACCAAGAAUAUUUAGAAUAUAAGACAUUACACAUACUAGAAAUCUAAAAAUGUUUGAUAUUAUACAUUUAUUUAUUCGAUUUUAUCUUUAUUUGUUUCAUGCUAGAAAUGAUUACAAAUGAUGAGAUUUGUUCAAGUUAUCGGAAAAAGUGGGUUUUAACUUACUAAUAUGAAAAUAUAUGAAAAAAUGAACCUUUAAUUUUUUUAAUUAAUUUAAAAAUAAUUUGAAAUAUAUGUAUUUUUUAAUGAAUCAUCUAUUUAUUUCAUAAAAUACUCAUUUUACUUGUCAUGUUAUCAACAUCAAUGAACAAUUAGACUCCACCUAAAUAUUUUCAUUCCUUUUAAAUUUAUUAUUAUUAUUUGUUAUUUUUUUCACCACUUCUAAUGUCCACAAUCUUCAAACUACCUCAUUUUUACUAUGGGAUGUUUGUUUAGGAGAAAAAAAAAUCUCAACUUUUCCUAAGAGGUGUUUACUUUUGGAGGGAAAAUUUGUUGUCAAAUAAUAAUAAUAAUAAUAAUAAUAAUAAUAUAAUAAAUCUAAAAAGAAGAUAAACAUUUAUGUUGAGGAAUAUAGUUGUCCAUGGAUGUUGAUGACAUGACAAGUAAAAUGGGUAAUUUAGGAAAUAAUUAGGUGACUUAAUAAAAAGUAUAUGUAUUUUAAAUUAUUUUUAAAUAGGUGAAGAUAAUGCUGAUUUAAAAUUUUUGAGGUUUUUUUUUUUUUUUGUAUAUAUUUUCAUAUUAUUGAGUCAAAAUCUAAUUUUCCUUUCAUUUUUCUAUAUAUUUUUCAUAUUAGCGAAUUAGGACCUGUUUUUUCCCAAAAGUAAAGUACUACUAGAUAUAAAAUGAUUUUUAAAAUAUAUUUAAAAGCAUUAAAAAUAAAUUAAGAACAAGUCAAUUUCCAAAUAAAAUUUUGAUAAUAAUUUUCAAUUUUUUUUAAACAUUUUUUUGCUAUAAUUGUUGCAAAAUAUGAACUAAUUAAAAAAAAAAAACUAAUUAAAAAUAAAUAUUAUAUUAAAUUUUGAUAUUAUAAAGUAAUUACUAAUGUCAAUAAAUAAAAUUGAAAUUAUCAUUAUAACAUUUCACAUUUUCAAUCCUCUUGAAAAUAUCCUAUUUUUCUUCAUUCCUAUAAUAUUUCAUGACUCGNNNNNNNNNNNNNNNNNNNNNNNNNNNNNNNNNNNNNNNNNNNNNNNNNNNNNNNNNNNNNNNNNNNNNNNNNNNNNNNNNNNNNNNNNNNNNNNNNNNNUGAAAUUAUCAUUAUAACAUUCACAUUUUCAAUCCUCUGAAAAUAUCUAUUUUCUCAUUCUAUAAUAUUUCAUGACUCGAAGUCUAAUAGUAAUUUUAGGAAACGUUUUAAUAUUUUUAAUAUUUGAAAUUUUUUAUCAUUCAAGUACUAAAAAUGCUAAAAAUCAUUUUCAAACACAUUCUUAGUAGGUCACCACGAGCUACAAAAUUGGAGGUAAGCACCUAAGUGAAAUUACCUUAUAUUAUAAUUUACAUUAUGCCCAAUUUAAAAAGUGUUCUCAAUUUCCAACAAGGAAUGAUAAGGUGGUCCUGCAUAUAAAUUUCAUUACCAUAUCAUUUAUUUUCGUGUACCUUUUUUUUUCUUUUUUUUUUCAAUGGGAGUUGCUGUAUUAAAUUUGUCUGUCAACAAAAACAUUCUUUGACUGAAAUAGUGAAAUGUGGCACUAUAACCAACUCAUUAUGGAAGAAAAAAAAUAAUAAUAAAUAAUAAAAUAAAUAGUAAAAUAGCAUGAAAGUACGUGGCAAUGGAGUUAAGAACUUAAGAGUGCCUUAGAGUUGCUGAAACUCUUCAAUUAAUAAAUUUAUGCUUUCCAUGUUGUUAGAAUAGUGGGGCCCUUGAGCUUCUUAAUUUUCUAAAGGAAUAUUUUUUUUUUAAUUCACUAUUUGGAUGGUAGUGUGGUACUUGACUGUUUUUAUCAUAAUUUUUAAUACUGAAUAGAAUGUAAUAAAAAUUGGAUUUGAUUUAUCAAGAUAAAACUUAAUAUUUAUUAUUUAAUUUUAAGUUAAAUUAUAUUUAAGUUAUUAUCUUAAAAUUUAUUACUUAAUUUUUACUUUAAAUAUUAAUAUUAUUUAAUAAAUUUAAUUUAAAAUUAUCAAAUUAACAUAUUUAUCUUCAUAAAUAGGUCGAAUAACAAUAGAGGUCAUAAAAUAAUAAUAUAGAUCGUUGAAGUAAUUAAGACAAAUAAAGAUAAAAAUGAUAAAAUCGAUACGUGGGUUUAAGAAUAAAUUAAGUAUUUUUAUUUAUUACUUAAAGUUAUUUUUUAUUUUAAGUUAUAUCAUUAAAUUAUUUUACUAAAUAUAUUUAAUUUACUUAAUAAUUUAAAUUAAAUUAUUAAGUCAUUUUAAAUUAUUAAGUUAAUUUACCAAACAUCUACUUUGAUAGCAUCUAAUUAUCAUUUAGUAAUAUAUUUUUCUUAUUGUUUUUAUUUUAUACAUAUUCAAUAACCCUUGUUGAUUUGAUGAUUACAUUUCUUAAAUGGAAGAAAGGGGUAAGGAAAUAAAUUGAUAAAUUGAUAUUUUUUUUGUUUUGUAUUUUAAAAAAUAGAAAAUAGUGAUGACUUAUAUGUAAAAUAUAGUAAUUUUUUAAACUUGUCUUAUGAAAAUUAAUUUUAAUUUUUAAAAUAGUAAAAAAAUAGUACUUUAUUAUUUUUUUUAUAUGGUUAGAGGAGUUAUUAUCAUUUUUUAUUUUUAAAACUAAAAAAUAAGAAGUGUAUCCAAAUGAUCCUUUAAUAUUGUGUUUGUGAUUAUUGAAAUUUAUUAAGAAAAAAAUUCAAAUAUUUGAAAAAAAAAAUUAUAAUUUUUAAUUAUUUAAACAAUAAAUAAGGUUUCAAGAAAUUUGAAUUUUAUUCAAAUAGAAGUCAAUAAAAUAAAAUAUAUAAAAAUACAAGUUAUGGAUUUCCUUUCAAUUCAUCAUUUAUUUGUUUUUUCUUUUUCCUAACCUUAACCUCAUCAUAAACUUUUUUUUCCCAUAAUAUUAUCCUUAUAAUUAAAUUUUCUAUUAUAUGAAGGAUCUAAUUCAAGUUGAUUAGGUAAAAUCAAUAGUUGACCCAAGUUCAACUCGAAUGAGAAGAUCAAAAUCGAAUCCAACUUGAGUUGUCUAAUUCAAGUCCAUUAUGAACUUAUGUUUCUAAACCCUUUUACAUUCAUAUUGAAAUCAAAUCAGGAUUGAUUUAGCAUUUAUGGACACAUCCAAUUAAAUUAGAUGUGUUGAUGCUAGUUGUGAAAUUGGGUAAUUGGGUCACGUUAAGUUGUCUCCAUGACAAAAAUAUCAAGAAUUUGUAAAAUGAAAAUAUAGAACCCCUCCUCAUAGUGUAAUUUUAAUUUUAAAAAAUCACUUAUAUGGCGACCAGUUUUUCACCUAUAAUGAGGGAAAACUAACAAUGAACUCAUUAAAAUAUUGGGAUAAUAUUGGAAUUAUGAUAAAAUUACUAAAAAUUUGCCAAACAUUGAUUGUCCAAGAUUUUGUUUGCGUUUUAGUGUUGACAUUGGCUAAAGAUCGAAAAUUUAAAGCAAUGUGAGUCCAAAUGUCUAAAACUUUAAACAUUAGUUGUAUUUAGUGUGAUAAAUAACUAAUUAGAUUAAGGAAAUCACUCAAGGGAGGGGAAAUGUGGUAAAUUAGGUGUUUUAAAACUUUUUCCAAAGCAUUCAAACGAUAACAAAAAUAAUGAAAAAUUUAGAUGUAAAACGAUAAUAAAGUAAAAAGAUAAAGAGAAGAGAUAUGCAAACUUUUUUAUAGUGAUUUGACAAGUCGCCUAUUGACCGAACUUCUCUGUUAUAUCAAAAUAUUUAAGCAUAAUAUGUAGUAGCUUUUACUAAAAAAGAUCAAAGAAAAAGUUGUUACGACUUUUGCAGUGUUCCGGGUAUCAUCAUCAAUGAUUAGCUUAUGGGAUUUGUCAAUAUUAGGGUAAAUGAAUUGCUUUUGUUUGAAUCUUAAAGUGGAAAAAGAUAUGUGAAUAAUAUGAAACUAAGUAAAGUAAAUUAAAUUAAUAACAAAAUGAAUAUUGAUUUUAAAUUCGAUUGAUUCAAGUUUGGAGCUUUUCACAGUCCAACUUAGGAUAUAGAAAUUAGAGAAAACAAGAGUCUUUUAAGUAAUAUGAUCUUAGGGUUUUGGGAUCUUUGGGCAUUCGCGAUCAACUUGAAUUCAAUAACUCAAAAUUUUAUAUGAAGCUUAAUUUUUCAUUUUUUUAAAAUAGGUUCUUAAAACCAUCAAAUGAAUGAGAUUGAUUAUUGGUUUAAGAAUUGACUUUUUAACAUUUUCUACUCCUCAUAACUUUGUUUUGGGGCAAAUAAUGAUAGGAAUAACGAGGAUAAUUAAUUAUUAAGAGUUACCAAUAAUCACUAGUGUUGGGCUUUGUGGAGCCUAGUUUUGUUUGAUUUGGUUUGGCGACCCGACCUAAAUAAUAUUGCAUGGCUUUUUAUUAGGAGAUUUACUGAGGCUUGUUGGGCCCGUUUAGCCCAUUGUGAAACCACAUUUUGUAAUUAGGGUUUUUUAGUGUGGUGUGGUUGUCAUUUUAUAUAUAGAGAGAAAAUAUUGUAGCCGCUGUGGUUGUACUCUGUAUUCUUCCCCUAAUAAUAGUAAUAUCCCUGCAAUUCCGUGGAUGUAAGCAAAUUGUCAAACAAUAUAAAUAUUGUCUCGUGCGUAUGAUUGUUUUUUAUUUGGCGUGUGUUUUCUCUAUUUUUUUUUGUUUCUCACAAGUUAGAAAUUCGGUUUAAUUCCCUUCAACUAAUAUCGGGUAAUAACUUACUGUAUCAUUCCAUAAACUAACUCACAAUAAUAUGAUAAAAAAAAUUGAUAAAUUGGCACCCAACCAAUAAUUAAUCACAUUGUUACAAUAAUUUACCCAUUGUCCCUUAAGUUUCCUAACCCUUAGUUUUUCAUACUCUAAGCCCUAAGUUGGCUUCUUAACCUCUUAUGGGAGUGAUGUCGCAUUUAUAAUCCAUAAUAGGGUAAAAAUCCAUAAUCUAAAUAAAAAUAAACUAAAAACAAUAUAUUUAAUAAAAAAAUAAAAGAAAACAAACUAAAGUUCUCGUCUUCUUCCACCUUCAAUGUCAAACUCUUCAGAAAAAAAGAUCAAAGAACUCUAAACCCUAGAACGAAGAGAGUUUAUAUAAUAUCAUCAAUUACUUAACAUGUGAUACACUCUCAUUGACCACUUAUUACAAAAUAAUUAUCUAAAAAUGAUUAAAAAAUAAUAAUAAAAUGGUGAUUUUUAGUUGUGUCGGAUCCACUCAGGGUGGAUGGAGUGCCUUAGAUGUAAUUCCCGAGAUAGAGGAGACAAAACAUCAAAGUGACAGUGGGUGAAUUCAAAAUUAUGGUCAUUUCAAAUUAGAUUUCGAAUUUAUAAGUUUGAUUUCAAAUUCACAAGUUGAAUUUUGAAAUGGUCUUAUAACUUUAUGCAAUUGUCUUCAAAUGACCAUAACUUUUUAAUUUCAACUCCGAUUUGCACACCGUUUAAAGCAUUGGACUUCUGACUUCUCGAGCUUUGAAAAUAUAUAUGGUAUGUAUAAAAUGGACUAUAGACAAUACUCCAAUUUUUUCAUCAAAGUCAAAGCAUAUGUUGCCACCAGAUUUUGAGAUCUAGUGAGUUUGAGAUGAAGGACUUAGGUAUAACAAAGCAGAUACUUGGGAAUAUUAUAAAAGUAUUACGGGAUAUGUGUUCACUUUGAAUAUUGCUGAUAUUAGUUAGAUUUAUAAGUUGUAGAAGAUUGUUACUUUAUCUACAACUAAAACAAAGUAUGUGACUAUGACAAAAGCUAGCACAGAGAUGAUUUGGUUACAAAGUUUGUUGGUAGAGUUAAGAUUCACACGGGUGAUGAAUGUUUUGCAUAGUGAUAACCAAAAUGCAAUAGAUUUGGCAAAGAAUUCAACAUUUCAUUCAAAUACUAAACACAUACCACUUCGUUAUCACUUCAUUAGGUCUUUACUUGAAGAUAGGGUGUUAACACUUAUGAAGAUACAAGGUAACAUGAAUUCAAUUGACAUGUUGACCAAAACAGUGAUAAUAAAGAGACUAGAGUUGUGUGUAGUUUCAGUGGGUUUAGGCUGAUGACAAGUUAUUUAAGUACAUUAUACCAUUAAUCAUUGAAGCAUAGUAUUUAUUUGUAUUUUAAUCUUCAAAUGGCAGAUUAUUGGAUUGUAAAGCGUAAAUCGGUUUUGUUGUGCUUCGUGGGCCAGAGGUCAAGCUCAUCGUUGUGAUGAAUGACAAAUUUGCUCUCAUUAUAUAUUUAACCUAAUUAUGUUUUUUUAAGGUUUUUUUUAGAGAGCGUGAUUGUGAUUGAGAGGGUUUUUUUGAGAGUUUUAUCAUUGUACUUUUUUUCUUCUUCUUUUGAUUAAUGAAUUGUUGAGUAUUUGUGCUUUGUGAAUGUAGAGAUCACAUUGAUCGCCGAACCAUAUUAAAAUUUUUGUAUUUUUCUUUAUCUUUUGCUCAUUUGUAUGCAUGGUUUUAGUCAACACUUGAUCACUAGUUAACUUAGUUUGAUCCUAUUAUUAACAAAUAUAAAGAUCAAAUCUACAAAAUGGUUGUAAGUUUUUAAUUGAAUAGAGCUUAAAACCAAAAUUAAUAAUGGUAUUUAAUCAAUUUAAGAGAUUUCAAAUAAAAAAUAUAAGUUCCAAAUGUAAUAUUAGUCUUUAAAAUUCAAUUUGAUCUUAAAUACCUUCGAUCCCAAAUUCUAGAUUUUACAAUGCUUUCUCCAAAGAUUAGACAUUGGAUUGAAAACUCUGUAGGAUAUUUUAUUUUAUUUUGUUUAUAACAUUAAAUAUUUUAGGAAUUCUUUAUCAAUAUUUUAUUUAUGUUCAUUUAAAUUAUGGUUUCAUUAAAUCUAUCAAAUGAUUAAUUCUUUUAAUGUAAAAAUAAUUGAACACAUUAGUAUUGAUCCAAGAAAGCAAUCACUCGAAGUAUUACAAGUUGUGAUAACUAUAUCUUUGGUGUUUAUUGGCCAAAAUUAUCACAUAUUUAGACUUUAGUAAUUUAAUUACAAGAGAGAUUUGCAGUCAAUAGCUCAUAGUCCAAAGAUUUUAUAAACUAAGUCUUUCUAUUUUUUUUUUCCAAAAACUAUAAUAGGUCCAUUGAAAUUUUAUUUUUUAUUAUGAGAUAUAUUUUCAUGAUGGAUUCUCUUCAAUAGUUAAGCUUUUUCAAAAGAUCUAACUUUGAUACAAAAUGAAGAGUUUUGUUAAGUAAUCCUAAGUAAUCACAGGAGAUGCAGUGAAUUGGAUGAUAGUCUAUUUAAAAAAUUUUUAGAUAGAGAAACUAAUGUGUUGAAAUUAAAGAGAGUAAAAGAAGAGAGGCUGCAAACAAGAUGAUUUAUCACGGUUUGACAACCCAAAUAUGUCAACGCCCUCUAACUCGUCAACUAGCCUCAAGGUAUUUCGCUUUUCAAUUAGGAGUCUCCUUAUUUUUCUUUUUAUGAAGGUUACAAUCAAUGAAUAACAUAAGAAACCUUUCAAAAGAGUAGUGGACAAGUUAAUGCUCAAGUUUGGGUGCUUUAAAAGAAGGUUAGCAAAUGCAAGUUAAAAACAUUCUUGAAGUUGUUAAAAAUACUCUUAAUAGAGUUGUAAAGUGUUGGGUCUAUGUUAAGUAUAUGUAAGAUAUAGCAUUUGUAGCUGUUGAAGUCAAAUACUCAUUGGACCCAAGCUCUCUAGAAGAGGUCAACCAUGUGGUCCAUUAGGUUGACUAUAUGGCAGACAAUUUUUUCUUUCAUGAUUUUCUUUGUUUAUCUUGAAAUAGGGAAAGAAGUUGACCAUAGGUGAAUCACAUGUGUUGUACCAACACUUUUGCUAAUCUUUGAGCUUUAUUUGAGAACUUUUGAUACCUUCAAAUCCCUUGAACUUUGAACCAUUUUUUUUUAACACUUAAACUAACUUUUAAAUUUAAAGGUCUCAAUUUAAUCUCUUGCCUUCUUAUGAACUUUAAAGUUGAUUAUAUAUAUAUAUGUUUUCUGAAGCUUGUUUUUAAAAACCGUUUUUUUUAAACUUAAAAAUAGUUUUUAAAAAUAAGUUUCAGAAAACAUGGUUAAAAACUAUGAAAUAACUCUUAUUUGUUUUCUAAAAAUUGUUUUCUAUUUCAUUUUAUUUUUAAAUAUUAUUUUCAAAUAACAAUGAUCAAACAAUGUUAAAAAUAUUUAAAAACGAUUUUUCAUUUUUAAAAACAGAAAAUUGUUUUUAAAUCACACUACUAAAUAAGCUCUUAUAUUCAAAAUAAUUUUCUAUUACUUAGAUAAGGGUCUUUAUCAUCCAUAUAUACUACAUUUUUAUUUAAUUUACAAUCAUAAAAACUUAAAAUAAAAAAAUCUAACUAGAUUUUCGUUUACAUCUUCAAGUUUUCUUGCUAAAAAUUGUCUUUUCUUUAAUUAUAUUUUGUUUUGUUAAUUUUUUUUUCUUUAGAGAUGCACUCAAAUUUUGAUAUGUGAAGUGAUGUUACAUUUUCGGUCUAUGCACUUAAACAAUAAAAUCAUUAAUUUUCUCAACCUUUACUUUGUUAUUAUCAAAAUUAGUUGGCUAUUUAGCAAAAAAAAAAAGGGUAUGCUAAAUUCAUACUCCUUUCAAGGGUAUUGUGAUUUUGAGGCGAUGGGAUGCAAUAAAAAAAAUACCAAUAAUCAACCAAAUACAAAAAAAAGGGGGAAAGGGGUAAAAGAGUAAAAGUGACAUGUAAUGAGCAAUUUGUACGUGUAAAGGAAGCUGAAAAAUUCAUGAAAAUACUUUUAAAAAACAUGUGGAUAAAAUAUUUUUGAUUUUGUCAGAAAAUUACACAUAGCGGAAUUGAGUGGGGGUAGAAUAGGGGAAUUGUUUGGACAGUAAUAGCAGGUUUUUCUUUUGUAUUUAAAAUGAUGAAGAAAACAAAAAAUGUGAGACCCACCCUUCCAAACGGGCCACUAGAGAUAUAAUAAAUAAUAGUAUUAUUGUAACUACUCGCAGAGAUAUUGUUCCUAUACGGCUAAAUAAAUAAACGCCAAAUAAAUCCCCGGAUUAAAAAUUAAUUUUGAUAUUAUUUAUAACCAGUUACACAUAAUCAUGUAAAUAUUUUUCGGUUCUAACCUAAAAAAGGCUUCCCAAAUGUAGAUUAAGAGGAGCUCAUAUGUGUAUAUAUAUAUAUAUUAUGAGAGAUAUCAUAAUUAUUUAAAUAUGAUAAUUAUUUAAAAUAUAUAUAUACAUAAAUAAAUAAAGGAAGGAGUAUUCAACAAAUUCAGAAAUACAAAUACAAUAAAUCCAUGGAAGCGAAAAAUCCGGUGGAAGUCAGAAGGAGCUGAUUCUACAGAGACCGCUCUCACUCGUCCUUCACACUUCAUACUUGUUCAACCCCAAAUCUUAAUGGCCGAUCAGAGUAUCAGUUGUUGAGCUGUCUCCUCAUUUAAACCCUCGCCUUCAUUUACUUCGUUAUCUGGUCUCUCUCUUCUUUCUCUCUCUCUCUCUGGUCUCUGUUGUUUUCGUCUCUCUUGAAAAAGGUUCACAAUGUUGGAAGCCAAAUCAUGGAAGCUGAAGAGGAGGAAAACCAGGUGCUUUUGACAACACUGGGGGCGUUUCUCGCAGCAGAUAAAACAAAGCAAAACAGAUGUGUUUUCGAAUAUUUUUGUUUUGGUUCAGUCUGCUUCUGCUUUCGUCACUUUACGUUUUGACCUAAUCGGACCCUAGACGGACUCUCCAAAGCUCGAGAGGGGGGGAGGCUUGUUGGUUGUUGAGGCUGAGGUUGAGGUUGGGGCUACGCGAUGGAGGAGUUGGCGGCGACGGUUGGAGCUCAGGGUGAGAGCAGCGGGGGCGGCGCGGGGGGAGGCGGCGGCGGCGAUGGAAAGUAUGUGCGUUACACUGCGGAGCAGGUGGAGGCGCUGGAGAGGGUGUACGCGGAGUGUCCGAAGCCCAGCUCCACUCGCCGGCAGCAGCUGAUCCGGGAGUGCCCGAUUCUUUCCAACAUUGAGUCAAAGCAGAUCAAAGUCUGGUUUCAGAACCGCAGGUUAGGGGGUUUGGGUUGGGAAUGGUGGAUCAGUUGUGCUAUUUUCUUGAAAUUUGUUGUUUGUUGUGAUUCGCUUGCACGAGAACAACGGCUUCCUCACAGUGGUUUCUUUAUGUUCUUGGAAUUGCAUGGUGAUUUUCAAUGGUGCUGCUGUCGUUACCUGCUUUCAAGUUUGAAUUUUUAAUGCUAGAAAAGUUAUUUUGAUUUGGUCAAGCACAGAAAGGGCGAGAUAAGAAAGAGAAAGAAGAUGAAGAUAAUUUUAUAAUAUUUUCCAUGCUUUUUCUAUCAUUUUGAAGACACCAUUCCUGAAAAUUUGCUUGUUUUCAAGUGAGAAUCAAUCUUUUAGAGUCGGGGCUUAAGCUCAUUAGACAGCAAAUUGGUUUCCAGGUUCUACUAAGUUGAUUCUGAGGAUGCAAUUCAGAGUUCUGUUGUUGAGUAGAAAGGCAUAUCUCAUUUUAUUAACAUUUUUCCUUUUUCUUGCAGGUGCCGGGAGAAGCAGAAGAAAGAGGCUGUCCAACUUCAGUCUGUGAACAAGAAACUGAAUUCAAUGAAUAAGCUGUUGAUGGAGGAAAAUGAACGGCUUCAAAAACAGGUGUCACAGCUAGUAUAUGAGAAUGGAUACAUGAAGCAACAAUUGCAAAAUGUAUGGCCAAUCCAUUGCAAGCUGUUCCAUGUGACUUUGUUUCUUGUGAUUUUGUUCCCUUCUGCUUUAUUUUUAUUUUGGUUAACUUAUUGAGAACUUUUGUUGCUAGAACUUAUUCAAGAUAUGAUUGCUAUGCUUAAAAAGUAGAUGCACUUGGAUGCAUCUUAUAUUUGAUUUUGUCUGGUUCUUUGCAUCAUUGCAGUUUGUACGCUAUCCAUUGUGAUUUAUGUUAUGGAAGGGGACAAUCUCGAUUUAAAAGGGUGUUAUCUCUCCAUACCUCAAUGGGGUCCCCCUUUCUAUCAUGUUUCUUACAACAAUUUUUAACAGUUUUAAUGUGUUUUUAUGUAGAGAAGUUGUCCAUAUUAUGGCUUCCUGAUAUCUUUACAAUUUUAUUGAGAAAAUUUUCCUUUUCUGUUUUGAGAGAUACUAAGACUUGUUAUUUUAGGAGAUAUUAAGACUUCAUUUGGAUAUUUGAAAGUACUAAGGAACAAGAAAAGGAACCUUACAUUCUUUUCUUUGAUUUUCUAUGGAAGAUAUGAAGGAAAAUGUAUUGAAAAUUAUUUACAAAGUUGACACAUUUUCAAAUUGUCAUUAUCCAUAUAAAAGUGGAAUUAAAUGGAGAGUGAUUGAAGAAAUUUUUUUAUUGAUCUCAAACUUAUUUUUUUAUUUUUACCUCACGCUUUCCAUGAUCCAUACAGAACCUAAGCAUACUUCUGCAACUAAGAUGGAUGGUAAUAAACUAAUUUGCUAAUUCAGAAGCUUUAUCACAUUUUUUUGCUUAUUGUCGAUUUCUAUGCAGGUAACUGCAACAACUACUGAUACAAGAUGUGAUUCUUUGGUUGCUACUCCUCAACAUUCUUCAAGAACUGGAAAUAAUCCUAUUGGGUAAUGUUAACCAUCAGCAAUAUUGACCUCUGUAGAACUCCACUUUUGAUGUAGGUUUGCUAUCAUUUUUUCAAUUGCAGCUGCUGAUGCACUUAAUCCUUUAUGUUCUACAGGCUCCUCUCAAUAGCUGAGGAGGCCAUGGGGGAGUUCCUUUCAAAGGCUAAGGGAACUGCUGUUGAUUGGGUCCAGAUUCCUGGGAUGAAGGUAUUUUUUUAUAUUAUCUUCAUAUAUUUAUAUCUAUACAUGUGUGGUGUGCAAGUGUGUUGCAUUACAUUGAUUCAAACUUUAGGUUUUACUUAUCAAAUGUAUGUUUUUCAUUAUCCUUGUAGAGCUGACUCAUUUACAUCUUGUGCUUGUUUCUCUUUUGAGUCCAGCCUGGUCCGGAUUCGGUCGGGACUGUUGCCAUUUCCCAUAGUUGCAAUGGAGUGGCAGCACGAGCCUGCAGUCUUGUAUCUUUAGAACCUACAGAGGUAACCACUGGUAUUAUCAGAGUAGAUUCCAUAAUCUUCCAUAGAAUUGAGAACAACCACUUUCUAAAAUUUUAGAUGAAUAAAACAUAUUUUCAUGGGAUUACUUAUAAUUUAUUUCAUCAACUAUGCAUGUCCAAGCGAUAAUUGGAAGACACUUAUGCUAUGUUUGGUUCUAGGAAAGUAUUGAGGAAAGAAAAUAAAUACUAGGAAAAAUAAUUUUCUUAUGUUUAGUUUUAUUAUGGAAAAAGCGAAAGAAAAUAAAAUAAAACUAAAAUUAGUUAAAAAGUUAUGCAUUUUUAAAUUAUUUAAUCUUUGUAUAAAAGAGUUAAAAUAAGUGAAAUGAGUUUGAACUAACACAUAAAAAUAAUUUAUUCACUUCAAAUAUAUUUUUUAUUUUCCUUUACUUUUUCAUUCCUUCUACUUUUUUUUUCUCUCAUUUUUCGCUCAAAUUUUCCAAGAAUCAAACAUAGCCUUAAGAAAUAUGUCUAGUAAAAAAUUGAAAGGAGUUUCUAUUCCAUUGCUUGUGGUGUUCCGGUUGUCCAUCUUACUUUUUUUUUAAUAAGAAAAAUGAAUAUAUUGAUAAUGACAAAAAGCAGUUUUCCAUUUUAUUUGUUUGUUAUAUGCUUGAAAACUGAUCUUUUGGUUUUCUUUCUUUGAUAGAUAAUGGAGAUCCUCAAAGACCGACAAUCUUGGUUCAGAGAUUGUCGGAAACUGGAAGUCUUCGCCAAGUUUCCAGCGGGAAAUGGGGGAAUACUUGAACUGAUAUACAUGCAAGUGAGCAGAAGUGGUUGAAUGUUGUUACUUUAUUUUCUUGCAUCUGGGUUUACAGCAGCAUAGUAUGGAGGUUUAACCUUUUGAUUUCCUUAAUAAAGCACUAAUAUUUUCUUUCAGGUUUAUGCUCCAACUACACUGGCUCCUGCACGUGAUUUCUGGACUCUAAGAUAUACUUCAAGUUUAGAAGAUGGCAGCCUUGUGGUAAUUGCAGUUGCAGUUUACUUGUUUGCUAAUUUUUCAUUUGUUAUUUUUUAAAAUAAUGAACUUUGGAGCAAUGAUUUAAUGUGGUAAAUGUUCUUUGACUUCUUUCCAUUGAUCAUCUGGUGCUUUUUACAUAGAUCUCUUAUGAAAAUGACAUAUUUUGAGUGUUCCUGUUGUCAUACACGAAUUUAAGAUAUUUGGUGAUCAUGUUUGAAUGUCAUAUUUUCCAACCAAAAACAAUCACAGCAGUACCUGUAAUUGUUAGAUCUAUUUAUUAUUUUAUCACAGGAAUUGUUAGACUUAUGGAAUUUUCCCCUUUGCUACUGGUCAUAUUGAUUCAAUCUUUAAGGAUGUGUUUAAUUAUCAACUCUGAGUGUAAUUUAUCAAAAAAAAAUUAUCAACUUUGAGUGUUGAGUCACAUGUAUUUUGAAGUAGAACCCAUCUUCUGGCACUUAUGCAAUGCCAAUUGAUAUGCAGUGAUACCUGAACCUUUGUCUAUCAGUCAGUACCUUUGGUUUGCUAGCCAUCAGAACUUAUAUUUUUUGAGUUCUUAUUGAAGUGAUAACUUGAAUGAAUAUGCUAAUAGUCUAGUUGGCUGUAUACUUCUAACUGAAUUUUUAAGAAAAUUUUAUCAGGGUAUAGUUGAACUUAAUCUAAUUUGCUUUUUAUACUUGAUGUCAAUAUCUCAAGGUAUGUGAGAGAUCAAUGUCUGGGUCUGGUGCUGGCCCAAAUCCCUCUACCGCUUCACAAUUUGUCAGAGCCAAGAUGCUGCCCAGUGGCUAUUUGAUUCGGCCCUGUGAGGGGGGAGGUUCAAUCAUUCACAUUGUUGACCACCUAGAUCUUGAGGUUUGGUUUCUAGCAGUUAUCUUUUAAGACCUUCUUUGCUAUAGACUUAUUUUCACAAUCCUUGUAGGCAUGGAGUGUACCUGAGGUGCUGCAACCACUUUACAAGUCUUCCAAACUUGUGGCACAGAAGAUGACAGUUGCUGUAAGUGGCCAAUUGUUUUGAAUCCUGAAAGCAUGUAGAUUAUUUUAUCUUAUAAUUGUUGAUGGAAACAAUAUGGUGGAUAGUUUCUUGAAAGAAUACCCAUGAAUGUUAAGGAUGGCCAUGACCAAUUGCAUUCAAAGUGUUAAGAUUGCCUCUCUCUCAUCUGCUGCCCCAUUCCAAAUACUAACAUGAUAGAUAACCUUAAACUUUUGACAUAUAGCUUCUGAAAGGACUACAAAAGAGAAAAUCUGGCGGAAUGGUGCUGUAAAUUUGCCAGAAAUUCAUGUUUUAUUGUUCUUACUUUUUUGUUAAUUUUAUGCUAGAUCGAAGAUAUAGCAUGCAAAGUGAACACUUCCAGUUGUUGAGCCAGUGGGCUUUAUGACUUCCAUGCUCUUUCUUAUUGAUGUUUUUUGAGUUAUCAAGCACAGAUUUUGAUGAAUAAUAUUCAACUUUUCUUAUGCUCUUCCACAGCAAAACUCUUACAGAUUCUAGUUUCUGCAUUUCCUUCCAAUUCUUUUCAUUGUCCUAGUUAAUAUUUUUAUGGGGAAUUUGGAGUCUCAGCAUUUGUUGCAUCUUUAUAAAUCUGUGUUGGGGUACAAUGGAUUGGAAAUCAACAUAUCUAUGUUUUUAAAUAUGUUUUAAAAAUAACUUUUAUAUAUAGUGCUUUAUUUUUAAUCAUUCUCUAUAUUUGUAUAAUUAUUUUUUAAAACAACCCUUAGAAAACAAGUGAAAACAACUAAAAGAUGUUAAAACACCAUGUUUUCUAUUUUUAAGGAGAGAAAAUAGUUUUCUAUUUUCUAGUUGCCAAACGUGUUUUCUUGUUUUGGAAAAUAUAAAAUUGUUUUAAAAAAUAAUCACCAAACAAGCCCUAAAUCUUAUUUUUAUGAGUUUUUUUGGAAUAGGCUGGAGUGUACAUACAAUGAUCAUUCAUUUGGCAUGAUAGGUUUUAUUGAUUGGCUUAGUUCUAAGUGAAGAGAGGGAGCUGGUUUUUUUGUGUUUUCUCUUCUCUUUGCUUGUCUGUUGGUGCCUAUUGUGUACAUCAUAUGUACUUUGGUGUGCCCUUUCCUUAGGCCCUAUUAAUAUAUAUCCAAUUUUUGCCUCUAAAAAAAAUUAUGGUGCUCCUCUCUCAAAAUGCUAGGUGUACCUCACUCAGCUGUUGUCAUGGUCCCACUUUAAUUUAGAUACUGGUCCAUCCAUUGUGCUUAAAGUCUCUGCAUGCCCCAAAACAAUCUUUUAUCUUGUUGUUGCUUUGUUACUAUUUCUUUGUUUAAAAUUCUGAUUUAAAAAUUUCAUUUCUUCUUCCUAUCAAAAAAAAUAAAAAAUGAAAUUCCAUUUCUUCUUAAUUUCAGCUAAGGCUUAAUCUCUACCUUUUACAAUAUUGUUUUAGGACACUUUUUUCAUUUUUGGUGAAUCCUUUCUCCCUCCUCUCUCCAAGAUCAGUCUUUUUUGACAGGACAUUCUCAGCUACUUUUGAACAGUUGGUUGAUCAUAUCACUCUUAGUAUGGCUGAAAUCUUCAGUCACAUUCCUUAACACCAAUCUCUCCUAGGUGAACACUGAAAGAGCACUGGCUCACAAACAUAUAAAGAAAAUUUACCCAUUGGGCAUAUCACUGUGUCAGCUUCUUUAAAAAAAAGUUAUGGAUAAAAAAGAGAUUGAAUAAUUGAAUCCUCAUGCACUAAAAUUUGGGUCACAGGCAGUCUACGGUUCUUCAAGCUCCUCCUCUUGAUAAUUCUACUAAAAUAAUGUAUUGGCCAAAAAUUGAAGCUAUUUUUGAUAGGCAAGAACAAAAAGAAAAAAAAUAUUAUCAAAACAACCCUGUCAUAGCUGUCUGCAUGGACUACCCAUGCCAUCAGUAAAAUCUAAGAAAGAACAUGUCCUAGUUGCUGUCAGUUCUGCUUUCCAAACACAUGGAGACCACAAAACUCUUUUUUUUUCUUAGCUUAAUUGCCAAAAAAUUGCCCCUAGAGAUCCUUCCAUUGUGCUCCCUCCAUGGGCACCAACCUGAUCCCAUGUAGGCAACAUAUAUGUCACACAUACUAAUCAAAAAAAAAAAAAAAAACAUAUAUUUCACAUGUAUUACCCAUGCAUACACUUUGCCCCUGAGGCUUAACUGAAGUGGCAAGGGGUUGGGGCCUCUUUGUGUUAGGGCCAACUGUUAAACAUAAGACAAAGUACCCUGGCCCUGUUCAUGAUAAUCUUUGAUGUGGAAUUCCUUUUUGGGUUUUAUUUUAAGUGACAUAGUAACAAAGGAUAGAUGAACAGACAAGUAUCCCUGGGACUAGGCCUGAGCUUUGAUGUGUCAUAUAGACAUUAUUUUUUCUCUUUUCCAUCUUAAGAGGUAAAUUGGUUGGAGAAAAAUUCUCUAUUUAUUUAAAACAAAGGUUUUAUGGCAACUUUCCCCAAAUCAUAUCAUUCUCUUUUACUAAACUGGGUGGGAGGUUAAGGUUAAUGUUAAUUGAAGUAAGAGGAGGAUGGAAUUACUGUCUGAAAUCCAAGAUGUAGUUUCUGAAACUGGUUUACUGUUUCCUGUAUUGGCAUGUGGCAUCAUGUGCUUAAUUUCAACUUAGAAUUGCUUAUGAAUUAUGAUAUAGUUAUAUCCUUCUCAAAAUUAAGGCAUUCUUCUUUAGAACUAAAGUCAGCAUUUUCUGUGAAGGCUCUGCACCAUAUUAGGCAAAUAGCUCAGGAAACAAGUGGUGAUGUAACACAUACUUUGGGCAAGCAGCCUGCUGUUCUGCGAGCUUUUAGACAAAAAUUGAGCAGGUGAGUUCUAUAAUAUUUUGUUCUUCUGUUUCUCUUCUCUCAUGAUACAUAUAGUUGUGUAGUACAUUAAUACACCUAUCUCUAUAGUAUAUAUGUUGACAUACUGACACCAUGUGGUUGGCAUUAAGGUUUUUGAAUUGAGAAUGCAUUUGUAGAAAUCAUGGCACUAGAAUAUCUCGGAAAUUGAAUUUUUUGAUGUUUCUUUUUUGUUUUCCAAUCUUUUCCUUGAUUUCUGUAGAGGAUUCAAUGAUGCUAUCAAUGGAUUUAAUGAUGAUGGCUGGUCACUGAUGCAAAUUGAUGGUGCUGAAGAUUUAAUAAUAUCUGUAAACUCAGCCAAGAACUUGAGCACCAUUUCAAAUUCGACAGCUGCUCUUUCCUUGCCUGGAGGAAUUCUCUGUGUGAAGGCUGCCAUGCUACUCCAGGUGAGUUGCAGGAUGAUCCCUUUAAAGUUAUUAUGACAUCUAUUAUUGGAUGGUAUUGUAUUCCUGUUUAUUGGUGAAUGCUUGCUAACUUUGUUAGGCAUCUCUAGAUAAGUCACUUUUCCUGGAAGACCUUGACAUGGGAAGGAAAUAUAAGUAUUGUAUUUUUAGUUUAUGAAACUUAAUAACUCAUGUUGAUGUCUGGAUGAAUAGCAUUCUCCAAGGAAAUCUGCCAGCUCAAAAUUGAGGAAUUACAAUGAUCUUUUGGGAGCUUUUUCUCUAAUUGGUCCUAGUAAAAUACGUUAUUGGCAUUACUUCUUCUGCUUCACUAAUUGAACUGUCUGUCAAAGGAAGUUUGAAAUUGAAACCUUGUUGAGUUCUGAUUUUUUAGCAAAACAUGAGUUCUGUUUUUUUUUAGAUAUUAGCAAAACAUUUUAUCCUGCCCCUUACCAUCUAGCCUUGUUUGAUAACAUAAGGAAUAUCAGCGCACAUUGCUUUGCUUUAUGAACCAAACAUAGCUUGAUAGAUUGACAGCAUUUAAGAUUCUCUUUUGGUUAGACUCCUGUGAUUAUAGCAACAUUCUAUCCAUACUAGAAGUAAGUGAUUGUGUUGAUGUCAAGCUUCGAUGAGUAUUCUGAUGAAAUCUGAGAAUAAAUUUUGUUGGUUUACAGAUUAAAUGUAGAGCAAUAUCAACUCUUUUAACUGUAUGAUGAUCAGAUGUUUUAUGAUCCCUUUGCUAGAAUGUUUCCCCUUCACUGAUGGUUCGAUUCCUGAGGGAGCACCGUUCUGAGUGGGCUGAUUUCAGUGUUGAUGCAUAUGCCGCUGCAUCAUUGAGAGGUGACUCGUUUGCUUUGCCCGGAUUGAGCCCCUCCCAGUUUUCUGGCAACCAAACUACCAUGUCUCUUGGCAUCACAGCUGAAAAUGAGGUCUGUUCAUUAUUAGAAUUUUAGGUCUCUCUGUCUGGUCAAUCAAUGAAGAUACAGUAGAUGGAAUUUACUAUUUCAUGAUUUGGCUUUCAUCAUAUAGCCCUAGCUAUGAUUCUAUUUUACUUCGUUACUAUGUAUUUUGUACUUAUUUGGACUGUAAUUAUUGUUUUGCAUCCCAGAUACUAGAAAUAAUUCAACUUGAAGGCCAUGCUCUCAGCCAAGAAGAGGCUUCUGUUAUGUGGAGGAACAUUCAUCUUUUACAGGUGUUCUCUUCAGCGUCUCUCGGUGAUUAUAGUUGAGAAAAUUGUAUGCAUGCUUUUCCUUGAAUAUUGCCUGUUAUACAUGCGUGUGCUUACACACACAACGCUCCUUUCACAUUUGAGAAUUGCUCCAGUUUGACUUAGAAUCAUAAAUUGCCAUGAAAUAAUGGCCCACACAGGUUAACCUGCCAUGCUUAGUACAUCUUCAUAAAAGAAUUUGAUUUUCCAAAGUUGGAAAAACAUCUGGAAAAUUCAAAUUUGUUGAAAAUGUUAUACUCUGCUCAGCCACUCUAUUUUUGCUGGCAAAAAGGUCCCUUACAUUUUGGUGUGUGUGUUAUGACUUGCAGAAUUUUGACAUAGUGGAUGUGAUAUGUUUGCAAAUAACUUGCAGAUUUGUAAUGGAGUGGAUGAUAAUGCUGGGGAAGCCUGCUCAGAACUAGUUUUUUCUCCAAUUGAUGAAAUGUUUCCAGAUGAUGCUCCGAUUCUGUCCUCUGGGUUUCGGAUCUUGGAGUUGGAUGCAAAAACAGUUGAGUUAACAUGUGCUCCUCUUGAACUAUUUUUCCAUGGCAAAUGUUGUUAUCUAGUACUUCAUUAGAUGUUUAUUUCAGAAGAUGGUGACUGUACAGUUUAUCAAAUUGUUAUUAUAUGUUGCCCUGGUAAUUUGAAAUUUUGCUUCGUUAUUUCAAUGUAUUCUCAUGUUGAGGUUCUUUUAUCAGAAUAAUAAAGAAAUGGGGAUGGUGCUCUCAGAUAUGCUUGGUAUUUUUGUCAAGUUGGACAAUGCUUAUGCUGAAAGAAGCAUUAGUAUUGCCUUGUCCUUUCUGUCACUGGUCAUACUACUUUUUUAACUACUUCUCAUUGUUGAACAGUCUUGCAAAAGAGCAUCUUCUUUCUAGGACUGCCAAAAUCUUGUGAUUAGCCUGUUGGAGUCAUGUUUACGAGGAUAUAAAUGAAUAUAUAUCCAUGUCUGUGAGUUUAAGAGUGUUAAAGCAGAUGGAUGAAAAAGGACAACUGAAAGUAUCUUUUUUGCGUUCCUUUUGAGAUGCUCUUGAGCUUGCUGAUACUAAAUGAAACUUAGACUAACUCUGCUUGUCAAGUGUGUCUGCUUUGAGUACAUUAGUCAUCUUAUCAUCUAGGCAGAGCUUGUAAAUGGGAUGACUUGUCUCAGUACAAGUUAUGGGUUUAAAUGAUUUCAAACAUUAAGAUUCUAUAGUGUUAUAUAUGUUUAAACCGUUAGGUAAGUGUAUUCUUUAAGUUAUUAUUUCUAACAGUUUCUUUUUACAGUGUGACAGACAAGAUAUGUUGGCUGCAAAACGAAUGAUGAAUCUAGCAUCCAAUCUUGAAGUACGCUCAUCCGACGCUACUGGAUGCACAGCUUCAUCUAGUGACUCUCGCUCAGUGUUGAUUAUUGCCUUCCAGUUUCUUUUUGAGAGCCAUCUUCAGGGAAAUGUUGUGACUAUGGCUCGACAGUAUGCCCGCAAUGUGAUUUCCUCUGUUCAGAGGGUUGCUAUGGCAAUAACCCCAUCUGGAUUGCAUGGGAGGCCAAAGUCAACCUCAGGCUCUCCUGAAGCUCUCACCCUUGCUCGUUGGAUCUGCCAAAGCUAUAGGCAAGUUGAAUGCAGUGCAUGUUGGAAAUGUGGAAAUGAAACUUCAUGAACUUGGAUUACUACCCCUUUCAGUGAUCAAAAACCUUAGUCAUUCAAAUGAUAAUUUCUUCCUAACUAGGAAAUAUAUCUAUACCUAAUUGUUUUUGCAUAUGAGAAAACAAACCUAAUAAUAGUAUAAUAAGCUCUUAGAGUUUUAGUAUUGUGGGAACCUUUGUAUACUCAGUCCUUUCUCAAAUAACUUGCACAUCAUCCCUUAACGAUAGAAGAUGUACAAAUGUCAUUUGAAGAUUCUACUGCCAAUACAUAUGAGGAUUCUACUGCCGAUACAUGUGUGGAUUUUUAGUUGUAUAUAAAUGUCAAUUUUUUUUCCUGUUAUGGUCCAGUCCUAACUAUGUAGUAUCUCAUAUGUACAUAUAAUGCUCAUAAUAUGGAAUAUGUCCUACUGUGUUCAAUGGCUUGUCCUAAAGCAUAAACCAUUUUGAAACUAAUUUCCAUCAUCUUCAAAGAAACAAAAGUUUCAACAAUGGUUGAGAAACCAAGGUUAACAUGUUUUUUCCUUUCUUUUUCAGUUUCCAUUUAGGAGAUCAAUUGCUAAAGUCCAAUUACCAUGGUGGAGACUCGGUGUUGAAACAGCUCUGGCAUCAUCAGGAUGCCAUAUUAUGCUGCUCAUUGAAGGUACGUGUCUAUGACGGUGACCCUUUUUUACCCAUGUUCAACUGAUCCACUAGGUUGCCUGUGAAAGACAAUGGUUGUAUAUGAGUGAAACAAUUCUUUGAGAUUUAUAGGCAAUAAAGCAUAUCUGUCAAUCUGGCAAGGAAAAAAAACUGGAAAAGAAAAGCAUGCCAUGGAUUAGGUGUGCAUCUUAUUUCACCUAGAAACAUUAUAUAUCUUUGAACUCACGACAUCCAGAUAUUUUGGUUUGUAUGAAUUGGAAAUGCUGUAAAGCUGGCUAUAUCUCACACCUGUUUUUUAUAUUUGAUAUACAUGUAUUGAUCAUAUCAUUGGCAAAGUUUCAAGGAGAUAUUUGAACAAUGGAUAAAUUAAACAAUCUGAAACAAAUUAAGGAGAUAGGGUUUAAUGGUUGUCUGGCUGGUUGGCAGUUGCACCCCGUUUUCAUAUUUGCCAACCAAGCAGGGCUUGACAUGCUGGAGACUACACUGGUAGCUUUGCAGGAUGUUUCACUGGACAAGAUAUUUGAUGAGGCUGGUCGGAAGGCAUUAUGUAAUGUCGUUCCCCAGGUUAUGCAGCAGGUAAUUUUGGUUGGUAAAUAAUUCUGAUAACCGGAUAACUUGACAUUUGUCGCUUUCAGUUAUUAUUUUAGGCAACAUCCUCUUGUAUCAAGAAAAAGACUAAUUGAUUCAAGGGAGGAUAAACCAGAGGUGUUAAUGAAUGUUCUAUGUUGCAGGGUUUUGCCUUGGUACCAGCUGGAAUUGGUAUGUCAACCAUGGGGCGUCAUGUUUCAUUCGAGCAAGCCAUUGCUUGGAAGGUCCUUACUGAAGAAAAUACCGUUCACUGCCUCGCCUUUGCCUUCAUUAACUGGUCUUUUGUGUAGAUAGAUAUCUUUUGAUAUCUUUUGUAUAAAUUAGACAAAAGAAGGAAACUGUUCCCCUGUUUUGCAAUUAGUUUUUCUUCAUGCACCAAAUGCUUUUAGGCUUGAGAGAGUUUACCAGCAGUUCCAUCAACAGACGCCAAGUUUUGAUUUGAUCAUUCUCCGGCCCUAUUUCUUUUUUGGCAGAAAGGAAAACAGCUGUGCAGCCUAGCGUUUAGAAUAUCAAUUGCUUACGGUUAAGGUAGUAAUUUAACUGCAAGCAUCAAACCUUUUUACCUUGUUCGAAUUGGCUGUUCAAAAGGGACAAGGCUUCUGUUUUAAGUUAAGAAGAGUAGCGGACAGACAAACUCCAGAAAUGUCAGCCUACAGCACAUGGAUUGUUUAGAUGAUUCUUAAUGAAGCGUUUUUGCUUUGACAAGGAGUGUACCACAAAAUAAAGACGGUGUUGCUUCUCUCGAAAGUCUUUUUUAGCUUAUGUGAAAAGCAUCUAUAUCUUUCAUGUAACUUGCCUAUGAAAAAGAUAAAGCCUUGCAUGAUAAGCCUACCCGAUUAAGGACAUUAUGGAGCAAUUUUACCAUGAAAAUCAAUCAUUUCAUAUAAGGAAGGACUUCUAAGGAGACUACCAUCAGUUCCGAAAGGUUUUGUACUAAAAAGGGAAAAUUUUAGCAGCCAUAAAUUUUAGCAACCAAUUGAAAAUAUGGUUCACCAGGGUCAACAGAUCAUUGAUGGCUUAUACGUACCCACUGAUCAAUUUUGGAGGGCAAUCAUUCCAUCUUAAAUAGCAACGGAAAAUCAUUAACACUGAUCGAAAGUGCCCAAAAUAUUUAUAUUUUCUAGCAGCAACCAAGAGUUUUACCCUUUCCCCUGCAGAGGGUAACUGUUGUCGCUUUUUGAUGAUCAAGUGGAGCAUAUCUAUGACAGUUUUCUGCAACCAAACGGAGAUUCGCUCACAUAAACUGAUUUUUCAUAAUUUCAUUCUGUGUCGUGAAUUAUAAUUCACAAUAACGAAAGAAAAUCUCUUCACCCCCAAGCAAACCAAGAGACAAGCAAACCCAUUGCACUCUCAAGGCAAAAACAGAGCUACGUAUGGUCUAAUUUUCCUACAAAUAACAGUUCUACUGAACUAGUACUCAACUAAGUAUUUGAACAGGGCCACCCCAACCAUGUGCCUGUCGCGUUUAUACAACAAUAUAACUUGUGAUCCUAAGAUUUCUUCAUAAUAAUAGUUAAGCCAUCCAAACACUCAAAACUAUGGACUCUUUCUCUUCUUUGCUUCCUUUUUUGCAGUUAUAACAUCAUGUUACACAACUGCAUUUAUAUGCCAAACCAGACUUGAUUUUACACAGGAAGGGUCAUAGUAUCUCAGGUAAAUGGGAGAAAACCAACAGGGAAAUCAUGCCAAGAACACAGUUUGAAUAAUACUUUAGUAAGCUACCCCAAGUAAUGGGGAUUUUGGACUUUGUUGAAUUGAGUUGAAUCCCAUCUUGGUUCCUUUCACUUGGAUGCCAGUGACCAGAAAUUCAAGAGAAAUGAUGGUGAGACCGCAAACCAACUGAGGAAGGCCAUUGCUGUAGCUGUUUCAAAUCUGGUGCAGUGGUUCACAGCACAGUUAUCAAGAUCAUUGCCAAUAAGGACUGUUAUACCAGCAGAUGCACAGGCUGCAGCAAAUGUAAGUGUCGAAGUAAUCUGCACAUUCCAAAAUAGGAAAAAUGAAAACGAGAGAGAAAGAGGUCCAUCAUUUUGUGUUGUGGAACAAACAUAACAGACUAUUCUAAAGGCACCCACCAGAGAAAAAGGCUGAGCCCUAUUUAGAAGUGCUUCUUAAAUGCUAAAAGAAACAUUUGAAGGUCCAAUGCAAUUUUUAAUGAUGUUUGGAUAAAACUCACAAAUGUGGGUCUCACACUUUUGACAUGAUUUAUCCACAUUUUGGGAAAACAGGGGAGACCUCUACUUUUUUUAAAACCUGAUGCAGUAAGCAGAUUUUUACAGUAAUUAAAUUUUUAAAAAUUUAAAAAUUAUUCUAUUUUUAAUAAAAACAUUUCUGAAAUAUAGUUUCCAAACAUUAAAUCAAUCACAUAGCAAAAGUAGUUCUUAUACUGCUAAAAGUAGAAAUUAACAGCUCUCCCAAUUGAGCUCUUACACUUACACUGUUUAGAGGAUGCAACUACUUUUCAUGUCAAGGUCAGAGAAAAGAAAAUAACUAUCAGCACAAUUUGAGAAUGAAGGUUAGACUUGUAUUUAUGACUAUCAUGAAAUGGCAGUGAGGGUUGUCAAGCAAACAGAAAAUUGGCCUUAUAUAUGGCUACCAAAACAUAGAAACUGAAUCCUACUGAAUUUGAUGCUGCUCCCCCUUUCGUUCACCCUUUCAUGGAAUCAGUACACGCGUAUAAAAAAACCUAAAAAUAAAAUAAAAAUAAAAACGUGCCCAUUUGAUUCUUAUCAAAAUCUUUAGGCAGUUUGAUGCAGUUGCUAAAUGAAUAAUGCGCUUGGCUUCAGAAAGGGACAGAUCACAAAAGCCUGUAGUUCUCACUCAAGCAGAGGAUUGGUACUCCACUCCAACAAAGUUGAUCUAACUCAGGGGUAUGGCUAUAAGAUGGUUAAUUGUGAACAAAGGAGAAUGAAAGAGCUGACAAGCUGUCUCAGCAGUCUGAAGCCUGAAUUUCUCAUCAUGCAAGGAAAAAUUCUUCUCCUCAACUCUGGUGUUUACAACAGCAAAGAUUUUUGGAUUCAGGUUGUUUAGUUACUUGUGCAUUAAACUCUCUAUUCAUAGAUUUAUGCACAAAGCAUAUUUUCCAAGUGUCAAGAAGCAUUAGCACUACCUCUAUCAUAUAAUUCCAUGCCCUUCCUCAUUAGUGCUCCACUCAUCCUCUAAUGGUAGGAUGGAAGAAGACUCUCAUCGUCUCACUAGGUAUGGCAGAUUGGGUAACCCUUUUCCUAUUCUCACUCCAUAAAAUUGGCGAAGAUCCUAGCUGCUCUAACUAGCAUUCUACUAAUUCAAAUCCAUAAUAAAAAUAUAGAAAAUGAGUGUAUUAAGAAACCAUUCAUUUAGACAACUAAUUUUGGAACUUCAGAGCUUCUUCUUCAUGUUUCGUAUUUUCCUUCUUUUUUUUCCCCUUGAUAAGAAAUCUUGAGCUCAUUCCUUCCCUCAAAGUGGGGAAACCAACAAGAAAGAAAGCCCUUCCACAAGUGUAAAUUGGAUAUCUUAGCUUGAAAAUCUUCUGUUUGAUCUUAUUUGAAGGAUAGCUCAUUUUUGCAAAUUCCUUAUCUCUUGUUAUCAUUUAAUGAAAAUCUUUUUUUCCUAUAAAAAUGGAAAGGUUGCUCAGUUAGCAAUUGUGUGAAAAUUAGGACCAUACUUUGAUGAAUUAGUGAAGGAAUUAGCCAGCACAAAACAAAAAUAAAUAAAUAAAAUAAAAAUAAAUGAGAAGGAUUUGGAUGAAGAAAAUAAUGGUUCAGGCAGCACAAUGAUAUAAAAGUUGAUUCUCCCCUUUUUCUUUUAAAGUUGAUUGGGUAAUGUGGCUGGAAGGUGAAAAGGUUUAAAGAGGAAAAUAAGAAAUAGGAUUUGAAAGUAUGGGGGUCAAUUAGGGUUUGCUAGAGAUUACUUUGAAUGUUUAAGAACGAAUGGAACUGGUUUGCUUAGAAGUUGAGCUUGAUGAUAGAGGAUAGAAAGAAGGAAAAAGGAGAUAACUUAGGAUACAUGCCUAAAUUUGUGAUAACUUAGGAGACAUGUCUAACUAAUCUUUGAAAGACUCCCUUAUAUCUAAUCCAUAUAUGUGGUCUUAGACUCUUAGGCGUAUGUUAUAGUUGAUGGUCAAGCUGGUCCACUAUUCUUUAUAGAUUUUAUUGAGUAGUUGAGCUUUAAGUGCUAGAUUGAAGUUGUGUUGCUGCUUGUUUCUUUUUGUUUUCUCACAUGUACACUUCUAGUGUGCUAUACUCUCCUUUUGUUUAUCCUUAUUUGCCUAUAAAAAAAACCAUCUAUACAAUAGACAAGCCCAUGAAGGUGCCCUUUAGCAAUGAGAGCAUGAAUUUUCACCAACAAUAAAGACCAAUUACAAAUGAGCAACUUCUAUUUGGCUAAUAUUUUGCCUAGCAGCACAGAAUUAGCCUAGUAGUACAUGACAACAAAUAUAAAACCAAAAUCAGUGAUUUUAUGUCUAUUACCAAUUUUCCUCCAAAAUUGACACUAAUGAUAUAAAGAGAUGUCGUUAAUCUAAUUAGGGGUGGGAUUUAAUGAACUUGCAAGUGUAUUCUUUUGGAACAGUACCAAACUAUGAAGAAACCCUAGCAGACCCCAACUAUCAUCCAUGUAAAAUACAGACUAGAUUUGACCAGUUGCCCAUCCUUGAUCCUACCUCCUCUAUCCCACACAUAAUGCACCUCUUCAGCAUUAUCCAAUUUCAACCGAUCAAGUGAUCCAACAUCAAUCAUUUACCCCUCACACAACCCAGCACACAAAGCUGCCUUGGUUGGAACAGAUGAAAUCCACACCCUCCUGGUCAGGAAUGCAAUCUCUUUAUAAUUCUCCAACAUCUUAAGAACAGAUUAACCAAGAACUAGGCAUUAUCACACUUCCAUGCCAAACCUCCUGAUCAUUCACUUCUCUAUUUUUCUUAAUGGAUACAGCUUUUGAAAGAAUAACAGAACUUAAAAAAAACUAUCUUAUUCCCAGUUAUGGAAGUUUGUAAUGAUAAUCACAAUCUGACCAACCCACAACACGCUCUUUCACCUGCAAUUCUCCUAUAAAGGAGAGGAUACUUCUCCAUUAGAUACAAAUUGCUACACUAUAUUAUUGUCUAAUGCUUCCUCAGCCUCUCCAUAAAUCUUGGCCCAUAUCCUUC